rnacentral:lncRNA from 1 species
AAGAAGUUAGUUAAGCUGCUCAUGGAAUCUGUGUAUAAAAACCUGAAACGUAGUCCACAUUCUUCAAGAUUAGAAUCAGCACCGGUUUCUCUAAUCAAUUAGGAGCCAUGGCCAGCCACAAGGCAUUGCUGCUUCAUCUGCUAGCACUCUUCUCCAUGCUGUCCAUGAGCGCCAAUGCUUGUAGGCUCUGUGGUAUUUCUCUGCCACUAGUACCAGACUUCCUCUGCCCACCAGAUCCCUGCAAACUACGACUCCGUCCGCCUCCACCACCACCUGGGAAGAGUCCACCUUCACGUCCACCUCCUCGAAGAGGGAUUCCAAUACUGCCCCCCCAUUUUGCAGUAAUUGUUCUCCUCUGGCACCUGAUUUGAGUGCACCACUACAUAUAUUACACACCCUAUGCUAAAUAAAGGAAAAAGAAAUGCAGAAUAUGAAUAAUAAUACCUGAAGAAUAGGUAUGGGCAGAGUUUCGAGCUCUGCAGCAAGAAGUUGUAUUAGGUACUGUAUUUACCUUAAAACCAGUUCCUUACUCCUGGGAAUUUAAGUGACAAGCACUAUGAUCUUGUUCUACGUUUAUCUAUUAUGUAUCGAAUAAGACUUGAUAUUCUGUAUUGAUCUUACGGACCCUCCCUUUUUCUUUUGGAUCUUACGGACUUAUUGGUACUUUUCAUGGCUUAGUACUUGCUCGUAGUUAUUAUCAGUAAAAUGCAACUAUGGCCACUGAAAAAAUUCGUUUGGCCCACUGACAUUUCUUGGGCGUUAAAUCACUAGUUAAACUUCUAAAUGCGCAGUGUUUUGAUCAUUUUGUUAAUUUGCUUCCAUUAUCUUUAGGGUAAAUUCCACUUUACCCCCCUGUGGUUUAGCGUUUUUUCACAUAACCCCCCUAUGGUUUCAAAAGCUAUACAUAACCCCCUCAUGGUUUGGAUUAAAGUGUCAAAGUAACAGAAAUAGUCACUCGUAACGGAACUUCUAAAAAUGUCGAAAUUACCCUUAUAAAUACAUGACACAUUAACCCCCUAUAAUUUUUAUAUUUUACCAUAUAACCCCCUUAUGGUUUAAUACUUUACCAUAUAACCCCCUUAUGCUUUUCAAAAUAUACACAUAACCCCCUUGGUUAAUACAUAAAUUUCAACCUUACAUAAGGGUAUUUUUGACAUUUUAGGUGACGCCGUUACGAGUGACCAUUUCCGUUACUUUGACACUUUAAUCCAAACCAUGAGGGGGUUAUGUAUAGCUUUGAAACCACAGGGGGGUUAUGUGAAAAACGCUAAACUACAGGGGGUAAAGUGGAGUUUGCCCUCAUCUUUAACAAAAAGUUGUUGCGCCGGACAUGUAAACUACCAUCAUAGCCACAUUUUGGCCAUUUAUUCUGGUCAAGAAUAAACUUUUAUUUCACAUGCUGAACUUUUUUCUUUUGUGUCAUUUCACCCAUUUUAAUUUAAAAUGUGUAGAUUAGGUCUUUUAGAAAUAACAAAAAUACCCCGAAAGGGGGAGGGUGCAUGUGACGUUAAUUGUGCCAAAUUAUUGCACUUAUGUAAGCUCAAUCACACUGAGAAAGACUCGAUCUAGUGAUUAAAGUUGACGCUGUAGAAAUUAGAAGUUUUGGAUUCAAAUUCAUUUUUUGUCUCGCUACUUCUAAAAUUUCACGCCUUCCCUAUGUAAGAAAAAUCAAUUUUUUUUUUAAAAAAAAAAAAUAGAAGUCCAGUCAUUGAAUUUAGAAGAAAAGAACUUGGAUCUCCCUUUCUUCUGAUAAAGAUAUAAAAGAGAUCUUAAAAACAGAAUAAAGUGAGAGUGAGAUCACAUGCAUGCGAUGCGAGCCCCUUCAUAGUCACAUUCAAAUAUCGUUAGGACCCCUAUAUAGGAAUGGGAGACCAAAGGUUACUUCUGGUGGAAGAAUUUUAAUAUCCAUAACAACUUUAUAAUUUUCUCAGUUAAUGCACAGAUUAUGUAAUCCCCCAUCUUAUUUGUCAAAAGUUUUCGACAAGUGAUAUUAGAGUAGGUUCAGUUAAAUUCUGGUAGAAUGAGGCGUGGGAGAUUUGAAGAAUGGAAGCAAGAGCCAUUUUGUAGUCCGAACAAGCAAUGCUGUAACAAUAAAAGUUAGAAGACUAACUUGUUGAAAAAAAAUUUACAAAGACGAAGUUGUUGCAGUUUACCGCAUUGCAUAUUAAGAAAACUAAAAUAAAAUUUCUUAACAGAAAGUUAAGCAAAAAUGAUCAUAUAUGAUCAUUGAUAAAUGCUUUGGGCUAAUUAAUAGAAGUACGUUACCAAGAAAAUAACUUCAUUUAUAUAAACUACAAAAAGAAUUUAAGGAAAUAUUAUUACAAAUGUAAAAAAAAAAAGAACAGUCUUAGAAAAGAUGAAAUUUCCUAGAAAAAUAAAUUCCUUAUUUUUCUUUUUAUUCAUCCUUAGUCGCUCAGAAUAUUUCUUUAAAGGUUUUGCCGUAAUACUUUCGUGUAACUUUUUUUGUUUCUCAAUGUAAAUCCAUCUUUUAAAAAAAAAAAAAUUACUUUCAUUAUCUUUUUUCAAAAAAUUUUGAAAUGCAAAGAUCAUUUACAUAGGAGAAUCAAUUCCAGGUUUUAGAGGAUAUCUCCUUUCUAACUACGCUAAAAAAAAUUAAUUCAUUUGCAAAAGCUAAAGGCAAUACUGCCGGAAUUUGACAUUCUGACAAGGGAACCAUAUCCAAACGCCCAAUGUUUUUCUCAAUAAUAGGCAAAAUACUAGUUAAAGUAAGUAUGAAGAAAUUCGAUUUCCAUGCCCCAAGGCGGCCUUUCUCUUGCCCAAAGUGCCCAACAAGCAAUUCAUUCAUAUUCACUGAAAAAUUGACACUAGUUGUACAAUUAUUAAACCACAUGGGAAACCUUGGAAGUGAAUUCCUAACCAUUAUUAAUAGGAACCAAGGAAGUCCCUGCUAACAAAAUCAUAUGGCUCCAACACUUCCGCCUUUACUCUACCACGAAUUACAUGCCUUUUCUUACAGUUUAUCAAACUAACUGGACUGAUUUUAACCUUUCUGCCAAGAUUUUUGAGUACCAUUUGCACGUGAAACUAAAAUAUGCUAUAUAUCUAAAAUCCGUCACCCUAUUUGCAGUUCCCACUUGAAUUUUAACAUUAUUUUAAAUACCAUAAAGGGGAUCACCUAUACUCAUGUCUUGUGAUCUUGAUUGUGAUGACUGACAUUCCUCUGAUCCAGUUUGAGGUUAAACCGUGCUUUCUUUCGAUAAUCAUGAUUACAAUAGACCGUUAAGCUGGAUGGAAACAUAAAAGUACGAUAACAUAAUCUAUUGUUGCGGAAUUCUAUUUAUUCAACUUGUUGCAGUAAAGUACAAAAAGGCGUAUGCAUUAUCAGACAACGUUUGAGCACAAAAGAAAGACUUAAAACAGUGGGGCAUGAAAGUUUCUUCUCCUCUGUGUGAACUGCGUCAUGAGCAAGAAGAAACGCAGGGUCAUUUAUUUUUUGAAUGUCGAUUUGCUAGAAUUGUGUGGGAUAAAAUCCGGAGUUUCUGUCUACUCUGUAGAAGCCAGGGGCGGAUUUAAAAGUGGAGGCACGGCCCCCACUGCCUCCAUCAAUUUCCUAUAAUAUAUCUAUAAUUUUGACAUAAUUUUAAAGGUGCCCCCAGAAUUUGUUUUAGAAAAAAUGUGAAAGAAUGGAUCACAAAAUUUAUAUCAUUCACUUUCCUCCUUUAGUUCCCAUUUUCCCACCAACAGGGCCAAGUACCAAUUAUAUCAGUCAUUCCUUUUGGUUCUCACUCCCCAAGUUCCCUUUACUCCUGUGGUCCUCCAUUUCCUUCACAACCGGUUCUUCUUCUUCCAUACCCAAGUCAACUACUUUUUAUUUUUAUCACUUCAUCAAUUAUCAAUUUACUUCCUUUGUCCACACUCUCCAAUUUCCUUUCCUCGUUUGGCUCUCGUUGUCCCCACUCCCCAACAUACAUAAGAGAGCCAUUUUUUUCCACAACCAAAGCUUGUUAUUCUUUCUUUUGAUCACUUCAUCCUAUUUAGAGAUUGCAUCAGAAUCAAUUGAUUUUCUAGGACUUGGGUCCACCACAUUUUGCAGCUCUUUUCACCAACUUUAGGAGACCAUCAAAAUCAGGUUCUAAACAAUUACUUAUUAUUAUUAUUAUUUUAAAUUUAUUUGCAAAUAUAUUUCUAGAGCAUGAGACUAUUACUGUUUUAAAGAAAUUUAAAAAUUGAUUAGUUAAUGUAAUAACUAAUAAAUGGGUUAUUUGAUACAUAUUUUAACUUGUGAAAUGGUGAUUUUAUGCAUGAGGCUUUUUUUUUUGCUUAAAAAAAAUUAGAAAAAGAGUAAAUAAAAAAUUUUAGUAUUAUUUUUGCCCCACUAAAAUUUUUUUCUGGCUCCGCCCCUGGUAGAAGCAUGCUGAAUUGGAAUGAUGAGUUGUAGUGGUGGCGUAAGAAUUGUAGGACUCAAUCUUUUGCUAAUAAAGUCAAGAGUGUGGCUUUCUCUAUGACUGUCUACUUCCUAAGGCAGACUAGAAACAAGAGUUUAUUUCAGGCCUUCCAGUGUGGGCGUAGUGGUUGCUGUCGUCAAUGCAAUGCAAAUAGUUGCUACCUCUUGAAGCAAGAUUCCUCGCACCAGAGAGAAAUGGGAGUUGGUUCUUGAGUUGGGAUUAGAUAAAGUUGCUUUGUAUGAUUCUUAUUGUCUUUUCUUUCGAAUUUUGACAGUAGAGUGUACAGAAAUUGUGCAGUCCAAGGUAGAUUGAGGAUUUUAUCAUUUUUUGUAAAGCUUUAUUGAUUGAUCUAUCAUGGAAAAAGGUUAUAAAUUUGCUAAAAAAAGGCAUAUGAAAUAUUAUUCACGCAUAUGAUUUUGAAGUUUACAACUAUAGUUGAUGACGUCUCACUUAAAAGUAGAAAAUCCAGCCCAACUAUUCACAUCUGAGCUUCGUAGGCCUUUAUUUGUAAUGCUUUAUAUAUGAUCUCUAAUUUGUAUUUAGGACGUAUGACUGAAUUCAAAUGACGGUCUAAUGGAAGACAUAUGCAUAGAGCAGGAUUAAAUAACUAUUAAAUUCUAUCUAGUGAUAAUGAAGGUAGGUGGAGCUACAGAAACGACUAUGAACUUAUCUUCCAGAGGAUGAAUUGUCAUUUUUAAUCCUCUCACGAUGCACCAUUUGGUGAUCUUCUAUGUGGAGGUGGUGGAGGUGAAGGUAGUGGUGGCAGUGAAGGAGGUGGAGGAGGUGGAGAAGAACGCGGGGUUGGUGAAAAAUGCGGAGGCAGAGAUGGCAAAAAUGAUGGAGACCAAGGUAGAGGAGAGGAAGGUGGUGAUGGAGAAGGAGGCAGAGAAGAUGAAGGUAGAGGUGAAGGUGGUGGUGGUGGUGAUGAGGGAGACGGAGGAGAUGAUGGUGAUGAAGGUGGAGGAGAAGGCAGGAAUGGUAAGGGAGGUGAAUGAGGGGAAAUGGGUGGUGGAGAAAGAGGCGUAGGUGAAAGUGGCAGAGGAGAAGGUGGUAGUGGUGAAGGAGGCAGCGAGGUGGAGGAGGAGAGGAUGGUGGACGUGAAGGCUGUGGGGGAAAGGGUGGUGGUGGUGAAAGAAGCGGAGGAAAUGGAGGUGAUUUCUUAGGCGGUGGAGGUCUAGAUGGUGGAGAAGUAGGUGGUGAUGAUGGUGGAUGUGAUUUUUUGGUGGUGGGGAUGGACUCUUUUUUGGUGUGGAGGAGAUAGCGGUGUUUUCUUCGUGGAUUAAGGUGAAGGUGACAUUUUAGGUAGUAGAAUGUGGAGAAGGAGAUGGAGAAGGAGGUGAUGGGUGGUGGGGCAGGGGUGAUUUCUUUGGUGGGUGAUUUCUAGUGGAGACGGAGGUGAUUUUUAAGUAGUGGAGGUCGAGGAGAAGAUGGAGAGGAGGUGAUGGUUGAAGGGCUGGGAGUGAUUUCUUUGGUGGGUGAGACGGAGUUGAUUUCUUAAGAGGUGGAGGUGGAGAAGGUGAUGGCGAUGGAGGUGGGGGUGAUUUCUUUUGUGAGAGAUGAAGCAAGGUGAGUUACUUUUUAGUCGAGGCGGAGGUGAUUUCUUAGGUGAUGAAGGAGAAGGUGGUUUUUUUUUGUUUGGAAUAGUGGAAUAAUAAUUGAGGGUUUAUGUUUAAAGUGUGGCCAUGGUUUGAUGUGCGGCCAAUAUCGCGGUGGGCAAAAACCAGCAUUUACAUUCACAAUGAAUAGGGCAGCAGAGAUUGCUAAGAGAUGUGUCAGGACCUCUCAAAACGAAGGAUGGGAGAAGGAAUUGGGAUUAACAGAUUUGGGAUGAAAGAAGAAGAAAGGGGAGAGAGAAGAGGAGAGGAUCAAGGACAUAUGAAUUUGAGAGGGAAAUUUGAAUUCUCUUUUUUCUUGUUAUCCAAUCUACCAAUUGCUUGGAUUUAUACAGCUCAAUUGGUUUGAACCUUUCUGGCACGGAAUUUCCGUGCACUGAGCUUGAUUCUAACUGAAUUCAAUUAUAACGAAUUCUAACAACAUUUGGUCCUACCUAAACUAAUUACGCUAGCGCCCCUGAGACUUAUAUCUGAUUACAAUUGGGUCCCUGGUUCUGAUUUUUAACUAAUUACGCUAGCUCCCCUGAGACUUCCUAUCUGAUUGCAAUUGGGCCCUGGUCCUGACAUUACUCCUCCCUUAAGGGCAGCCUUGACCUCAAGGCUGGAACUCAGGAAAUUGCCUGGUGAUGAAAGAUUGAUCAUUCCACGAUGCCUCUUAUUCUCCUAGCUGAUGCCACUUUAUGAGGUACUGAAUCACAGGAAACACCAUUGCGCAUGAUCACCCUCCUUUGCAAGACCUCUGCAGGCUGUAGCAGGCACUGAUCACAUCCAUCAACUCUGGUAGUGUAGGAGUAGUGGACUGAUGGGGGUCCAACUUAGGCUUUAGAAGUGAUACAUGAAAAACUGGAUGCACCUUAGAGCCUGGUGGAAGCUUGAGUUUAUAUGCGACAGCUCCAAUCUUUUCCACUAUUUGAAAGGGUCCAAAGAAUUUCGCAGCUAGCUUUAGAUUUUUCCUGAGUGCCACCGUCUGUUGUCUAUAAGGUUGCAACUUCAAAAAAACCCAAUCUCCCACCACAAACUGCCUUUCUGUCCUGUGUUUGUCAGCAAAUAUUUCAUCCUAUUUUGAGCCUGAUGCAAGUGCUCUUUGAUCCUGUGAAGCAUUUGGCUCUUGUCUGCAACAUGUCAUGAGCUGCUAGUAUUAGUGUAUCAUGGUAGGGUCCCAAGGGCAGUGGCAAAGGCUUGUAACCAUAGAGAGCCCGAAUGGAGAAACUCCCAAGCUCGUGUGGUAUGCAGUGUUGUACCACAGUUCAGCUAAACUGAGCCAGUGGCUCCACUGAGUUGGACUCUCACUGGUUAUGCGUCUCAAGUAGGUCUCUAGACAUUGAUUCAAUCUCUCACUCUGACCAUCAGUCUCAGGAUGGUAGGAGGAACUAUAGUGUAGUUCAGUUCCAGCCAUCCUGAACAAUUCCUGCCAGAAACCACUAGUGAAUACCUGUCUCUGUCUGUAUGAUGGACUCUGGUAAACCAUAGAGCUUGUAGACAUUAUCUAGGAAGACUUGUGCUACUUGGGCAGCUGUGAAAGGGUGAGAAAGUGGUAUAAAAUGACCAAACUUUGUCAGUCGGUCUACUACUACCAUAAUAGUGUCAAAUCCCCUAGAGGAAGGUAAUUUCUCAAUAAAGUCCAUAGUAAUAUGUGACCAGGCCUGAGUAGGAAUUGGUAGAGGUUGUAGUAGCCCUGGAUAUGGCACUCGUUCACUUUUGUUCCUUUGGCAGACUUCACAUUCUUGUACGAACUGUAUGAUAUCCUUCUUUACUCCUGGCCAAUGGAAUAUGCUGUACACUUUCUGUAGGCAAGUUCUUUGACCAGAAUGUCCCAAUGGGGGACUCAUGUAGAGCUUGAUUAUUUUCUGCCUAACUCCCUUGCUAUUUACCACAUACAGCUCCCCAUUGUAUCUGAGUAUCCCUUGAUUGAGUUGAAAAUCAGAGUCUUGGGGUGUAGGAUCCAGCAGUAGUUGACUCAUCAACUCCUGCACUGUGUAUCUUCAAAGUAGCUAUCUUGUAGCUCUUGCAUCCAUAAGGGUUGAGCACUGGUAAUGGCCAUCAACUGUUGUCGUGCAGGUUGCUGAUCCAACAUGGUCCUCCUAGAUAGAACAUCAGCAACAGUGUUCUCUGAUCCUUUCUUAUACUGGAUUUCAUAAUCCAAUCCUAACAGUUUUGUCAACCACUUGUACUAAGCAGUAGUCGUGAGCCUUUGUUCCAGUAGAAAUUUCAGGGAUUUGUGAUCUGUUCUAAUAAUAAUAAAUGGUUCCAAUCAGAUAGUGCUUCCACUUUGUUACUGCAAAAACUAGUGUCAUCAACUCCUUCUCAUAAACAGACAGCCCCAUGUUCCUGAGGGAGAAGGCCUUGCUAAUGAAGGCUAUUGGGUGACCCUCCUGUAAGAGGACAGCUCCCAUGCCUUGCCCACUUGCAUCAGUCUCUACUACAAAAGGGAUACUAAAAUUGGGCAGUCUUAGCACUGGGGCACUACUUAUGGCCUGUUUGAGGUGGUUGAAGGCUUUGUCAGAAUCAGCAUUCCAGUUGUAAGCAUCCUUCUUCAGUAGAUUAGUCAAUGGCUUGCUGAUGGUUCCAUAGCCUUUUAUGAAACGUCUGUAGUAACCUGUGAGGCCUAGGAAUCCCCUAAGUUCUUUAACAUUCCUGGGAAUAGGCCAUGUCUGGAUGCACUCCACCUUGCUCAUGUCCAUACUCACCCUCUGCUAGACACCACAUGUCCCAGAUACUCCAUCUCUGCUGAGCAAAGGAGCAUUUGGAGAGCUUAGCAUAUAGCUGGUUGUGUUGAAGCACCUUCGGUACUUGCCUGAGAUUCUCCCUGUGGAGAUCUAGAGUAGUACUGUAGACCAGAAUAUCAUCGAAGAAAAUCAGAACAAACUUCCUUAGGAAUGGUUCAAAAAUCUGAUUCAUUAAUGCCUGAAAGGUUGCUGGUGUAUUUGUGAGAGCCCAGAAGGCAUCACCAGGAACUCAUAGUGUCCCUGAUGAGUUUGGAAGGCAAUUUUGUGAGUAUUUGCUACCUUAACUCUCUGAUCUGGUGGUAUCCUGACCUCAGGUCAAUCUUGGAAAAGAACUUGGCUCCAUAAAGUUCAUCCAGAGUUCAUCAAUGUUGGGGAUAGGAUAUCUGUCCUUAAUUGUUUAGUCAUUGAGGUGCCUGUAGUCCACACAAAAAAGCCACGUAUUGUCCUUUUUCUUGACAGCAGCACAGGUGAAGCAUAGGGACUAUUGCUUGGCUUGAUGAUUCCUGAUUUCAGCAUAUCUGCAAUUUGUCUUUCAAUCUCUGCCUUCUGUGAGUGAGGGUACCUGUAUGGUUUCAUUUUGAAGGCUUGUGCUCCUGGCUUGAGAGGAAUCUGAUGAUCCAAGGGUCUGUUGGGGGGCAACUGAGUAGGUUCCUGGAAUACUUCUGGAAAUUGCUCCAAUACUGCGGCUAUUGAUCCUGGAACCACUUUCCUUUCUAUUUCCCUAUCUCCACAUUGUGCUGAGAUAGCACAACAUUUCCUCUUCUCCUGCAGGAAACCCCUGAGAUCCUUCCUUCUAACCAACUCCAUGGUGGCAUCAGUAACUGCCCAUGCAGAGUGACCCCUCUCCUUGAUGAUACAUAGAGAUUUUUAGCUCGUGGAAAUCAAAAGUAAUGGGACUGUAAUUGUGCAUCCAAUCCAUCCCCAAAAUGAGAUCCCAUUCGCCUAACUCCAUAAUUUGAGGUCAAAGCAAAACUUGUAGUUCUGAAUAUUCCAUAGAACCUUGGGGAACUGAGCCCCACUGGUUACCAAGCUCCCAUCCCCAUGGUGACAGUGAAAGGUUUGACAUAUUCAAAGGGAAUGCCCUGUGCAGUCAGCAACUUGUGAUGGAUGUAACUAUCACUGCUGCCUAUAUCCACCAGAAUCUUGACAGGUUUCCCUAAAUAGCUAUCCUUGUAGCAUGAUUGUAUUUCGCCUUAGUGAAUCCGAGAGAGCAUUCAGUGAAAUUUCCACUGGUUCCCCUGGAUUCCCAGUCAGCUCAUCCUGUUCUCCUUGAGCAUCUUGGAAUUCAGUGUCCUCUUCUUCCUCAUACAUCAUGAGAUUCAAAUGCUUCAUCCUACACUGAUGUCCUACCCCAAAUUUCUCCCCACACUUGAAGCACAGGCCAUUAUUCCUUCUGAAUUGCAGUUCCUGGGGAGAUAACCUCUUAAACUUUGGGCUCCUAUCUGAAAUCUUGGAAGCUCCUUUAGGUAUAUUAUCCUGUGGUAGUUUAUAGGUGCUAACUCCCCAUUGGUAGAGGUCGGGUGCCUAUACAUUCCAAAUUUGGGUUCAGCCAUUACCUUGUGGCCAUCUCUAACUGUUUUCCCUUGCAACUUGAGAGCCUGUUCCUGCAGGUGAGCUAUCUCCAUGGCUCCUGAGAGAGUGUUGGGUCUGAGCAUUUUGACCAUUGGCUUAAUCUCCUAAUUGAGUCCGCUUGUGAAACUGGAGAUAAAGUAUUCCUCACUAAGACCUGGAUUCUGGAUCAGCAUUAGUGUUUUCAACUCCUCAAACCUCUCCUAGUAAACUUCUAUUGAACCAACCUGCUGCAGUUUAUUAAAUGCCUCCACAAUAUCUCUGCAACACGUACCUUCGAAUCUUUGGCACAGCAACUCCCCAAAUUCCCCCCAGGUCAGCCUUGGCUUCUCUAAUUUGACCCCUUGGAACCAAUUGUCAGCUCUGCCUUCUAAAAACAUUUCUACUACCAACAGUUUGUGUUCCUCAGGUACCUUAUUCAGCAGAAAAUAUUUAUCGCAUUUCCGGAUCCAUUCUCUAGGAUUGUUCCCACUGAACAUAGGUAACUCAAGUUUUGGAGGAUUAUAGUUAGAAAUCUUACUCAGGAAUUCACAACUCCUUACUUCCUCCUCUGCUCCUAUGCUCAACUUCUGAUGAAUGAGAGGUGUUGGCAGCAAGGGCGGACGAUCUCUCCCAGCUUUGCGCUCCAUCAUCUAAGUUCUUUUCCCUGGUCAUUAGUGCCUUCAUCAUGGAGUUGAGUGCUUCCAGCUUCUGAUCCAUUCCUAGCGCGAUCGUGUCCAUCUUUCUGUCUCUUUCCGCCAUUUCCUCUCUGACUUGCAGCUGCAUAUUCUUCACGUCCUCCAACACUUCCAGCAGCUUGAGCUCCUGCUUCUUGAUAUGAUCCUUUAAGGUUUUGAAACGUGUGUUUUCUGCCAUUGGUGGAUCUUGGAACUGCCGAGGACUCGCUGGCAGCUCUGAUACCAGCUGUCAGGACCUCUUAAACGAAGGAUGGGAGAAGGAAUUGGGAUUAACAGAUUUGGGAUGAAAGAAGAAGAAAGGGGAAAGAGAAGAGGAGAGGAUCAAGGACAUAUGAAUUUGAGAGGGAAAUUUGAAUUCUCUUUUUCUUGUUAUCCAAUCUAUCCAGUUGCUUGGAUUUAUACAGCUCAAUUGGUCCGAACCUUUCUGGAACGGAAUUUCCGUGCACUGAGCUUGAUUCUAACUGAAUUCAGUUAUAACGAAUUCUAACAACAUUUAAUCCCACCUAAACUAAUUACGCUAGAGCCCCUGAGACUUUAUAUCUGAUUACAAUUGGGUCCUUGGUUCUGAUUUUUAACUAAUUACGCUAGCACCCCUGAGACUUCCUAUCUGAUUGCAAUUGGGCCCCUGGUCCUGACAAGAUGCCAUAGCGAAACCAUACGGCUCGCCAUGGUUGCUACAUUAGCUGUUAACUGCCUUGAUUGAUGGAAUUGAUGGUUGAGUCUAGGUUUAUUACACAUAUAGAUAGACAAAAGUGGUUUGGGCAAACAAUAAUAAAAUCAACACAAAUUUUUUACAAGCUAAACAUCAACUAUAGCUACUAGGAAGAUAUUUUCCUUAGUACAAUUAUUUUUCUUAGCUUUUUCUACAUAUUUUCAAGUUAUUUGAAAAUUUUUCCUAGUUCAUCACUGACACCUCACUCCAUUAAAGCACACCACCAUAUGGAGGGAAAAAUGUAAAAGUAAAUGACAUUGAAGGAAUAUAUCUCAAUGUUAUUUUGUAUCCCUUCUUCAUUUGUUUGUUGUACCUAAGUUCUACUUUUUGCCCAUUUAUCUAUCAAACUACAUAAAAUUUACUUGUAGAUUUUUUUUCAACACAAAUGCCACUAUGAUAAAAUGAUUGCCGUGCCUAGUACUUUGAUAGUUUUCUUUUAUGCCUAUGUUUUAUCCUUUUUCAGUUUGGUUGGUUUUUUUUUUGUUUUUUUUUUCUCUAGUUUUUUUGGGUGUAGGCACUUACUUGAUUUAACUUGUCAAAUGCAGUACUUUUAAAUCUAAUUACUUCUUCCCUUUUCAUUCCAGUUUAUAUUUGCAAUUUAUGAUGUAUAUCAAGAAUUUUGCUAUAUUCUUAACUUUGGAAAAAAGCCGUACCUGUAUGUCGAAUAUAUAUAUUUGCUUUUUGUGCCACAGUAUUUUGAUUUAUCUUUUAUUUUUUGGAUGAUAGUAGUGUAUUUUUGUAUUGUAAUGGCUGCAUCUUAGCCCUUAUGGUAGGUUUUGUUACUUAUUUAUAAAGAUUGUAAGAAAUUCGUGCUUCUUCAUGUCUAAAUUUAUAUACAUUUUAUUCAUGUCUGAACUUAUAAUUUCGGUGGGCAAAAAAAAGUUUCAUGCAUGCUUCAAGAUGACUAGAUAUUGUAGCCCUUGCUAUCCAAAUUAUGGGAAUGGAGGCAUUUUGUGCAAAAUUGCCAUUACAAUUAAUAAAAAUGGUAAUCAUUUUUGCAGCAAGUUGAAGACAAGCAUCAAUGCGUAGAACAAAAAUGAUUGUCUGGGUUAAAUUUCAUCCCUUUGUAGAACUUUUAGGAAGCUUACCAUGUAUAUAUUGGAUCUAUCAUUACUGUCAUUACACCAUUUAACUUGUUAUUGUAGAUAGAAAUAGCCAAAAACAACGUUAACUGAACUAAAAAAUAUAGUUUGAGUCGUUUUUAAUAACACUAUCCUAAGAAAUUAUUUUGUGAGGUUGAAAUGUUUCUUCAAGAUUAAACAAAUCUUUUUCUUGUUUAUAACAAGAAGGAUCAGAACUUUAGGUAGCGCGUCUGUUAAAUCCAGCAAAGAGGGAAAGAAGGAAAAGAAGAGAAGUAGAGCAAAAAAACUGGCAGGAAGGUGUCUACUGUCAGCUGUUGGUGUAUCUCUAAAGUGGGAGCACAACUGCUUUUUCUGUGUGACCGAAAAUAUUAAAAGGGAACGUUAUGAAACGUACCAGACCUUCGUAACGAUGAAAUAAAAAGUUUAUCUUCUUAGGAAAGAGUCAAAUUUUGAUUUGUAAAAUAUAAAGUAAAAUUUAUUCUUGGUCACAGUAAAAUUCAUUUGGGCCAUGUUUAACCCACGAGUGAGGGGGGGAAUCCGUCAGUUUGUACUAAAACGGCCCAACUAAACUUUUCUCUCAUACACGUGAACCCACACUAGUUACCAACUUAACACAAACCCAAUAACAGAUUACGCAUUAUAAAUGAUGAGAAGACCAAAUGAAGUUUUUUGAUUUGGGACAAAAUCUUUUGAAAUAUUCCUUUUAUUUACAACAAUCUCCUUCCUAUUUCAAAAGAUUUUGGUCAAAACUAAAGAAAUAGUCUUGUUGGAUUUAUUUUGGGUGAAAUGUAAUCAGUUUGGUGUCUUUCGAACUAUGAACCAAAUUUAGAUUCAAACAUGACCUAUAUAAUUAUUGGUGAAAUAUGAAUUUUUAUGAACCAAUAACUCUUGAUGUAUGACAGAAAUUUUAUCAAUCACACUACAACCCAUAACUUACUGUUAUCGUGAUUUUGCGCUUUUAGGUCGUGCACCUGCUUGGCUAUUCAUGAUAGCUCUAAAGAUUCGGCCAAUAAAUCUUAUAGGAGCGGUCUCACUCCACUCUAUAGGUGAAUUCAUCAAGUGUAUAUUGCUUUAAAUACACCACCUUAAAGGGAUAUGAAUUCAUUAAGAGUUUUAAACUUACCCUCAUAAUUAUUAGCAAUCAAAGCACUUAUCUCCAGAGGGACUUAAAUUUGAAGUGUUUUACGGUCAAUAUUAACUUGUUAUUACCCAUAUGAACGUAUUUCAUGGGAUCACCAAUCACAUAAGUUGGGUUACUGUCUCUAUUGACAACUUGUUGGCCUUAGUCCCAUUUUCCUUGUAGUUUGAAGAAUUAAUUUCCUUCCUACAAGUUUAGUCAGAGGAUCGACCAAAUUCAAUUCUGACUUCACAAAAUUAAUAGAGAUAAUUCCAUCUUUAAACAACUGCUUUACGACAUCAUGUCUUAAUUUUAUAUGUCAACUUUUACAAUUAUAUAAUUUAUUUUUAGCAAUAGCAAUUGUUGUUGACAAUCACAGUGUAUGGACAUAGGAGGCAACAGAUCCUUAGUCGUAGGAAUACUGAUUAAGAAGUUUCUUAACCAAUCAGUCCCAGAACCAGUCAACUCCAGAGCUAUAAAUUGUGAUUCCAUAGUUGAUUUAGUAAUAAUUGUCUGUCUAACUGACUUUCAUGCUACUGUACCACCACGGAGGGUGAAUACAUAACCACUAGUGGAUUUUGUCUCAUUUGAAUUCGAGAUCCAAUUAGUAUCACUGUACCCCUCUAAUACAGUGAAAAAUCCACAAUAUAAGAUACUAUAAUUCAUGGUACUCUCAAAUAUUUCAUUAGUUUGACUAAUGCAAACCAACGAUCACUAUUAGGAUUGUGAAUAUACAUGCUCAGUCGACACACAGCAUAAGCUAUGUUAGAUCUUGUAAAAUUCAUCAAAUACAUCAGGCUCCCAAUAAUUUGAGUAUAUUUAGACUGAGCAACUGGGUCAUCAUUAUUUUUCUUUAAUUAAGUGUUAGCAUCAUAAGGAGUACUUACAGGUGUCACAUCAUAAUUUUCAAACUUCCUAAGAAGUCUUUCUGUAUAAUGUUCUUGUGACAACAUUAUACUAUUAUCUCUCCUUAUAAUUUUAACACCCAAUAUUAGAUGCUAAGAAAUAUUUAGUAGUAUUGAUAUUAUCACUCAAAUCUUUCAUAUCAAACUUAGAGGAUAAGAAAUAUUUAGUACUAUUGAUAAUAUCUAUACUUGUACCAAAUAUGAGCAUGCCAUCCACAUAUAGGUUAAUUAUCACAUAUUGAUUAUUCACAACUUUAGUAUAUACAAAUUUAUCGACUUCUAAAGACGAAAAAUCGUCUUUCAUCAAUACUUGAUCAAAUUUCUCAUUUCACUGUUUAGGAGCUUGUUUUAGACCAUAAAGAGAGUUAAUUAAUUUACACACUUUAUUUUCUUGUCCAGAUUCAACACAUCCUUCAAGUUGAAACAUAUAAAUUUCUUCUUUCAAAUUACUAUUUAAAAAAGCUGUUUUGACAUCCAUUUGAUGAACAACAAAUUUGUGGAUAGAAACUAAGGCAAAUAAGACAUGAAUAGAAUAAAUUCUUGUUAUUGGUGCAAAUGUAUCAAAAUAGUCAAUAUUUUGUUUCUAAAAAAUUCUUUUGCUACUAAACGAGCUUUGUAUUUUUCUAUAAAACCAUCAGAAUUAUAUUUUCUUUUAAAAAUCCAUUUGCAACCAAUAGGUUUUGCAUCAAGAGACAACUCUACCAAAGUCCAUGUUUAAUUUUUCAAAAUAGAAUCAAUUCAGAUUUAAUUACUUCUUUCCAAAAUUUGCAAUCAGAAAAAAAUUGCAUCAGAAUAAGUUAAAGGAUCAUUGUCAACAAGAAAGGUUUGAAAAUCAUUCCCGUAAGAAAAUUCUUUUCUCGGCCUUUUACUCCUCCUCAAUUCCUCAUUAGAGGUUAUUUCUUUAUUUCUUUCAACAGGUGCAUGAGAAAUUUUAUUGGACAGUGGAAAAUAUGUUCAAAAACUCAACAUUUUUUGUUUCAAUAAUUGUAUUACAAUCAAGUACAUCACUUCUUAAAAUAAGAAAUUUAUAUGCAGCACUAUGUUCAGCAUAUCCAAUAAACAUACAAUCAUUAGUUUUAGAACCUAAUUUCUUUUUUUAGACUCAGGUAAUAACACUUUAGUAAGAUACCCCAUACUUUCAAAUAUUUUAAAUUUGAUUUAUAAUUUUUUCAUAAUUCAUAAGGUGUUUUGCCAGUCUUUUUAUGUGAAAUUCUAUUUUGUAGAUGACAUGCAGAUAAUAUAGCUUCUUCCCAUAAAUUAUUUGGAGCAUGAGAAUUAACUAACACAGAGUUCAUCAUUUUUUUAGUGUCCUAUUUUUUCUUUUAGCUACUCCAUUAGAUUCUAGUGAGUAAGGAGGUGUUGAUUCAUGUAUUAUGCCUUCAUGUUCACAAAACUUAUCUAAAGUUAAAUAUUCAUCUCCUCUAUCUGAUCUAAUUCUUUUGAUCUUCUUAUUAAGUUGAUUUUUUACCUCAGACUUAUAAGAUAAAAAGACAUUAUAAGUAUCAUCUUUAUUUCUAAAUAAAUAAAAUUUAGUAUAUCUAGAAUAAUCAUCUAUAAAAGUAACAUAAUAUCUUUUUCCUCCUCUAUUCAUAGUUUAUUUUAAAUCACCUAAAUCUAUGUGAAUUAGAUUUAAUAAUUCAGUUUCUCUUUGAACAGUUAUACAACUUUUCUUGUUUAUUUUAGUUUCUGCACAUAUUUCACAUUUUUUCAUGUCAUUAUUAUUAACACUAGAAAGUAAUCCAAGUGAUUGCAUUUUCUUUAUGUAGCUAGCAUUAACAUGUCCUAAUCUAGCAUGACAUAAAGAAAUUGAAUCAAUAAUAUAAGCAUAAGAAGAUGCAUUUUUAUUGAUUACAUUUUGAACUCGUUGAGUACAAAUAGUCCCUGAUUACAGUAGUGAUAAGUUAUAUUUUUAUCAUUAAUUUUAUGAUUGUUUCCUCGUUUAUAUUACCAAAUAUUACAUUAAUUGAUUGAUUCUACUUAUAUUUGGUAUUUUGUGUCAAUUGUAGGAAGGCGGAGCAAAAAGCAAUAAAAGAGGUUAUUUUUCAAGACUUUCCCAAUUCAAAAUGGAGUCUACGUGGAUUAUUGGCAGAAGAUUAGGAGGAAGUCUAUUUUGUUUCAAAAAGUUAAAAAUUAGGAAAAGAAUAGAAUGGCUAGACCCGUGUGAUUAAUACUAGAAGGAGUCAACAAAUUAUCAAGACUUGGGACUUGGUUUCGUUUGACUAGUAGUAGUUUCCUUAAACAAUUCCUUAGUUUUCGAAAUUAGUGGCGGCGGACUAGUAGUUAAGAGGUCACUUAGGUUUUCCUUUCUUCUAGAGGGAAGAACUGUGACUCCUGGUUGAGGACGGCCGCUUGGCCCCUCAAUUCGCCUUGCUUUCAUUAGUUUUAGAGGAAUAAUCAAUUGUAGCAAAAUUCCAUGGAGUCUAGGAGAAUUUCUUCUAGGAUGAGCCAUUAAUCUUCUUUUCUAGUCGAAGGUCAAUUUGAGAACUCGGUCUUAAACAUCUGUGAGAUCGAAUUAUUUUACUUUUUUUUAUUCAUUGGUAUUUGUACGUUUUCUAAUUUAACUUCUUAUGCUUGUUAUGUUAUUUGAAUGUCAAGGGUCCGAUAUUCGAAUUAACCUAAUAAUCUACUGCCAGAUUAAUUAAUUGAAUCUGUAAUUGUUCAAUUGAUUAAUACCAGUGGCGACUAGCAUGAUUGAUUUCAUGUUAGGGAAACGUAUGAUCUAAAUUAAACAAACCCUCGUAGUGUAUUUGUUAGUUAGGGGCUUUUCUAAAUUCUUAAUGCAAUCGAGAAAUUAAAUCCUACAGUCGUACCUAGUGUUAUUUCUUGGUUAGAGAAAUAGUUAACGAUCGUACCUUGACUAUCGAAAAAGUAAGAAAAUGUUGGUUGUUUAUCGCGUGUAUGACAACUAUAACCAAUCUAUUAAUGAGUAAUUUAAUUAUCUUUACAUCGAUGAUCAGUUGAAUAAACCGUGUCUGAAAAGUUGCACCUUUGAUUAGAGUCGUAUUGGUUAUUGAUUAAUUCCUGUUUAUUUCUAUUAGUUGUUUCAUUAGUUAGUUAAUUAGUCAUUUUAUAUUCUCCAAAAAGCCCCCAUACUUCGCAUUUUGGAAGAAAUGAAUUAUCCCCAAUUCAUGUGGAUUCGACCCUGUUUGCCACUGUCUACAAGUUAAUAAUUUUUUGUCAGCUAAUCAAUUCUGGUAUAUCGGAUUAAACAGACUCUUCGGAAUCAGGGUAAAUCAAGUAACCCAUUGCACAUCCAAAAUCCCUACUCCAGUACCUGGAAUUGAUUGUUGACUACUUUUGGUGGUAGUUAGGUUUUUAUUAUUGCACAGGCCUCGAUACCUGUCAAGUAGCUCUUGCCCACAAAUACAUUAUUUUUUGUCAUUACAAUCUUAUCAGAUUCAAGUGACACUUUUACCCCAACUUUUCCUAACAAUGCUAAAGAAACCAAAUUUGCUCAAAUAUUCGGCACAUGCAGAUUCCCACUUGUACCUUUGAAUUUUCUUACAGGCCACAAUGAUGAAAAAUAGAUAUUGCACUGAUGAAACUAGAGAAAAUGUCAAGAAUUCAGGUAAAUGGAAGUGAGAACAAGGAGGAGAUGCGAAAAGUGGCUCGGACUAGGCAAUCAAUCUAACUGAUCAAUUCAGAAAAAAUUUUAUAUUUUUAUGAGAAUGCACUUAGGCGUUAUGAAUAUGGUCAAAUUUAUUAUCCUUCGCAAUCAACUUAUUGCACUAAAUGAUAAUUCCGGAAGAAUAGAAGGUCACAGUUAAUAUUGUGAAGAUUUAACUUUUAUGGUACCAUUGAAGCACCACAAACAAUCCCCCUUCCUUUUGGGUAAUUGGGUGAUCUUGUUGAUAAAAUGAAGUAAACCAAAGAAAGUAGUUGGUCUAGUGGAAGAAAAUUCAUCCAUCUAAUCCAGGAUGUCAGUCAAAUAUAAGCAAGGGCUAGUAAGUAUAAUUUGAUCGGCCAGACCAAAAGAGUGUUCUUACACUUUUUAUGAAUUUUUUUUACUAUAAACAGCAUUCGAAUCUCAGUCUACAGUCCAAAGAGAGAUUUAGUCUCUUUUUAACGGUCACUCUGAACCAAAGCACAAUAGUUUCGGUCAAAUUUCAUUUGGGUCUCACUAUUUUAGACCCUGUUAGCCCCAAUCGCCAAUAGAGUAAGGGGAUAAUCUUAGCCUUAGCUAAUAGCUACAUUCCAAUUUCUGUAGUCCUAGUGGAUAAGAAUACCAUACAAAAUCUAGCAUCCAAAAUCCAAAGGUACAAAAAGAAACCACAUCCACUUAUUAGUUCCAAGCUAAACUUCCAAAGCCAUCCAUGGCCACUAUCAGCUCUCCUUCAGCCAUCCUCUCAUCCUCCUCUAACACCACCCCAUCCUCUCCAAAACCACCAUCCAAAUCCCAACUCACAAUUCCACCUCCAAAAACAGCCUUAACUAACUUAACCACAACUUUGACUGCCACAGCUCUAGCCACAACAAUUCUAACCACCUCAACACCACCUUCACUAGCUGCAGUCUCACCCUCAAAUUACUUCAUAUACUAUGGCACAGCUGCUAGUGCAGCCAAUUACGGGGGUUAUGGCGGCAACUCGGACAAGAAAGCAUCAGCAGAGUACAUUUACGACGUCCCGGAUGGAUGGAAGGAGAGGCUAGUAUCCAAGGUUGAGAAGGGAACAAAUGGCACAGACAGCGAAUUCUACAAUCCCAAAAAGAAGCAGGAGAAGGAAUAUUUGACUUAUCUUGCCGGUUUUCGGCAACUGGCACCAAAAGAUGCUGUGCUGAACAACUUGGCUUUGUCAGAUGUUAGUCUGCAAGACCUUAUUGCUAGUGCAGAUAGUGUUACAUCAACUGAGAGGCAGGAUGCGAAUGGACAAGUGUAUUACGAUUAUGAAAUUGAGGGAAUUGGGGCUCAUAGCUUGAUAUCAGUAACCUGUGCAAACAACAAGUUAUAUGCUCACUUUGUCAAUGCACCAGCACCAGAAUGGAAUAGGGACCAAGAUGCUUUAAGGCACCUUCACCAGUCAUUUAAGACAGUUGGAUAGAAAUAGUACAUCAGUGUGUCUUGCUAUUUGCAUAAUUUUGUCCAUGAGGAAAAGAAAGCUAGUUGAAGAAGUAAUAAAAGGUUUCUUGUGAAUGUUUUUUGAUGACUGAUUAUAUGUUUCUGUUUUGCUUCUGUUGGAUGGGUUGUUUUCCAUAUGAAGGUGUAACUAAAAUGGUUUCUUUGAGAGGAAAAUUGUGUUUCUGGAAUAGGGGUUUUACAUUUCUUCACUAAUUUACCACUAAGACAACACCAUAGUUGAUUGUAGAGAGUGAUGUUCAAUUUUGUAUUACAAUGCUCAGUUAGAGCCUAUAUAGCUCAUAAACUGCUAUAGAAGUCAAUGUCUUCCAGAUGUUUCUCAUUACGUUACAUGAUUUUCAUCAAGUAACUUGAAGACAAUCUAUGCUGUCCAGCCUCUGUUAGGAAAGAGCAACUCAUCCUUUCAACAAUCUUGUGCAAAAUUUUUCCCCACCAUAAAAGACCAGAAUUUUCUCCUUUUCCUCCAUUUUUGGUUUGAGGCAGGUGGACUGUCGAUGAGAGGGAGUGAUAGUUAGAUGUACAUGAUAUCAGAAUUACUCAACACUGUCAAGUUUGUUAAGAUCAGUUAGCAAAAUUGUAAUUCAAGAAAGGGCUGUUUAUACUUCUUUGCUUGCCCUUUAGCAGAUAACUGAAAAGCCCAAAACCAAUGACUGGAUUCUUAAAUCUGAGCCAAGAAAAAUAAAGACGACCGAAUCAUUCUGUAAAAAAUUUCAAACUUCAACCCCUGCACAUUAGAUCCAGCAAUGGCAAAGAAUGAUUCAUGCCUCGUUCAGUUUGGUCUAAACAGAAAACUAAUAUUAAUAUACAUAAUCUACCUGAAAGCUUUCCUUUUCCAAUAUAUGAAACUCUUCAACUCAUCCGCCUAUGAACUCGUAAGUUAAGAUAAUCAGAAACGGAAAGAUCUCUAAACUACAAAAGAAUAAUACAAAACAAUUCUAAACUUCCAAGAAUUCAUACUUCUGAAAUCACUUUUUCAAAAAGAUGUCGGUCGGAGACUUCAUUUAUGGUUCUAGAAACAAAAAAGGUUUCAUGAAUGGACUGAGUUUAGCUGAAAAGGGAUCAGUCUUCGAAAUUGUAAGAUGAAUGAAGUUUUCAUUGGAAAUGCAUCCUUUCAUAUAUAAGCAACCAUGUUCCUUCUUUACAAUAUGAACCAUAACACUCGUUACCAACUCAUUGAUCAAUAGUCAUUGUUUCGGCAGGUAAUUGAUUAGUGGAUUGCAGGCUUUACAAAUGCAAAAGGAUAUACACAUAACCAAAGUUCCGUUAGUAUAAAGUGAAGCCAUCAUCAUAGGAUACAUGCCAUCCUUGCCUGCAAGGUGGGGCAUUCUCAUCAUACUCGGCACAACAGCUCCAUCGCUUUUUCCAGUUGGAUAUCCCUGUAUUUGGUCUAUUAUCCUUCUCAUUCCAUCUGUACACAAUUACACCAGAUUUAUCGCUCCACUCUCCAUCAAUACCUUGGUGUGGUGGGGCAAAUGCAAAUAAUCCUCUCUCUCCUGCAUAUUUAAAUAGUCAGAAUUCAGUAAAGAGAUGUACUUUUGUUAUUAAACCAUAUGUUGCAAUAUCUGAUAGAAUAUUUCUGAGCUUUUAAACCAUAAAUAUGACAAAUUGAUGGACAGGAAGGCAAAAAAAGGAUCUAGAUAAUAAUGCUAUCUGAUUUUAGUUGCUGCAAAGCUUAUGAUACACUCAGUCUACCCACCUGGGAAUUAUUUCUUCAUUAGUUUCAGUUACAGACAUAUGGAUUCUCAUGUGGUUUGGAUUACACGUUACAAAUGGGCACGUACAUUAACAUACACCAUCACAUACAUUCCUUGGUAUUUCACCAUUACUACAAUUCUGCAACUCCUUUCAGAAAUCCAACCUCUUUAUAACAUAUAUAAUAUUGGUAAAGUCGUAGCAUCCAUCCUAAACCGUGUCAAAAGGUCAUAUGAAUGCUUAACUACCUUGUUACUUAUAAUGUAGUUAUAGAAGAACUCUAUAUCAAUAUUAUAGCAUCUUAAUGAAGCAGCCCUAAUCUCCACUUGAUGAUAAUUUCUUUUCUCUUGCAUCGCCAAAUUACAAAAAUGCUUUUCGGCUAUACUGGUUAUCCUCAGGACAAAUGAAAAUUUGUUCUUUCUGGAGUCUGAAGGUGCACCUAAUACUGUAGCUUUUGAUUUUCCAAGACUGCAAACAAGAAAUGAGAUAAACAUGAGCACUAUAGUAGAAUUCCAUGAAUAUGAGUUGAAUGUGAAUACACAAUCACAGGUUUAAAGUUACUUAGGUAUUUUAUACAUUACAACAUGGACCACAAACGCGAGCGCGCGCGCACAACACAGAGAGAGAGAGAGCAGUGAAAUGUUGAUGGUACUACAGAUGUUUAAGGAAAUUGCAUUUGCUAAACUAGGGACUGCUUGCUUUUUUCAUCAGCAUAGAGACAGAGAGCUCCAAACUACUUCAAAAUAACCAGAGACAUAAAAUUUAAUGGGAAUGCUGAUGGUAAAUGAGGUACUUUCACCCACACCUCAGAAGUACCUAAUGUGCUUUUUGUUACUUUUAACAGCUAUUAACAUCCUUAUUUGGUUGAAUGUAAACUACUUGGGAAAAAUUUGCUACAGUCCUCUAUUUUCUUGGCCAUGCAAUAUGCAUCUGCAACAACAAAGCCAAAUUGCCAGGGAAAAGUGUAGAACUCACUGUGAUGUUGCUAAUUUCCUAUGCAUUCAGGAACCAGCAUCAACCUCAGUGUGGUAAUGACAAAAGUAUGGCUAAAGUUUUUAAACAAUGUAUAAGUUCACUAAUAGCUAACAUCAUCCUAAACUAAGCGAAGUUUUUGAGAUACUGGUAUCAUCAUCUAUACAAAAUCGCUUCUCUGAACAUCUAAUGUGACAAGAAUUGCUAUGAGGAAUCUUAUAUCUAAAUAUCAAAGAAGCAAAUGACUACUAUGGUCCUGUGGAUGAUCAGGAGUGAAGCCAGAUAAGCAAUACUUCCUAUUCCCUAAAUUUACUUCCCUAGCUCUGACUAAUGCCUGAAACACGUCUCUUGUUCACCACCAGGACUACCAAAAAAUAAUCAAAUUCAAUCCAUGAAGAUCAUAUGAUCUAUUAGUUUCAGGCAUAAAUGUAUUCCUUGGUACUUCAAAGUUCAAUCAAAUACAGUGGCAUGACAUUUUAUGAUGCUGUAGCACUUUCUUCUAAGCAGAAUGCACAAUCACUUUCAAAAUUCCAGGACUAAUAGGCUAAAUCUUGUUCGAAUAGCUUUCUGCUCAUGUUAUUUAUGGAUGUAUUGUCUUAUCUUACUAACUAUUAAGAUAAACCAAGUUCAGGCAUUUCAGUCGAGUGAUAGGGACACUGGACCGAAAUGAGUUGAAUGUAACUGUAUUAUCAUAAGUUUGAAGUUACUUAAGCAUUUUGUGGAUUAGCGAGAGAGAGAGAGAGAGAGCAGUGAAAUGUCGAACAUGUUCCAGAUGUUUAGGAAAGUGCUUUUCUGCACAGCUUAGAAACAGAGAGCUCAAAGUAAGCGGCGCAUGAAGCAGAACAAUAGUCUGCCUCUCGGAUGAUGUACAAAUACUUCAAAGGAACCCAAGAGGCAAGAACAUAAAGGGAAUGCUAGUGGUAAAUGAGUUACUUUCAUCCUCCCCUCAGCAGUAUCUAAUAUGGUAUUUAUUUAAAACAACUAUUAACAUCCUUACUUUCUUGAAUACAAACAAUUUGCACAGAUAUGGCUACAGUUCUCUAUUUUCUUGGUCAUGAACAAUGCAUCUGUAAACAAUGAAGAGAAAUUGCAGGAAUAAGUAUAGAAUUCAUCAUGAUGUUGCUAUUCUCCAAUACAUUCGCAAAUCACCAUGAACCUCAGUCUAACAAAGUACGAAGUAUGGCAACAUUUUUUUGAACAAUGAAUUAGUCCACUAAUAGCAAAAAUCAUUGUAGAAUGAGUGAAGUAUUUUGAGGUACUGGUGUUAUCAUCUACAUAAAAUCACUUCUCUGAAUGUCUCGUGUCACAAAAAUUACUAUAAGAAAAUUUUUGUCCAAAUAUCAAAAAAAUAAAUGACUAUAAUAGUCCUGUGGAUGAUCAGGAUUGAAGCUAGGUAGGCAAUAUUUCCUAUUCCUUAGAUUUACCUCCCUCCCUGUGACUAAUGCCUGAAACACAUUUUUUUUGCGCCACAAGGACUACACAAGAUAAUUAAAUUCGAUCCAUGAAGAUGAUAUGAUCUAUUAGUUUCUCACACAUACAUAUAUAUUCCUGGUAACUGCAAAUUCCAAUUAAAUACAAUGGCAUAACAUAUUAUGAUGCUGUAGGAUUUUCUUCUAAGCAGAAUGCAUAAUCACUUUCAAAAUUCCAGGACUAAUAAGCUAAAUUUUGUUCCACUAGCUUUAUGCUCAGGUUAUUUAUGGCUGUAUUGUCUUGUCUUACUAACUAUAACGCUGUCCCGGUUCAGCCAUUUCAGUUGAGUGCUAGGGACAUUGAACUGAAAACCAGAGGUAUCAGUUUGUAUCUCCUCCCCUCAAUCAUAUCAAUAGAAGAGAAAAAGUAUACUAUAUGAAAACCACUAUAAAAGCCUAAACUCCAUUCAUGUCAAUCCUUACUUCGUCAUGAUACUUUUCCCUCGAAAAACGAAUAUCCAUUUCACAUACUCUACAAUUCAAUAAUAGUGUCUCCGAAUCAUCUUUGACUAUUACACCUCAGGUGUUACACUCUCUAUUACACCAUUACCAUGUAUAAGGAUGACCGUUUCACUAUAUAGGGUGACAGUGACACGUCUUUCAUUAUAGAUGAAGGAAAUGAGUCCCUUGGGGAGUAUAAUUAUCAAAAUCCCAUCACCAAUUACUUCAAACAGAAGCAGAAGAAAGGCAUUUCAAAAUAAUACUUGUGAUUUUUCCACCAAAAAAAAUCAAUAAUGAUAUUUUCUUUCCUGGUUUUAGUUUCUUUAUUCUUCUCCUUGUUCCACAUGAUAUUCUGUACAAAAUAUAAUGAACGCAUACCACUAGUGUGGCCAUGGAAAGAGCAAGCAGUUGGAGAGUUAUCUUUAUCUUGAUAAAUAGUGUUGCACCUCAGGCAUCUCUUCCUCUCCUUUGCACAGAUUACUUUCUGUAGCUUCUGAGGUUGUCUAUGGCUGAUAUAUGAACCUGAGGAUGUUCUCAUUUUCUGAAUUCUUGAUGGGUUCCAGGGGAAACUUUGAGGAAGAUUAUACACCAAAGCCAUAUGGGAUUCUGUCCAAAUGAGAGUCGAGUUUUUUCUUCAGUUCAUCACAGCUCGACAGCUUCAAUCAAUGGCGAAGAUGCAGAGAUGGGUAGGAAGAAAGAACAGAUGUUUACACUGUGGCCCCUAUGAUUUUUCGCUGCUUCAAAUUAGCCCUGCAAAACGAUUCUCAUUCCUUCAUUUUGGACCUUUUGGUCAUUGACUCGUUGAUUUUUUAAUUCUCUCUCUUUUUUUUUCCAAUUAUCUUUUUUGUAAGUUUAGGUGUGGGCCUGUGGCCAUAACUCCAGAGUCCAAUCUGGAAGGCCGACAAUGAAACAAAGCUUAUUUUGUUUUUCAUUUCGGUUGGUGGGUUCUUGGACAACCAUUGAUAAGUGGAUCCUAUAGUUGUUUGAAUAUUUUGGGCUUCUCUUUUAUUAGUAUCUAGUAGCAGUUAGACUAUAGUCCUCAUUGAGCAGGUAAAACCCAACUAUUUGAUGCCCUGGGUAGGGGUGUCAACAGGUCGGGUUUGGAUCUGGAUCUGACCUGAAUUCGAUAAAUUUUUCUGAGUUUGAGUUGAAAAAUAAUUCCGAUACUCGGACCCAGACUUGUACUCAUUUACUUUAACAAAACGGAUCAGAUACGGAAUAUAGGAUUCCGAUUCGGACUCGAACAAUAUAUUAAUAAUUAUAAAAUAUAAAUAUUUCUAAAUACAUUCUUUUACCAAAUUAACAAUUUAGUAAUGACUUUGUAGAUUGAUUUGUGGUUAGCUUUGGAUUGACUAUUGCGAAUUAUUUGUGAUUUAACUUUGUAAUUUGAUUUGUUUAAGUUUGGAGAUUGAAUUUAUGGUCGAUUUUGGAUUUAAUUUUGGAAUGUUUAAAUCUGAAUUUUUUCUUUCUGGGUAGAUUAGGAUCCAACUCGGGACCCGUUGGAUCUGAUGACCCGUCGAGUAUAUGGGUCGAGUCUGGAUCUACUAUACAAAAACAGAUUUGGGUUCGGAAUUUUCAAUUCUGACUCAAACCCCACUUGUUGACACCCCUAACCCUAGGUUUGGUUAAUAUGCAAUUAGUAAUUGGCCUUAAAAAAGUGGUAGUAAGAUUUUCUAGGACACCGUUACUACACGUAAAUGACCCACAACUUAUCAUGUUAGCGUGCGUGCUCAUAAAUGUACCUCUAUAUGUUAAUACUUUUUUCAAAUUAUUUUAUUUUUCCCAAAAAAAUUAACGUAUGAAUGCCCGUAGAUCAGCCAAACCCAAAAAUAGUGAACACGAAUAAUAAUUGAGUAAAUAUUAUAUGCACUGAUAGUAUGUACACUAUUACGAUUAGAUAUACGACACAUAUGUAAAAUUUGAAUUUUAAAUUUAAAUUCGAAUUAUGUGUUAUGUAUCCAAUAGUGAAAAUAUAUACGCUGUCAAUCAGUGUAUAAAAGAUUAAAUAGUUCAAACAGAGUAUUGGCUUAAACAUACAAUUGAACAGCAUAAUUAAGGGUGAUUGAACUUCUUAAAUCAUCGUCAUCUUUCAAAAUUUGGAGGCUCCUGCAUUACGAAUACUACCUUCCUUUGUAUUCACUUUUUACCAGAAUUACGUUGCCAGUAAUAUUCAUCAGCUGGGAAACCAUUAAGGACAUCAGCCAUCAUGCUUUGUAGUUCUAUUGAAAACAUCAAAUGAUGUGUCCUUUGUUUUCCAAUAAAAGUGACAAAAAAAAAUAGUGUCAAUCUUAAAAAAAAUCUGGAUGACUAUGACAACAUAAACAUGAUGUUUUGGAUCAAAUAAAUCCCAGAAUGAUGCAUGUGCUAGGACAAAGCACAAUAAUGUAACAAGCAAGAGAAGAAUACUUUUAGCUUUUGUAUGGUGCAUUUUGGUAAUAUGCUCUUGUGAGUUACUAGUCUCCACAUACAUAUAGAGCUACAUAGAGGAAUUAAAUUUGGUUCUUGGGAUAAAGUUAACGAAUAUGGAAGUUUGUAUUGAUAAUGCAAAUUACCCUGUGACUCAUGUCAAUACUAUCUAACACAAAUGAAAUGAAGCAAUUAAGUAAAGAUUAAACUGUUUGGUUAACAAGUGCAUGUCUAUUAGAUAUUCGAAAAGGCGAGGUUCAGGUGUUAAAUUUUUUCUUUUUUUUUUUUUGUAUAAAUUAUGAUUUUAUUGAACUAAAAUAAGGGAACAUUAUACAAUUUUUAACUCAUGCUUCUCCUACGAAAAUUAGGGCAACCUAACCGCUCCAUUUGGAUCUCGCCCCCGGACCAUAGCAAGCAAUUUUUUUUGCAAAAGUGUAAUUAAUUCGGGAAAGUGUAUUUAUAUGAUAAUGUUUUAAUGAAUAUCUAUUGUACACCCGUUAAAACCAAGAUUAAAUUAAGUGACUCAAUUAAAGUUUGAGCCACAGUGUCACCCUGUGGUAAUCAUUUAUUUUCCUUUAAUAAUGGAAAGACUUCACCACGUUUACGUGUCAAGUAAUUAAUGAGAUAACUAUAUAUUGCUUCUCAAAAUAUUUGUAUUACAAUGAAGAUCCUAUUCAGAUGGAAGUUGUAAAAUGCAUAAAAUGCCGACGAGUUGAUAUUUGGAAAUAACACAAGAGAAUUAGGCCACACUACUAUACAUACAUCAAUAUUUAAAGCAUGUAAAAUUACGUAGUGAUAAUAUUCAAAGUAGACCGAUUAAAUAAAUUUGCCUCAAGGUAGCUUAUUAUACUAAAUCACACAUCGUCUGCCUAACGAGUGUCAAAUUACAAGUCAGGUAUUAAUAUUUUGAAAAUGUAAAGUUAAAUAGAGAAAGGUUAUAUAUACAAGGCAAGAUAAUAAACAUUAGUGUGUGAAUUUACAUGAUAGUUUAAAUAUGAUUUAUGUGUCUUAACAAGUAUUCAUUAGACGCUUGUUAGGAAAAUCCGAUUAACAACCCAGUAUAGAUUUUUGCUCAUCAUUAUACAAUUACAACCUGUAGCCUGCAGGAGUACACCUCAAACUUUUAAGUUCUCCAUUAUAGACACUAAUCAAUAAAAAUUUGAAAAAGUUUAGGGUAAACCUUACUUAAGGGAUGGGAGAUUUUCUGUAAACCUUGGUGGAUGGGCAUGGCAGGGAAUGCUGCAGCAGCAAAGCUAAUCAUAUAUGCUUUGCAGCCAGCCUGGGAUUUGGGCUUCAGGAAAGCAGUUUUAGAUAAAAAUAAGCAAGUAGGAUUUUCAGUGAUAGAGAAAGCAAAUUUCCCAUAAAAGUCCACAGCAUCAUAGUUGUAAUUAGGCUAGUAAAGAAUAGUUAACUAAACCAUACGAAUGCAAAUUAGGGCAUAUAUGAAGAGAAGGAAAUGCAUGCAGAAUGAUCAAGUGGGAAAGAUGAGUGUAAUUAUAUGAUUAACUAGGCUCAAAGAACCCCUAACUUCCCUGCCCCCCACCACCAAGUUUCAUGCAACUAAUUAAUAGGAGUUAGUGUUAUUAUGUCACUAACUAUGUCAAUAGGUAGGAUUUAAGUUGAUCUACUAGAUUCAAAUCUACAGAAGUAUCGUUUCAAAUUCAAAUUAAGACCUAUAUCUCGACAUAAAUGGGUUUGGAUACUGAAUAAGUAUGGAUGACUUAAAAUUUAUGCACAAUCAAUGAAGAAUAGUAAAAAUGAAUUUCAAAUGUAUGAUAAACAUAAUUCAAUUACCAUUUUUAAAUGUUAAAAUCACCAUUCCUACAAAAUGUUACAUGUAAGAAUGAGAAUUAAAAUUAUAGAGUUAUAUCAAUGAAUUGUAUUUCGCUAAAAAAUUUUCUACAACAUCCAAUACUAAGGGUGUGUUUGAUAAAACUAAAAUCUGAAAUCUGAAGUCUGAAUUUAUUAAGUUAUUGAAUUGUUAAGUAUUAAAUCUAAUACAUUUGAAUGUAUAUCACAUUUAGUGAUAAGUGAAUAGCUUAUCACUUAAUUUUGGGAGUAAGUUUUGUCUAGGAAAUUCAGUGCCACUUAGUUAAUUCAGAUGUUUAAUUUUUUAUUAUCAAAUAAUCUGAAUAUGUUAAUAUCCGAAUUUAUUAAAUUUAAGUGAUGAACUGAAUUAUCAAACCCGGCCUAUAGCCUGUGUGUAUUUAAAAAUUCCUCCACUUUUUCUCGUUUUGCUUUAAGAGUAUGUCAUUAUGUAAUUUGAAUCUUGCUUAUGAAAUUUAAUCAUUGAAAGUCAUUUUACUAAAAAUAAAAGUACUAAUAGUUGCGAACUAUGCAGAAAAAAUAUUUUUUAGGUAAAAAGAAUAUUAUUUGACACAAUUACACUAGAUUACUGGUUAAGAAUUGAAGUCUGCUUGUGGACCAUAGAUUCCUUUGAUUGACCUUUUCUUGUCCAGGAACAUUAAGUUCAUUCUUAACCUUCCCAAAACAACAGAAAAAUGGUCCUAGUUUUCUCCACAGAACCCGAAUCAAAAGAAAGCGGGAAGAAUACAUGGUUUACAAGGCAAUCAACCACAUCAACAUUAGCCAUUUUCAUCGGCAGGACAUCCAUUGGCUGGUGAGGGUGGUCCAUUACACACACUUUUAAGCAUUUAUUAAAAGGGUUGAAAAACACUUUUAAGCAUCCAUCAAAAGGGUUGAAAAAUUUUACAAACCAAAACCAAAUUCUUUACUAUUGACAUAGAUACUACAUUCUAUCCACCCAAAAACAACACCAAUCAAUCCCUCUAAUAGAACAUCCCACACAAAACAAUAAGAGAAGAAAAGGAAGGAAAAACGCUUCUAACCACGUUAAGGCAAGAAUAAAAAGGAAAAGAAAAUAAACCAAGGAUCCCCAUUAACUUCCAACAAUUCCAAUUAAUGUCAAGCUGGAGAUUCCCUUUCUUGAUCGAUAUCAGAUGCUGAAUCAUCCUCUUCUUCAGAAACAUGAAUGCCUAAUGCUCCAUGACCACGACCAAAUGCUCUUAUAUGAUCCUUGAGAGAUCUUUUAUGCUUAAAAUCAGAACCACAAAUGCAAUACCAAAUUUUCCCACAAUUCUUCUCAUGAGUUCUCCAAUCACCCUUCACUGCAAAAGGCUUACCACAUUUUCGACACAUGAAAGGCUUAAUCCCAUGCUUUCUCUUAUAAUGUGUUUGAAGGGUUCUGAAAUCUUUCAGCGGUCUGGUUCUUGGAUGAUCAAUAUUGUGCUUGCACCCUGGUGCACAACAAUAGCAAGGAAGCUUCAACAUUGCUGUUGGUUGAGUUCCCCUCAAUGAUUCUGGCCCUUUCCUGUAUUGAGAUCCAUGUCCCCACAUAUGCAUCUGCAAUUUUUUUUAAUUCAAAAUUUAAUUUAAACAAAAAAAAGUACUAACCAGGAUAACUAGCUAUUUUAUUUCACAAAAAAGAUAAUUUGGAAGGUCAGAAAUUUAUAAUUUGUAUUAUUAUUUCAAUAAAGAAUGAGGAUUCUACGAUCAUGAAAACGAUUUUGAACUAAUAUGCAUGAUUUAAGGUCUCUUUGUGAUUUCAAUUAUUCUUGUUCUCUGUACAUUGACUCUUCAAGGCUAGGAGCUACUAUGGUAUGCUGGAGCUAUUGCUACAAUUUAUUUAGUCAAAAUUAUAUAAUCUCAUACUAUAAGUACCUAAAUGGUAAUUGUUGACUCUUAACAAAAUUCAUGGAGUGGAUAAGGAAAAUCAUGGAGUGGUUAAAAGCCGUUGGCGAGCCUUUGGCAAUAGUCUUGGUGUUUCUCCUCCCACUUUUCCCUCUAUUCCACAUCGAUUGUAAGUGGUGUGUGUGUGUACUACUUAAGGUGCUCAGUGUAGCCUGAAAGUCAGCAUGCCUUUUGGGUUGGGCUGUGGGUUUCCCUUAGGUAAUGUGUGUGUGUGUGUUUGUUAUUUCUCCCCUUAGGUAGUGUGUGUGUGUGUGUUUGUUAUUUCUCCCCCUUUCCCUCUAUCCCACAUCGAUUGUGAGUGGUGUGUGUGUGUACUACUUAAGGUGCUCAGUGUAACCUAAAAGUCAGCAUGCCUUUUGGGUUGGGUUGUGGGUUUCCCUUAGGUAGUGUGUGUGUGUGUGUGUUAUUUAUGGUUGUUGGUGGAUAAGGAAAAUCAUGGAGUGGUUAAAAGCCGUUAGUAAUCCUUUGGCAAUAGUCUUGGUGUUUCCUCUCCCCCUUUCCCUCUAUUCCACAUCGAUUGUGAGUGGUGUGUGUGUACUACUUAAGGUGCUCAGUGUAGUCUGAAAGUCAGCAUGCCUUUUGGGUUGGGCUGUUGUUGGUGGAUAAGGAAAAUCAUAGAGUGGUUAAAAGCCGUUGGUGAGCCUUUGGCAAUAGUCUUGGUGUUUCUCCUCCCCCUUUCUCUCUAUCCCACGUCGAUUGUGAGUGGUGUGUGUGUACUACUUAAGAUUCUCAGUGUAACCUGAAUGUCAGCAUGUCUUUUGGGUUGGAUUGUGGGUUUCCCUUAAGUAGUGUGUGUGUUAUUUAUGGUUGUUGGUGACUCUUAACAAAAUUCAUAAAUUUUGGGAAACUUCAUAACUUUAUUAAAAUUUCAAGACAGAAAAUAUCAUUUCUGAAUGUAUGAAAUUAUUCUUUUUUUUUAUCUAAAGGGACAACUGAAAUCUUGGGGUGGCUGCCUUCCUUUCUCUUCCACUCUUGCAUCAACUCAUUUAUGCUGCAGAUUGCAGAUUGUGUACUAGACAAGAAUUUAAUGCACAAUUAGAAUUUCUACGGAUGGAAGUCAUGUAAAGCACUAUUAUAUUGCACUGACUAUCUGUCAGAGCGAGCUUCUUUGUUGAACAAAUGAAUAUUCAAACAGUCAAGCACCAACUUCAAAGUUUUUACUGUCGAUUGGUAAUAGGGGAAAGGAACAGGAACAUUAAUAAAAAAGAAUAGUGGGGGAAUAAAUGAAAGAAAUGAAACAGGAAUUUUGUUAUCUGAUUGGAUGAAGCGGACAAAUCGAAUGCUAUCAUCCAUUCAGUUGUUGCUACAACCUUAAUCUUAAAAUGAAAAAUGUCAAACUUGGCAAUUGGGAAGGGAACUUUCAUAAUUUAUCUCUAAAAUAUGCUACUAAAUUUCGCAUGUUUAUGCAUUUAUUAGAUUUGAGUGCCAAAAUCAAGAGGAAAGUUCCAUUUCCAAGCCAAAAACUGUCUUUCUUGCUGAACUGAAAAAGUGGAACAUGGUAAAUCAAAGCAUAUUGUUUCUCAAGAGUCCAGUUUUCUAAUGCAUAUCAAGAGCUGUAAUCCAAAACCCUUGUUGUAUAACAGCUUACUUUGUUAAGAUUUGGUACAACAUUAUAAAGUUUGUAAAAGUAUUACGAUAGAUAAUACCUUUGAAGGUUUCAAUCUAAUAAAAACAAGAUUUGUGCUCUCCAAUUACUCUUUUGAUCCACGUGUCUUCUUGAAUUGGUUCUAGUUUGAAGGUAUGCCAAUUUUGGUGAUGUGGGCUGUUUUUUUUUUUUUUCUUAGUGAACUAAAGUUCCUAUAUAAUGUGUUCCUUUCUUUUAAGAAAAUUUUUCCUCGUACUAGUUCAGAAGGUACCUAGCUAAGAUUAAUUCCUAGGGCAAGCAGGGCUAGUUUCUUGUCUUUGUGAAGGAAUACUCAGAACUUAGAUCUAUUUACAUUUCCACAAAUCAGGAAUGCAAUUUAGCAUAUACCAUACCUGCAAGUUAUUGUAUCUGUUGAAAGUCUUGAAACAGACAGGACAUGAGAACUGUGUUGGACCAAUGAGAAUCUGAGAAGGUGAAGGAAUCCAAUACUGGCCUUUGUUGAGCUUGUCGUUCAAGGGCAACUCUGAUAGUACAUUACCACCUUCCUUUUCUCUUUUGUCCCAAUUACAAGAAGGAAGCCUAGAGGAGGAUAAAUCAGAACUAGGGCUUGGAAGCCCUAUGUUUAGGGCAACGGUUACAAAAUCAUGAAGAGGAGGAGUUCCUGAAAGACUACUCUCAGUUUUAGUGCUAGUGCACCUAUCAUCCUCCAAAGCAUAGCCUGAGAAGUCCUGCUGCUCAUCUGGUCUAAAGCUUAGGUUAUUCAGAAGUGGAAGAGCUUCCUUUCUGGGAGGUGAAGGAGGCGAAAGAGAGAAUUCAAUUUCACUUGAAGAUAUACUGUUCACUGCAUUUGAAUUGGAUGAUGAGAAGUGAGGAUGAUGAGGGAUAAAGUUACACCAUCCAGGAAAGAAAUUAUAGUAACAAGGUUCAGCCAUAAUGGAGGCUUAGUCUAAAGAAUCAAGCAAGCCAACAAGAAGUGAUUGAUUAAGUAGCUAGAUUGGCUGCAAGAGUCUCAGCUUUUUUCAACAUAUAUAAACAGUCGGCAUUCUGGGGGAAUGGGGGAGAGAGGAGUAGGAAAAGAAGUAUGAGGAGGAGAAUUUGAGCAGGAAAGAUAACUUGUGAUAGUGAAAGAUCAGAAGUGUUUCAAAUGAUGGUAUGGAAAUCAAGAAAUUAACCCCACCCACCCCCCCCACCCCCCAACCCAAAAAAAAAAACAACCCCUUAAGGCUGAAAAAAUAAACCAUGAAAAAAUGUAGGUGAGAAUGAAGAUAAGAUAACACAAAAAAGGAAGAAAGAAAAGCCAUAGACUUGAGUCAGAAAGCUUUAUUUUACCACUAGAACGAAAUUCUAACAUGGAGCAGUUUCAUGUUGGUCACACGUGAGUAGUGGGUUCCACCUCAUCUGAUAAGCCCUGAAAAACUGCUUAUGGGUAAAUGGGAACUAGUUCUUCACUUCGAUUAUGUCUUGCUUAUUAUUUAUGUACAGUUAAAUGAAUAAAGUGUCGGAAGAAAUAGUAGGAGGUGAAGCAUGCAAUUGAAGCAAUAGGAAUUGCAACUUUCGUAGAUGAUACAAAAUUAAUGACCUGUUUCGUUUGUUUUUUGUGUUCAAUUCAUGCCUCAAUUGAUGGAGCCCUCAUAUGGCAAACAAGGUUUUUCAAUGGACCAUUGACGAUGACAACUCUAUAAUGGUGCAAGAUUGUUUAUUUUGGAUAGACACAUUCAUUUGCUAAGGAAGAGAUGAGACAGAUGGGUCAUUUGCAGGAGAUUAUAGAAGAAGAUUAGUGCUGUCAACUUGUCCAUGGUCAAUUGAGAUAUAGGUUAACAAAUUGACAAACAUAUUUUUGUUUGUGUGAGAAGAAGAUGGAAUCAUAUUGUUUACGUUUGAAAUUAACCUCAAUUUGAGAGGUAAAUAAUAUACAUUUUGGAAUGAAUGGUGAUAUAAAGUUACUACUUUUUCACAAGUACCCCAUGGAGUAUUAAGAGAAGAAAAUCCAAAAGCUCAUAGAUGGAUUGUCCAACUGAGUUUCCACUAUUCUUCAAAACUCACACGUGCAAGUCAAACUAUAUACUGUUAAAAUUGGUCAUAUGACAUUAAAGAAUGCCAACAACUAUACUUCAACAGUCAAUACAAAACAACUAUACUUCAACAGUCAAUACAAAACAACUAUACUUCAACAGUCAAUACAAAACAACUAUACUUCAACAGUCAAUACAAAACCCUCCUUGUUUAUUCUUUUUACUUACUAAAGCACUCAACUGGAUAAUGCAACGAAUGCGUCAAAAGUUACUGCGGACAUGCAUAAUAACAAAGAACUACAAUUUCGUUUCCCCUUUGAACAGCAAAAGUGCACAUGGUCAUGAGCAAUGUAGAGAGUGCUUUUUGUUUUUUCCUUCUUUGAUAGGUAGAAAUACACCUUAUUGAUCAAAGUAUUAAGGUAUUAAAUCUUCUACAUCUCUUACGUCUUAUCCUCAUGGUAUCUUGAUCUUUCCAAUUCCUUGCACAUUAUGUGAGACAGAGAGCAAUAAAUUUCGUCUUUUAUAAGAAGCAUCUUCUAUCUGACUUGGAAUGGAAUUAGGCUGAAUUAUAUAUAUAUAUAUAUAUAUAUAUAUAUUGAUAUGUAAAGGGACAAAAGGAAUGUACAACAGUUUCUGAAAUAUUUUUUCUGACAGGCGUAGCAAUAAAAUUAAAUGGAUGAAUAAUAAAAUCUGUUAAUGUACAAGCAAACCAAUAAUGCACAUGAACAGUACUAUGGUUUUGUUGAAUAUUUAUGAGGAUUUCAGUACGUGUAAUCAGAGAAUUAUAGAGCAAUGUCUUGUCAAAAUUUAUGAGAUUAAUAAUCCAUGAACAAAAAUCGACAAAACAUACGAAAACAUGUGAGGAAAAUGCUAGCUAGGUAAUAGUGAAUCUUUGAUAGUAAUAGUUCAGCAUUUGGUGCUUGAGAAAUUGUUAGCUAAGAGGUAGGCUGAAUGCUAUUGAAUGAAUCAUUUUCGCCAAGAACUCUAGAAAGUCCUUAUACACAAUAUACAUUUUAUGAAAGUUAAAUUUUAGUGAUUAAUUACUUCUUCAAGAAACAUGUGCGUGCCCAUGAGUUUUAAGGAACAACCAAUCAUACUUUGCUUUAAGUAGAAAAGAACAAACAAUAACUUGCCUCACUCCCUAUGCUCAUGAAUUAGUUCGUAUGAAUCACAUAUGGGACGUAGUAGGAGAUUUAAUCCAAACACUUCAAUGGACAAAAGGGUUUUAGCACAGCAUAUAUCUAUGUAUAUAAUUUUUUUGUAAAACCUAGGCUGUGGUUUCGGGAAACAUACCAGUAGUUAAUUUUAGUGACCAACGGUUGGAACUUAUAUAGGUUUGACAACUUUUGAAGAGAAGUGUUAAUGCCAAUCUUGAAUUCCUAAUUGAGGGAUUAAUUUACAAAGCAAAUAUGUUGACUAUUCUAGCCUAGUUUAUGCCAAAUUUAGCGGGACUAACAAAUCAUUUUCCCAAAAAAUAUUACUACCACUAGAACUACUUGCACGGAGACAAUUGGAUGAGGGAUUCUUUAAUUGGAUGAUCUUCACUUAAGAAUUCUCAAAAGGUUUGCAUUGUUUGCAAAAACCAAGGGUCUUUCCUUUGACUGGCAACUCAUGCUUUUGCCAAUUUCAAGAGUGCACGAGUGUGUAGUUAAUCUUUGGGAGCAAGCCGGUCUUGUCUUCAAGUCCCCACGUUUGUGAAUUGGUUUUGGUGGUUUCGAAACAUCUCUGCCUCCCAAUUUGCAAGUCCUGGGAAGAUUAAAUUAACGAGAUUUUGACCCUUUUCUUCUUUUUGCUCCAAUUACCAAAUUCAUUGUUGAUUAUUUGAGGGGUCAAUUGCCAGUACAAUCCAUGCAGAUAAAACGUUCGACACUGUGUAGAGCAUUCGACUAGGGAUUUGGGAUUUGCAGAGACGAGAUAUAUUGAGAUUACCAUUGCGGAAACAUUUUCAAAAGUGUCUGGGAACAAAAUCUAAUUCUCAGAUGUAUCAUCCAAAAAUAUUCAAUUUUCUUAACGGAACGUAUGACAAGUUCUGGAAACUUGUGGGAUCCAUCUAUGAAGGUUUGCUAGUUUUCUUGGACAUGCAUCUGUUUUUAGUGGCUACUUUCCGGCUAUUCCUAAAGUUUCUGGUCGCAACUCACAAGCAUAGGAAAUGCGAACUAUUUUUGUUCAGUUUUAAAGAUUUCAAUUCGCUGUCUUAAAAAUGAGAUCUUGUCACUAAUCAUCAAUAUUAUUCUUCAAACCUUUUUCCUUCCCCUUUUCCAAAAAAAAAAAAAAAAAAUUCCCCUUCCCCGUCUGGAGUUAAAAUAUACAAAACAAAAUCUCAUGAGAAUAUUAUCAAGAUAUUCAAGGUUUCUUUAUAUUAUUAUGAGUGCCUUUCGGAUUAUACUCUAGAUUUCUAACUAUUAUAAAGACAUAAACUUCAAAAAAGACCAAGAAUACAAGUCAUAAAGAUGUGCAUACAUCGCUAUUUAGUUAAAACAAAGAAGAUUGCUUGGUUAUAGUGUUAAUAUUUUUCAUGUUAUAUAUUUGGUUUAUAGUUUGCUCCAAAUGAUGUUUGUUGGCAAAAUAAAUGAAGUGUAGAAGUUUCUGUUUAUUUAUUUACUAGUUUUAUUGAAGUCGGCUUUUUCGUAUUUGUGUGAUUUAGGAAUUUAUAUUUUAUUUGGUAAUUUCUUAUGCAAGUGAUUUCAUAUUUGAUAAGUUUUAGUAAGUCAUGAAUAGGGCAUUAGUUGAGGUAUUUUCUAAAAAGAGUCUAAGAGCGUCUGUAAUGAUUUGUUAUAGUGUGAUUUUCUUCCAUUCUUUGAUAGUUCAAUAAUAGUGUGAAUUAUUAUUUUUCACUCCCACAUAAAUAUAUUUUGAAUAAUUAUUUUAUCCAUUCAAUUCUAUAACCUUACACGUACUAAUGAUUAUUAGAACCGUAAAUUUGGAUUCUACAAUUAGUACGCGAGCUAGACUAUGAGAUUAUUCUUGAGCGUUUCUGUUGUCAAACAAUUAAGGCACAAGAUUUGCUAAAAAGUACUCAGUUGAUCGAAUAAUACCUCAAGAUUGGUGUAGGAGUGUGCAGUUGGUGAAGAUUGGACCAUAAAUAGGUUUGAAAAUUGUCAGAUUGUUACAGGUGUUAUGACAAAGAUUAGAGACGAAACCUCUUAGAUUGUUGAUUGCUUCGGAUUGUCAUAUUGAAGGAUUUGAUUGGUUAAUCAACUAGAGAGGUCAGGAAAACAUGACAAAAGGGAGAGAAAAUUUUGUUUAGGGUAGGAAAGAAAAAAAUAUUUGUGAAGGUAGUAAAUUAUUUUCAAGUUGCAACAAAGAAUAGGGAAUUUGUCAAUAGUAAAAAAUUGAAAAAUUUACUCAUAUUGAGUACUCAUGAAGAAAGGUCAGAAUGGGUUGCAAUAAUGGAAAAAUAUCUUAAAGGUGCCACUUAGACGAUAUUCUCAAAAAUAAAUUUUGUUAGUGGUUUGUCAAAAGAAGAUAAGGAAAAGAAGGUCAAGUUAUUUUCAAGAUUAUGCAGAAAUCUAUAACAGAAGAAUAUUAUAUGAGAGUUUUUAUUAAUUCUCAAUUGCCUCAGUAGUUUUGAUCAGAUUUUUUUUUAUAUUUUGAUGGAAUUUGAAUAUGAGUAUGAUCAUAAGUCAAAAAUUCAUUUGACAUAAGAAAUUUAUUUGGAAGAAGAUAGGAUUGUUGAUGAUAUGAGUGUUUUUGAAUAUUUUGAAUCUGUUCACAAUUUUCAGUUAUAUAUCUUGUUUGGAGAAAUUGGAGUGAUGAAUUUAUUGAAGAAAUCAAUGUGUUUAUUUGGUAAAGAGAGAAGAAAAUUUUGGUUGGACAGCAAAAAAAAGAAAAAGAAAAAUGCUGUUGAAAAAUUUGUUGGCUCAAACUCUUCAAGAUGAUAGAAAAACAUUUGAUUUGAUUAAUAUGGAUUUCAUUAGAGUUGAAAAUUUUUGGAUGGAAGGAAUUCAAUACAUGGUAUAAAUUUUUGGAUGAUUGUGGUAGCCACUAUUCUGAAUUAUUUAGUAGUGAUAAUUUUGGCAAGAAAGUUAACUAUGAUUUUGUAUUUUUGGGCACUUAUAUUAGUGAUAAAUAUGAUGAAUGGGUUUGUAUAAAUGAGUACUUUAUUCAAGAAGAAAUUGCCGAGGAAUUGUUUGCGAAAUAUAAAAUUUGUCCACUGCUACGUGUCAAGACAUUGUUUUUACAAUUAUAGAGUUUUCAACUGUGAUUGUUGCUUAAGAUAGAGUUGGGCCUAAUGCAAUAGAGAGUUUGGUUUAAAAGAGACAAUGUUAGCAAAAUAAAUCAAGCCUAGAAGUUUAUAUUUAUUUAUUUACUAGUUUUAUUAGAGUCAAGUUUUUAGUAGUUAUGUGAUUUAGGAGUUUGUGUGUUAUUUAGUAAGUUCUUGUUCAAAUGAUUUCUUAUUUUACAAGUUUUAGUAAGUUAUAAAUAGGACAUUAGUUGAGAUAUUUUCUUAAAAGGGUCUAAAAGUGUUUGUAAGGUUUUAUUAUGGUAUGCCUUUUUUAUUAUUUGAAAUUUCAAUAAUAAUGUGAAUUAUUUAUUUUCUUCUCUCCCACAAAAAUAGUUUUGAGUGAUUGUUUCAUCCUUUAAUGUUGUGUGUUGGUAUUGAGAUUCUUUUUUUUUUUUUCAAUGAAAAUGCUAGCUGACUCAUUCAUACUCGAAAUUUAUUCCAGUUUGUAGUUAAUUUGCAAUGAAAUUGUCUUUACAUGUUGGUAUAUAUGUUGAAAAAGAGUCAAAUGUAAUAUAUACCAUAUGUCUAUGUGGAACUAAGAUUGGGAUCGUCGGGUUAAUUCUCUCACCAUUUUACAGGACAUACUGUAGUCUGUAACAUAUAUAUGGUAAACCAUAACAACUGCAUCGAAUUGUGUUAUAAACGAUGCUGAAGCACAAAAGUUCAAUGCCAAAUUUGCGAUUUCACUGGAAAAACUGCUAAAAAAUGUACCAAAUUUGAAAAUCAAAGUAGACCGAUCGCUUCGACCGGUUGAACUGCAAAUUGACUUGGUGCCAGUUCAUUUUUGUAGUAAACUCCAAAAAUCAAUUGAACUUGUUAAAUCCAAUCAAGAACAGAUUAAAACUAGUAACAAAGUGGACUUUAGAACUGUUUGCUACUUCUUCUUCUUUUUUUUUUUUCUUUCUUUGGUAUUUUAAUGUUAUCAAAGUUAUAGAGGAAUUAAAAUCUUUUGACCUAGGAUUAAACUGUGUAUGGGAAGAUCAUCCUGUUCAAUUACCAAUCCGGGCUUUUACUAGAUUAAACCGCAAACUCAAACAUGCACUUAAGGAAAAGUAUACCCUUGACAAGGAACAGCCCCAUGUAGUCUGUAAGCAUAAAUUUUACUAAAUAUAAAUUUGGAGUAGGUUUUAUCGUGUAAACAUUUUGUGUCUUUUGAAGUUUGUUAAAUAUUAUCCUUAAUGAAAACUGCUUAGUUUGGGAGUUUAGGAUAGAAAAGAAAAGAAGGGAAAGCUUAAGUUAUGAGAGAAGAGAAGAGAUUGUUAUGUUGUUUGGGAGUUUUGAGAAUUAGUUGAAUGAUUUUGGAUAUGGAAAUCAUUAAAUAUUUGUUCAGGGCAUUUUUAAGGACAAAAUAGGCAUUUUAGAAAAAUUAACAAAUUUUCUCCAAACUUUCUUUCCAUUUCCUUCCAAUUUGGGAGGAAAUAUUUUGGUCACUAUUUAUCCUCCCAUUUCCUUUCUUUUCUUUCUUACUUAAAACUACCAAACAAAGGAAAAUCAAGUUUUCUCUUCUUUCCCUUUCUCUUCCGUCCAAAUCCUCAACGCCCAAAGGCACCCUAAAUAACGUCCAUGACUAAAACUUCUCAUGAAUGUCCCUUUCUACUUUUAGCUUUCAUCUUUUUCUUGGUUCAUGUUUCUGGUUAGUCAAUGUUCUAAUUUUUCACAAGGAUUGAUUGCGCCAUUGCCACUAGCAUGCGGCAAGAGACUUUGGUGCGAUGUCACUUUUUGACUUGUCAACUUUACCCUCAUUUUCGUAAUUAUGUCAAUCCAACAUAAGGGUGAGUUUAUAACUUUAUUAUCUUGGUAAUAACUCAUCCCCAGUUCCCAGUAUUGUGACCAGUGGGAAUGGCACACCUAUGUGUGUGCGCAAAUCUAAAAAGAAAAAAUUUUAAAAGAAAAAUUUAUUAAAUUUUUUAGUAAUUUUUGGAGGUUUUUUUUUUUUAAUAUGGAAAGAAGUAUUGUGUUUUUCUUUUUUCUGUUUUUUAAAUUGAAAGUUGUUGGCAGUUAUUGCUUUAUUGGAAGUUAUGUUAUGCUAGAAAAAAUGGAGGUGUGUGUAUGUGUUUGUAUGUGUUUAUUUAGGAAGAUGACAGUACCAUUUUACGCUUUAUUUGGAUGGUAAAAUAGAAAUUAUAAAAAUUGACACAAAAAGUUUACACCAACCCUUUCCCUCUCCCUUUAUAUAUAGUGUACAAAUAGAUAUUAAAGCUAGGCUCUACUACUAAUAAUCUCAACGUUUAAAUUAUUUCUCACAUUUCACCAAAUGAAUUAUCAUUCUUCACUUUUAAAAUAUUAAUUUUACGUCCUUUAUAAAUUUAAAUUAGUAAAAUUUAAUCCCAACCUAAGUUUUUGAUUACUUUUUAGUCUAAAAUCACUAUAUUAUCCAUCUGCAAUCAUUUCUUAUGUAUAAAAAGGUUAGAUCCCACUAUUUUAGUGGCAAAAAUGAAUAUGGAUUAAUUGGGUCAGGUUUUACUUUUUUAUGAGAAAAAAUGAAUAUAGUUCAAAGUAGAUCCUACUUUUUUAGAGACAAAAAUCAAUAUAAAUCGGGUUAUUUAUUUAACUGCAAAUAGGAUUUAACAUUUUUGUCCUUAAAAAAAAAAUCAUGUGUGGGUCAUACGAUAGAUUCAGGGUGAAAAUAGUAAAAAAAUCUAGAUUGAGACUAAAUUUUAUCGAUUGAAUUUUGUAAGAGAUAUCGAGUUACCAUUUUAAAAAUGAAGGAUGAAAAGAUUCAUUUGGUAAAAUAUGAGAGACCCUUUUUUUUAUCAUUAUUUAUAGCAAUUUGUGAAAUACACAGUUCCACACCUACUGCUAUCAUUUUUUCAGGCAGGCAUUGCAGUCAUAUUUAGCUUUUGAUUUCACUGUAAAAAUCUCUUUGGAUGCACACCUAUCUACACUAGUGCAAAUUAAAUCCAAGUCAGUCCCAUAUAUUUACUAUCAUAAUUUGCACAGAAAUCCCAUUUUCACAGUAGCCAUAUUUUUCCCUUCUACCUUUCUGAGCUUUCUACUCCAUCUUCUGAAAAGAAAACAACAAGGACAGAGCUCCAUUAAUUGGUCCAAAGAGAGGCAACACAGAAGGCAGGCAGUUUGUGAAUGUGAGUUGUGACGUUGGGGAGUGGAAAUUGAACUUAUCACUAGUCGUUCUCAAGAGUCAUGAUGCAUGUAUAACCCAAAAAAAAAGUCGAAAUUACCGAGCUACAAAGCCAGCAAUAGAACCGAUCAGCUAGUGCAAUGAUUGGAACUCACUGUUCACGUACAAAAAUGAUGUCACAUAAAACUUAAAUUCGCAUUUGCUGAUCCCUUUUCCAAAUUGAAAGUGAUAGCCGGUUUUAAGGGCUCCAUCCUUCUCUUUCUCCUCUAUCUCUAUCUCUUUCUGGCUCUCUUGGAAGAAGAUGACCAGAUGAGGAUGCUUUUGCAUGAAUGAUUCCUCUUGACAGUAGUAUUAUUUGGUGGUGCCGAGUGCCGACAGGAGAUAUAAUGCAUCAUCACAAAGUUAACCACAACUAUCAGUUACAAAAUUCAUGCCAAAUCCAUACCCUUCAUUAACUGUCACUUGGUAUAAGUCCCAUCUGCAACGACAGUGACAUUUUUUAUUUUUAUUUUUUAUGGUUUUGUAACUUUGUUUUCUUCUUGUACUCAAUUUGUUUUUUGGAAACCAACAUGUAUUGCUGUAACACUUGGAAAUAAAAAAAAUUUUAAUAGACUUAUUUUUUUGUAUUAAAAUUUUGAAGGUUGGUUGAUAUAGUUAUUGUAUUGAAGUGGGAAUGUCAGCUUGAACUCUCUCCCGUGUUUGUACUUAGAAUGGUAAAUAGCUAGUUUAAUGAAUCAGGCAAGAGAAAACUUGGUUGGUAAGAUGUUUCAUCUAUGAUGAAAAAGUCACAAGUUUGAAUCAUUAAAGGGGCAAGUAGAAAAUUAUUAUUGAUCCUUUUCUUUUUUUCAAGAAAAAUGUUGAAUCAGGCAAGAAUUCUUAUGUUGGAUUUGAGAUACUUCUAUAAAAAAAAAAAAAAGUCCAUUUUGAGGGAUAACAACUUGUCCAAUAUUUUAUGAAACUGAAAUUGAAACUUACACUUGCAGUAUCUUGUGGAAUUCAGAGCUAAGUUAAUAAUUUAUUUGACGUCAAGUUUUUGUCAAUGCGAGUGUUGAUUUAAUCAUAUAACCGCUCAAUCUAUUAGGUCAAAGCUUUGUCAAAGGGCAUUAGUAGAUUGAACUCCUUGAUUAGCUGGAUGUUUGUUCAAGAAUGAGGUAGUGGUUCCUGUCAUUGUUAGGUUAAUUACCAAGGAGCUGGUUGCACUUUAUCAUGAAUUUGAGCUUGAAUGUUCUAGUGGUGGGCAUGAGUUAGCUAAUUUGGUAAUAGUAACUGAUGGAGAUGCACACCACAACUCAAUUGAAUUGUUUGUUAUCCCAUAGAUUUGCAUGAUUAAGAAUUUUUAUGCUUACUUCAGCUUAAAUGGCCUUAGCGAUCACCUCUUUUUUUUUUUUUAAUUUUAUUUCGAGACAGAUUAUUUGAUGUUUCUAAUGAACAUAUGCUUAACUAACAAAACCUCUAGACUUCUUUCAUUUUUGAUAACCCUUUCAUGAGUUAAAUCCAAUGAACUGUCAUUUAAGAGUUUGGCUUAGGAGAACUAAAAAUUAGUUCAAAUCUCUCCUUUUUCUUUGUGUACACAUAUACACACACCAAAACCAUGUUAAUAAUUGGUACAACAGAAGAAGUGUUUUAAAAAUUCCAAUAAGAAUUUAUGAUAUCUUAUUUUCAUUAAUUGUUAUAACUUGAAGUCUCCCGCAAAACUAAGUGUAACUUUGUUUGGAUUGUACAUUAUGUACAUCUUAUUUAUACAUACUGACUUACUUGCAUUGUCAAUAUAUUUUUUAAUCGUUUUUUAUCUCAUAUAUAUCACAUUAAAAAAAUGCUACAAAAUUUUUUUCAAAAAAUUAUUUCAAAUAAUUUCCUAUCUAAUUUAAGUACAAAGAGUAAAGAAAAUUUCAUACUCUUUUUUUCUUCCGAAACCCAAAGAACUUACGUCAAUUUUUAUAAACCUAAACCCCGAGGGAACCCCAAAAAUCGGUAUCCUUUAAGAUUCCACAGGAGACUUAUAACUACCAAUCCAAACCCUCCCAACCCCGAUAUGGGAUACAUUAAAGGGGAUGACACCCCAAACCUCCACAACGGAGAGCCUGCUGCUAAGCCCAACUGGAACCCAACCCCCUAGAGGCGAUAUUACAGUAUCAGAAAACAUCAUACUUCUUUCAGGUGACAGCUAGAAAAUUCUAUAUGCUUUCAAGAGACAAGAAAGAUAUUAUUUCAGUCUAGUCAUAAAAUGAUUGAUUUGAAGCCAAGUACUGAAUGAACUUCAUCGAAAGUCAUUCCAAGAUUUAUUAUCGUGGCUCCACACAUCCUAUUGUUCUUUUAAUUAAAACAGCAAUUGUCAAUUAUAGACCUCUAAAAAUACAUAUUUACCCUCUAUUUCAUAAGGUGCGUUUGGCUGAUUAUUUUUCAGGUGUUUUUAUAAAGAUUCUACUAUAGCUACGUUUUUUACAAAAGCAUUUGGCGUGGUGUUUUUAAUGUUUUCUUGAAAAUAUUUUUAGAGAUGGUGGUGAAACUUCUCCCCGCCUUGUUCGCCAUCCUUCACCAUCCCCUUUUCCCUUUCCCUCCAAAGCAUCGCUUGCCACUCUGGAGUCCCCCUAGGCAUCCCUCCCCUUCCAACCCCCUCCACUAAUACUCUUACAAUACCUUGGCCCUCCUUUCUCUCUCCCUCCCCUCCCACUUUUCCACUAGCCGUCCUCUCAUCCCUGCGAUUUGAUUGGGAAGGGAAAGGGAGGGGUCUGAGGUAAGGGGAAGGGAGGAAGAGUAAGGAAGGCUAGGGAUAGGGUGAUGGUGGAGCAGGCAAAAGUAGGAAAGGGGUAUUUAUGUCUGUAUCAGUGUAUGUUUUUGGAUAGUUUUGAGUAUUUCACAUUUUUCUAUUCGUGUUUUCUGAGACAUCUUUGGUUUUUUUUACUGGAACAUUUAUGCUAACCAAACUGACCCUAAUUUUCAUCUCCAGCCUCUAUAUGAAGUUCAUUGAUGAAUAGGGGUUGAAGCCCAUCACAAUUGCCGGGACAGAAUAAUAUCCCAACAUUUUGGGUGUCAAAAUGUGGUGCUGUCGUGGUCCUGCCCCCUAUAGCAAUUUCAAAUUUCGCUUUGAAUAUUUUUUGAACAUAUUUUUUAAUUAUUUUUUUUUAUUUUAGCAAUAUUUUUAUCCCACAUCACAUACCAGAAAGUAUGAUGGUGCUAAUUUUUCUUAAAAUACUUCUUAAAAACUCCCAAAGGAAGUCGUAAAAUGCAAAUUUCAAAAAAAUACAAAAUGCUCGAUCAAGGGUGCAAUCCCACAACUUUACCUGAUAGCUAUAUGAUUCUUAAAAUUUAUAGUGAUGAUAGUCAUGCAUUUCCACCACAUGAUUUACAAAAUUAUUCAUUUAUACCUUUAUGCUAGUGUCACUUUCUUGGUUAAUUUUUAACAAUUCAUAUACAGUUUCACUACCCUUUCCCCAAGAAAUUUUCUUAAACUUUCCGGGCAAAAAGUCAUCUCACAUUUUGCUCUUCUGGUCUCCAAAUCCUGGUUGCCAUCCAGAAAUUUGGAUAUACUUCGUCCCCAGUUGCCACUUGCCAGUCAAAAACAAUAGUAUCUGAAACAAAAUAUCCUCGACUAUUUAGAGAUUCAUGACUGAUUACCUACUGAUUCAUUUGACACACAACCAAAAAAAUAUGCUGAAUCAGAAAAAAAAAAAAAAAAGAAAAAAAGAACGGGCUGGAGAUUCCAUACCACCCUUUUCUCACGAUCAUAGUUUGUUUUUUUUUGGUGGUAAUUAGAGAUGCAUAGAAGUAAAUAAAGGGUUUUGCAAUCAGUUGCUUAAUACAGUCAUCUAGGAAUAGUUGAUCCCCUUAAAUCAUCCAAAAGAAAGGGGAGUACAAAAUCAGGGCAGGAAAAAAAUCUGGAAAUGUGCUCCAUUGUCUCCUCUCCAUUUAGCCAGCCUAUCUGCAGAGCGAUUUGCCUCUCUAAAAUUAUGGUAGAAACAUGCCUGGUGGAAUGUAGUCAACAGCUCCCUUUGCAGUUGCAAAGGAGUAUUACAUGACAUGAAAACACUGUCCAAAAUGGGCCUCUUUGUCUGAGUGGUAAUUGAGAUUUUUUUUGUCUAAGUGGUGGAAUGUAGUCAACAGCUCCCUUUGCAGUUGCAUAGGAGUAUUACACGACAAGUAUUACAUGAAAACACUGUCCAAAAUGGGCCUCUUUGUCUAAGUGGUAAUUGAGAUUUUUUUUAUACCAAAGGAGACUGUAAGCCUUACAAGAGGGAAGGGGAAAAUAGGAGAACUUGAGAGGUAAAUCAAACAUCUCGCGGUUAACUAACUAAUAUUUCUAUCAAUUAAGUUGGAUUUUGAGGAUUGGUGACUGAGAUAUGAAUACCGCAUAACGAUCACGCCCAUUAUUUUCAGUGCGAUGCCUUGAAGCUCUCUAAGCCAUCACAAGUGAAUGCUAUUGUUAAAUUUCUCAUUACAAGUGAAUGUUGUUAAAUUUCUAGAGUAAGCAUUGAGUUCAAGAGGUGUUUGGUUCAUAUUCAGAAUCAAAAUUAGAAUUAUAAAUUCCACUAUAACUACGUGGUUGCCCAUUCACUUUAUAUAUUUGGUUUUGAGUAUAAACAAAGACUUGAUCAAUUUGAAACCUAACCUAGAAUGAGACAAGAUCCAACAGCUUCAUUCUCAUCAAAUGAUGCCCGUGGACGUCUUCUGCCAAACAAUAGAUAAAGUUAUUAUUCAUUUGAAACCCGUUCGUACCCCUAAUACCAUUUGUCCCAAACAUUCAGUGCCGCAUAAUAAAUUCAAAUGCUUUAGUUUUGAUUAUCAAAUGCAUCUGAAUAUGUUAAGAUCUAAAUUGAUUCAAUUUAAGUGUCGAAUUGAAUUAUCAAACAGGAUCAAAUUGUGUCAUGAUAGUGCUAUGAUAUGCUUGCUUAUUGUCAUAAAAGUCCAAUCAUAUUCUUCUAUAACCAUAUGUCUAGUAUUUAACUAAAUGUAUAUAUCUACCACUUACACGUGGUGCCUAAUUAAAAAAAACAGCAUUUUAUUAUUUAAGAGAGGUGGCCUUAAAACUUAAAAGCCAUGCAGAAAGGCAUGUGCGGAGUGUAAGCCAAGAAAGGGAUGGUAUUACACAUGAGAUGUCACAGCUGCAGCAAGAAAUUCCACAGGACAACACUUUAUGGACAAAGCCGGCAGACGCUGUAGCAGCCUGUACUCUGUAGUCUGUCAACAAACCCACUCGAAACUAUAUCUCACUUCCCACAACACAAGGUUUAUAGUUAUCGCCAUCUUAUUAGCUUGGUGUGGCUCAAAAUAGACCUCUCAAUGAGCACGGGUGCAAAGAUGAAAGAGACAGCUUCUUUGAGCUUCGAGGCCAUUUGAGCCCCCCUUUGUUUUCCGUUUUCUUCUUUCCAAGUAAUAAUUUGAAGCCAAGAAGAAUCCCUCUUGAGCUGGAAGAAUUAAGCCUUUGAAAAGCCAAAAAAAAAAAUUUUUAAAAAAAGCCUACCUCAUUAUAACUUUAUAAGUGAAGAUGGUCAAUGCAUUUCUGCCAUUUUCUAUCCCCAGUAAAAAGCAUGACGAAGUGAAAGUGAUCAAUAAUGAUCAAUUUGUGUCACGUUUGGGAAGGAUGAAUCCCGCAAAUCCAGCAAGAACGGGACAUUCUGUGAAAGAGAUAUCUUGGCCAUUCUGGACUCCUGAGCAAGGCUUGAAUUAUUUGAUGGCUUUUUGGUUUUCGUGGUUUUUCAUCUUCUUGAUUUUGGCUUUUGGACUAAUUCAUAGAUUUUGACUGCUGCUGCAAGCUAGUUUUGUUCCGUAUUAGUAUGAUGAAUCAUGAUUAUUUUAAACAUUUUUACAUAGAUACCAAGCUUGAAUUUUUUGACGAAAGCAAUUAAAUUGAUCCUUUCUGGUUUCUUUUUUCUCUGGAAAAAAAAAAAUUUAACUAGGGAUGUUUUAGUUUUCUGUUUUCUUUUAGGGCGAUAAUUUUCUAUUUUGUCUUUUCUGGUUCAAUUAUAUCCCCCAGCAUAUAUUCUUGGCCUUUGGAAAGAGUAUCCCACGUAGGUCCUUUAAUAACAGGCCAGACGCUUGAAAAUGCUAGGCUGGAAAUCACUCUCCGUUUGAUUCUUUAAACUAGUCAGACAAAGCGAGUGUGUGAGGGCACAACUAGUUGGCUCAAGGCUGAUUGAGACCUAAUGGGCCCAAUGGAGCCACUAAAAUUUGGACCAAGGUUCAUUUGCUCGGAGAUUGGGUUGUUCUUGAACAAACAGACCGCAUUUUCUAAGAAGGAUGGCUUUCUAUAAUACGAUAAGUUACUAUUCAUGUAUACCAACAAUUUGGACCAAGACCUAGUUAGUCCAAGCCCAACUACAAAUUCAAGUUGCCAAAUUCCCAAUAUUAACUUUUUGGAUUAAUCAUUAUUGCACUGUUUGUGUAUGAGUAUAUCUUAUAUACACUGACAGUGUAUAUACUAUCACAGUUGGAUACACAAUACAUGUACAAUAUUUGGGUUUCAAAUUCAAAUUCGAAUUAUGUGUCAUGCAUCCAAUGGUGAAAAUAUAUACAUUGUCAGUAUAUAGAAGAUUGAUUCUUUGUGUAUACACCUAUGAAUUUAGAUGUGUAUCACAUCAUUUUAAUUUAAAUUUAACCACCAAAUUUUGUAUAUGUUGUAUGCAUCUAAGUUCUCUAGUAUAUACACUAACAGCAUAUAAAAAGAUUUAUCCUUAACUUUUUCUCUUCUAAAACUUUGAGUCUUACAAAAAAACAAUAGAAAAAUCAUGAAAAAUGAAAAAGAAUUGAUUACUGGCUCUUUAUCUUGCAUAAAGGUUGAUAACCCAAAACUUAGAAGUCUUAGAUUUAAAUAUCCCUUCCUCCUCCUAGUGUCUUAAAUCCCCCGUCCCUUUGAUAGAUUUUCUUUUUAAGAAAAAAUGUUGCAUGAACAUAUAUCCAAAGGCAAAAAAUACUUCUGUUUUCCUUUUCUUAAAUCCAUAGAGAAGUUGAAGUCUUACAUAUAGACAUAUUUUGGUAGUAAACUAAGGUUCUGUUUGAUAAAACUUAAUCUGAAGUCUGAAUUCUAAAUUUUGAAAUCUGAAUACUGAAACAAUUAAUUUGCUGAAUUUUAUGUAUUAAAAAAAAUAUAUGAAUGUCUGAAUUGUAAUGCUAAACCUAUUUAUACUGUUUGAUAAAUAUUUAUAACUAAAUGUUUAAUAAGUUUAAUUUGAUAAUUUUACCCUUACAUCCUUUCAUUCAAAAAAGAAAUAGAAUCUAUGAUUUAAUUAGUUUAAAAUUGUUAGGUAUGAAAAUGACAAUAUUUAUUUUUAAAUCAAAUUAAUAUAAAAGAUGAAAUAUAUUAUAUGGAAGUAUGGAGAAGAUAUGAAAGUCAUUAAAAAUGGAGAAAAGAGAAACUAAAAAUCGUUAGAUAGAGAAUAUUAUAUUGUUUAAUUAGAUAAGAAUUUUGAACAUAAUUAACAAAUAAGGGUAGAUUUGGUAGAUAAGAUAAGUUAGUUGAAAUAAUUCUAUUGAUUCUUAUCAGAAUUAAACAUUCAGUUAGGAUUCUUGUACUGAAAAAAAUACACACAGGUUCAGCACUGUUUAACAAGUUCAACAAAUAGAUUUUCAUUUAUCAAACACUCAAAACAUCUGAAUGUUUGAAAAAAUUCAGAUUCAACACUUUUUUAUGUUAUCAAACAGACCCUAAGGCAAAUUACAGAAAAUCCCCCUCAACCGUUUUUAUUUAAUUGCCUUGCAGCCAAGUUUUCUCUUGAGCUGCCACUUUACUAAGGCCUGAGAUUGCAGUGCGCAUAUAUAAAAAGAGUAAAUAUUAUAUACACUGUCCGUAUAUACAAUAUCAUGGUUGGAUGAAUGACACAUGAGUAAAUUUUGAAUUUUAAAUUCAAAUUUUGCACGUGUAUCAUAUAUCUAAUGGUGAUAGUAUAUAUACUGAUAAUGUAUAUAAUAUUAAUUCAUAUAAAAAUAGUGCUUUUAAGCACUAAAAAUACUUUUAGAACGUUUGGUAACUAAUGUUUUAUAACUUAAUAAGCUUAGUUUUUGAUAACUUAAAAGCACUUGUGUCAGAAGUGUUUCUUUAUAAGUCAUUGCAACUUCAAACGGUGCCUAAUUAACGUCUACAAUAAAGAAAAGCUGGUAAAUUUUGAGUAUACUCGAUUCCACUAUCAUCGGAGAAAUACUUCAAAUAUUUUGCACUAGAAUUCAAAUAAGAACUGGCCAGGUAAAUGCAAUGCACGAACUUCGCACGAGCACGGCCUCAUUAUUGCUUGGAAGCUUAUCUGGAUCAGCAAAUGGGAUCAAUUGUACGAGGAAACUUUGUUUUCCUUUAUAUAUUUGUACUUUGAAAGUUUUGAAUCAUUAUAGGCAUUCCUCCUAGAUUUGGUUUCGUUUGUAGUUUCAAUUAUUUUGUUAUAAUUUUGAAAAUUAUAAAAAAGAAUUAAUUAUACAAAUUUUAGACAUGCUAGAUCAACAAUCUUAUCGAACUAAUGACCUUUGAUCCGUAGAAAAAGUCUUUUUGCUCAUACAUGAGCAAACAAUACUGCGAAUUUUUGAAAAAUUGAAAUAUAUAAUUAAAAAAUCUAGUAUUUUUAAAUAGUAGUUUGGACAUGACAACACUAUCCAAAUUUCCAAUGGACGCAAUUAUUAACAAAUGCUCUAAAAAAAUCAUGAGAUAAAAAUUAUGGAAAAAAAUGGUUUCGUUUGGAUCUCCAAAUAUUUCAAAAACUGUAUUUGUAGUCCAAAAACAUGGCAGGAAAGUUUCAAACAUCUACAGUGCACCUUUACGAAAACGACACCGUUUUAUCAUUUUCUGUCUCGUCUCUGUUUGUGUGUCCCAAAUACGGAACGAGUGUCAGUACCUAGUAGUCAAAAGAGCACUUUCCUCUUCUCUCGCUGCCUUUGCCCAAGCUUCAUCUCUCCUCCAUUAUUGCUCUGGAACAACCACAGAACCCACAUUCAACUUGAGCCGAGCUUCUCCCUGUAGAUGGCACCGGAUGUACUUCUAAAGCAGGCCACCUACAGUAGGUGAAGAGAUAUCCUCCAGUAAGACUGCUGUUGCCGAAGCUGCAUGUUCUCCGCCAUUGUUGCCCUCGAACAACCUCAGAACGGACAUUCAACUUGAGGCGAGCUUGUCUGACCAUUGUGGCUCCAGAUCUACAGCAAAAUCAAAUCACUUGAGGCACCUUCUUCUACGCUGUUAAACGGCCGUCUCAGCUCAUCAGGUUAGUACUACCAGAAUGAGUUCUCAACAGUAUGUUUUGCAUUUCAAGUUUGUUUUUUAGCAAUGAUACAGCAAGCUCCAUCUUUCUCAUAGCCCCAUUUUGAGUAUUGAGACCUUCAUAUCAUCCCUGUAUUAGCAUUUUGCCCAAACACCCAAAUCCUAUCUGAUUUGUGUAAGCUAGUUCAAAAAUUCCAAAAUUUGAAUAUCUGUCCGUUGGUAUGUUAAUUGACAAGCCUCUGUGAAAUUAUUUGUGGUAUGAACAUACAGUUGUCUUCGGUUUGUCUUCAGCUUUAGACGUUAGCAAUUGGCAAUGGUUAUGCUUCCUGUUUAGGUUUGAUUGCACAAAAUGUCUUAGCGACUGCAAUUGAUUAUCUAAUAAAACAUAAUUUUACUGAGCUUAAUAAUCUCUUAUAUCAUUGGGUUUAGACCGAAGCUUACAUAGACAGUUGUAACUUCAGAGUGAAUUAUCCAUUCUGUUGUGGCCGACACUUUGCCAAAACUGUUAUUGCAGGGAGGUAGGCUUCAUUCUUAUAUGCACUAGCUUCUGAGUAUUGUCGCUGUCCUGUCUUUUUGGCCAUUUAGCAUGCCAAGUCUGUAUAUUCUCCACUAUAGAAGUACUUCAUUUAUAGCAAUAAAAUUUGGAAUUGUGCCUGUUGUACAGCUAUUUCUUUAAUUCUCAGAAAUUGUUACGUUUUGUAGCUGCUUUCACAUCUCGGAUAAUAGAAAAUAUGCUUGACAGUGAUAAUGCCUGCGGCCAUUCAAUUUUACUGCUUGACUGAUCUUGUUUAGAGGGAAAGGAUUUUGUUUUCACAUACUGGAAGUUAAUAUCCAUUAGUAUCUGCUCCUCUGUACAUGCACCUUCUACAAUUUCUAUGAAUUAAGAGUUGAAAAGUAGUUAUCAAUUAAAAUUGUCGGUUGAGCUUGCAUCUGCCUUCAUUUCAAAAGCUCCCGCUUGGGUCUCUUCGUUGCGACGAUGGUAAUCUGUGCUGUUAGCCAUAACACUGGUAUCUAAUAUGACUUUUCAACACUGUUAAGAGUCUUAUGGUAACAGCAGUUCAGUUGUUUCCGCAGAUUAAAUAGUCUCAUACUAGUAUUUUUAUGUAUUAAGUUUCGCUCAGAUUUUUAUGAUUAACCUUCUUCGCUUUGAGGUGAACCAUUUAGGUGAUACUUUUAGAAGCGUACUGCAACUACAUGCCCCCUGUUACUCGACGUGCUUGGAAGGGUAUGUUGUACUUCCACACUCUCCAUCUUUAUUUCGUUAUAUGAGUAUUUAUUCAUUGGUGAAUAACACUAACUUUUCUCACUGUCCAGGUUUUCAAAAAAGUAGGCGACUAGGCAGUUAUUCUUUGAAGUCAGCUUGUGGAGAGAACGAUUUGCAGCUGUGCAUCACCAACUACUUCAAGGUAAAGCUGUUGCUGCAAUAAAAAGUGUCUCGACCUGGUUGAAUGCCAUAGAUUAGAAAGAAACUAUGCCAUGCAUACUUUUGAGCUAAAAAAUUUCCUUUGCCAUGCGUUGUUUCCAUCCUAAACCCAAAAAAGAUGAGUCUACCACGAGCAAAGUAUUCCCAGCGUAAUACUUUCACCGAAGAACACGAAUUACAUUUGCCUAACAUCUAUUGAGUAUGCAUAGGAAGGGAGAAAUAACCCCUAACAACAUCGGGAGUCAUGUCAUCCCUGAAGUCAUGGCUAUGCUUAACGCUACCCUCGGCACUUCCUUUCCCAAAAACACCAUCAGAUCGAAGUACUACGCCAUGCAGAGCCUGACCAGGCUGUAUAUUUCAUUCAAGAGGCGAGGUACUGGUAUGGGUUGGGACUCUUCGAAGUACACAUUCAUGAUGGAUGAUGGCUGCUGGGCUGAUCUACUCCAGGUUGGCUAACUUGUACUUAUAUUUCCUGUUUCAUUUCAGUUAUUUUUCUGUUUUGUAGACUUGCCUAUAUGACCAGGCAGUGCAAUUCCUUUUGUACUUUGUUCCGAUAUUUCCCUUUAUUAUUAUCAGUACAUUUUUAGGUUUCUGUUCGAAAUCAGUUUUUCACUUCAAUUCCUUUCGAUUAUUUGCUGACUGACGACCAAAGCAAUAUAGCCUCACAGUACUUGCUGUCUUCAGUGUUUUAUGCAUAAUCUAAUGCUUGUUUUGAUGUAUUUUUUGAAGGUGAACAGCGACUUCACAAGGUUUUAUAAUAGAUCAUGCUAUGUAUUUCAUUUGUUUGAGGAAGUUUUUAUGAACCAAGGCGCUAUAGGGGACUACAGUGGGGCACAUGAAGAAUCACCCCUCAACACCGAUGAGGAGUUGGAAAUGGAGAAUGCGGCGAGAAGUGCUAAGCCCUCGGAUGUUGUUAACAUCGGCUCAUCGGGUGAAGAUGUUAAGAUGCCCUCGACUAGGAAAGGGAAAGGGAAAGUAACUAAGGAGAAAAAAAAGCGCAAAUCGGGAGACAUGUCAAAGGAUUCAUCCUUCUCAGGUUCUUCAAGGGAAUUCCAAUAGUAUAUGCGUGUGCUAGACAGCAUUGAGACAAAAUUGAGUGGUAAAAAGGGAGAUAGCAUGACUGGUUCGGUCUGUUCACCGUCGAAAAUUGCACAUCGCCCCUUGAAUGCUGAUUCUGAGCUAAAGGCCACGUUGGCACAGCUCCUCGCCCUGAAUCUAGACAUACAUGUACAUUUGGGCGUUAUUGAUAUUUUAAAAAAUGCUUCAGAGCGGGCAAUUUGAAAUACUUGCACUACUGAUGCUGCUCGUCUUGCAUUUGUGAGGUGCAGAGGGUUCUUACCCCCUGAGUAGAUCGAGACCUGUCCAUUUUUAUUGUAGUUACGCUUAUUAGAGCUCGUUAGAUGCUUGUGUUUUCUUCCCUGCUAUGCUAUUUGAGUGUUGACUUGGCAGUAGGUUUGGUAUGAGUAUGACUAUGCCUUAGUACCGGAAAACUGUUUUUCAUUAUUUUUUUCCUUAUUUUUUUCACACUAGCUUGUAUGAAACAAUUGUUCUCGCAGUUGUUAUGUUGCCUUUAAUUGUCCUAAAUUAUUAGUGUCGCAUUUAACUUAUGGAUUAUUAAGUGCUUUGCUUAUAGUUACAGCUGUCCGGGUUUUAAACUUUUCCAUGUACGCAGGUUUUAAGUUUGUUACGUUUAUUUCCAUAACUUUAAUAUGGUUAUUGGUGCAUUUGUGUAAUAUCUCCUAUCUCAUAUGCAUGUUAGGUGUCCUGUGUAUCCAUCUUGUGUGUACACAGCAAUCCAUCUUUAUUUCCUGUACCGAAUGUACGGGACUCGGGAAUGAAGCUGGUCAUGCUUCAAAGUGUAGAAGCCAUCAACCUUAACAUCAUUUUUCAUAUAAACUUUUACUGUAUUUCAUUUGUUAGCUACCUUAUGUUAACACCUAUCCUAUUACUAUGCUGUCUUAUGGUUGCAUGUAUUUGACGGAAAUAUAAGAUCGAGAUUGGAAAGAUAUUGCACUUAUAUAGAAAAUGUCUAUCCGCUUGCAUGCAUGGAAAUUAUUGGAUGUAAUCCAUAUGCACUAUGAGUCUAGAAACCAAAUCUGCAGCAUUCAUUACUGUUUUCAGUUUAUUUUUGAAAAACUAUUAUCGAUUGAUAUUGCAUUUCCCUGUGGAUGCAGGUUGGCUAUUUUCUGGAGCUCUAGCAACAGUAUGUCUCCGCAAAGUAACGAGUCUCUCUCUCUCUCUCUCUCUCUCUAUUGAUUACUAAUUGUCAGUGUUUUGUUUCGGUUGCACUCUUUAUUUGUCUCCUCAUAAUAUUUCCUUUCAUGCACGAACUGCAGCACGUGUUGACUGUUUCCAAAAUUUCAUAUUCAACUUUCAUGCUACAUUUUGACCCCCCAUAAACUACAGCUAGCAUGUAUUUUUGAUUAUGCCUACCACAUUAAUUGUCCUUACACGAAAAUGAGUAUUUAACAAUUACUGUGGUUUCAUCUCCGAGGCUAUCAAGAACUUGCCUAUUAGUUUGUCAAUAAAGCAUGAGUUGUUUCUUGAACAUAAACGAUACCGUCAAUCAUAUGUGAAUCUUAUUUGUAUCUACUCAUAUCAGCUUGUGCUUGGGAUAACACUGGUCUUGACAUCAUACUUAAGGGUUAUCUCAAUUGAUGGAUAACGACAUCCACGUUUAGGGCGGACAAUUAGACGAUGAGACAGACGAUCUUGAUCUCGACAGCAUACUCAUGGUGGUUAUUGUCAUGGGAAUGAUUUUCUUUGACCCCCAGAUUGAAUCAUAUUCCAAGAAGGAGAAGAAUCCGAGAUAGUGCACUUUCUGGCAGGGAUUAUGUACUUGAGAUGCUAAACGGCCAUCCGGAUCGAAUUAUCGAGAAUAUGCGCCUCUUUGUGCCUCUGUUCCUACACUUGUGCGACAUCUUGGUUGACCGGGGGUACUGGCACGCCUAUCCUUCUCAGAGGGUUGGGGUUCAUGAAUCCGUUGCCCUAACUCUAAUGUGCUUGAGCCAUGAUGAGGGUCAUUGGUUUUAGUCGAGCGUUUCCAACAUUUAACGGAGACAAUUGAUCGGCAUGUAAGAAGAGUUCUGCGAGCAUUAGUGAGACUCGGUCGUGAUUUUGUUAGGCCGAGGAAUGUUGGUGAGACACACCUCACAAUUUUGAACAAUGAACUGUUUUACCCGUGGUUCAAGGUAAAUACACAAACACCCAAUUCUUGGUAGGACUAUGCCGUUCGUAUAUCUGAUUUCCAGUAAUUUGGCAUGAUAAUUUUUUCAUAUAUAUGAAUAGCACAUUGCAUUCCUGCUAAAACAUCCAUAUGAAUAGUUUAUUAGCUAAUGUUGCCGUGACUUUGAAUAAUUUACCUCAAAAUUCAUAGGAUAACGUUGAUGCCUUAGAUGGAACCCACAUAUCAGCUUGGUGUCGAACAGAGAUAAGCAAGCGGUACAGAAAUAGGCACGGUGGGCUAUCUCAAAAUGUGCUUGCAGCUUGUGAUCAUGACAUGCGAUUUGUCUACGUUCAAGUCGGUUGGGAGGGCAGUGCACACGAUGCCAAAAUUCUUCAGGAAACACUGGACCAUCCAAAUUCAGGAUUUCCAUUGCCACCUCUAGGUAUGCAAUUUUUUUAUAUUCGGUCUAUUAGAAAACAAGUGAUUUUCAUUUGUGACAUUAGUAAAUAAUUAACAGACUUUUUAGUAUUGCUUCAAGGUUUGUUUAUUUAAAAAGUUUGAAAUACGCUGACAUGGAUUUGGGGCUCUCACAUGUUAGAAAAAUAUUAUAUGGUGGAUGCCGCCUACACUAACAUGUCUGGGUUCAUGGCAUCGUUUAGGGCAGCGAGAGGCAUGCAGCAUGAGCGCGCCACUAAAGCUUUAUUCAACCGGCGACACGCUUUUGCUAGAAAUAUUAUUGAAUCGAGUUUUGGGGUUCUUAAGAAAUGGUUUCCGAUACUAAAGAGUCCAAUGCAGAACUACCUCAUAGCAACUCAAAACAAUAUCGUGCUUGCAUGUUGUACUCUACACAAUUUCAUGAGAGAUUAUGUGCCUAAAGAUGAGUACUUCGGUGAAGAAGCUGCCCUCGGAGCCCAACUAGAUGCCCAGGAAGGAGGGAAUGAAAUCCAUAAAGUCCAACCCAUCGAUAUGUCGCAACAGGGUAUACAGAAUUGGAACGACGAUCGGCGGGCAAUAGCAGUUCAUAUGUAUGUGAAUCAACAGAACGCUUAAAGAAGCUCAAGACUAGCGUGUAGUACUACUAAGUAGAAACUUUGCUUGCUUCCUACAAUUUGACAACCAAAUAACUUGUCAUGUUAUCUGAUUUGUAUUUACAAAGGUUAACCUUUGGGGAGGUACUAAUCGGAUGGCCUAGUUCCACCUGUGGCACCUGUCAUCAAGUCUGAAUUUAAUAUGAAACUUUUUAUGCGCCUAUACUGUGUCUUAUUCAAUAACUUGUAGUUAUAGAUGGCGUUGAGACCAGAAUUGGUUGUAUCUUGUGUAUCCAUAUUUAUUCCAGCUGAGGUGCAAAUCAAUGGUUCGAAUAUAUGCAAUAGCUUUCCAGUCGAUCCCAAAUUAUUUCAACAAGUUGAUCCCAAAUUAUUUUCAUCCCAACUUCUUUCGGGAAGGAGAGCAUAUGGAAUGUAGAUGGUGAGAUUUUACAAGGGCAUCAACUUUCUGCUCAAGUAUAUCGAGGCCUUGGUAGUUUAUUUGCUACCGGCCCUGAAGUCUAGUCAAAUGGCACAUAAAUGAGCCAUUAUGUAGUGUAUUUAUUUGUAAUGAGUUACAAUGUAUUAAAUUCUUUGUUGUAAAAUUUUGUAGCAUAACUUCCUCAACGGUUCUAAUUUUGUUCCCCUGUUUGUGAUGCUUCUACUCAUAAUUUAUGAAAUCAUUGCUAUUCUAAGCCAAUUGUUACCGCACUUGGCUCGUACAUUCUUAUGAGACUGUUAGCUUGUUAGGACAUAGCAAGGUCCUCAAUAUUUUCCUUUUUCUAGGUCACCUGCACACGUGGAGUUCAGGGGGGGUCGGGAAUGAUGUUGUAGUUUUAGUACCUCGAUACAAAGUAGUUUACCAGUUACAGUUGUCAUAGCAGGUUUGUCUCAUUUCAUGGUAGUUUCUUAAGUAUUAUGAGAACUUGUUUAUGCUACAUUUUGACCCGAAUUCUUAUUCAAGUUUGAUGAGACAUUGAAGUAAAAAAAAAAAAAAAAGGUGUUUUUGAAAUACAGGUCAAUCCAAAUGCAGAUUUUUUCAAAUACAUGGAGUUUUUCAAUCCAAGUGCCUAUAGCUAUUUUUCAAAAACUGUUACAGUGGAGUUUUUGAAAUACACCUCCAAAAACAGGGGAUCCAAACGCAGCAAUAUAUAUUUUAAUGUCCAUCAUGAAUUAACAAUACUGAUUACAAUUUCUCAACAGAAUACUCGUGCACGAAGUUUGCACUAUUUUCAGAAUACAGGAAUUAUUUUGAUUGUCACCACUUCUAAAAAGCAAAAUGCUAUAGCUUCUGGAAAGAAAGAUAUUUUUUAUACUUAAUCAAAAGAUUGAAUUAGAGAUGCUAUACUUUUCAAUUUUCACUGACGAAAACUGAGCUUUAAUUUUGAAGUAAAAUUUGUUUUCAUACAUAAUUCAAUGAGAUUCAUACUUUAAUUGGAGGAAGCUGGCAUAAUUAUGCUGGAAAUGGGAUAUGAUAUUGAAAUGAAUAAAAGGGCAAAUUUGAUUGCUGGCUAUAUUUUUCACGAGCAGGAUAUUCUAAGUAUUAACAUGAAAAUUACACUGCCUAUAAUCAAUAGUUUCAUUCAAGAUAAUGAAAAAGUUAUAUUUGAUGAAAAAGAAGAACCUACUUUUGAGGCAUUGUCUGAAUUGAUUGAAUUUUGAUUGAUUUAGUGGAAACACAGUUCCCUGGUUUGCCAAAGUCUUAUGCGUUGCAAUAAAUUUUGUCAAGCAAAUUACUUUUUUUUUCUUUAGUAUAAGUAGGAGGUUUCGAACCCAUAACCUCUCACUUACACUUCUUACCCUCGUAUCACCAAUCCAAUCAUGCUUCUUUGUCAAGCAAGUUACUUACCAUUGAAAGAACUCAUCAAUCUCGUAAUUCUAAUGAAGCUGAAACUUCCUCUUGUAGUGAAGUUUCAAGAUGAAAAUGUUGUUACAUUGAAGAGAUUCAUCAAUCUUACUAAAACCUCACAGUUUAAUUUUUUUUCUUUUUGACUAAAAUCCCAGAGUUGAAAAGUCAAUUAGAAAUGAAACCUACUACUGCUAAUUCACAAGAACAAGAUCAAAGCUCUUUGGAAGCUUUUGAGUUUGAUCAGAGUCUUAAUCCUAAUGAAUGUUUUGAUAGCUUCUAUGAUGAAACAGGCCUUAAUCAGUUGACAAGGAAUAGUUCUAAGGAGCCAAAAGAUGCAAUGAUUUUAAGCUUUUCAGAACUAGUAGUAAGUCUGGUGCUGAUAAGAAUCCUUACCCAACUGGUACUAGAUAGACGGUAGAACUCUAGUUGCUAAUUACAUAUAAGAUUCUAUCUGAUGUAGGUCCCUAUUUCUAGUGUAACUCUCCCGUCUCUGUGCUGCUAUACAUGUAUAUAUUGGGUUACAAUGAAUGUGACAGACACUGAAAGAUUGCUCCAGUAAACACCUCUCUGUUUUAACUUCUUUAUGGUAUCAGAGCCCAUACCAGGCUCUUUAAACAUUCGGUCACACCCCUCCAUCUCCAGCAAUUUCUUCCUCUUUUCUAUAGUUCUAUGGCUGCGGAAAAUACUCAAGUUGUCAUCCCAAAUACUCAGGAACCCACUAAUUCCUUAACCAUGAUCACCAUCCACAACUCAAUCAAACUUACCCCCACCAACUAUCUGUCAUGGAAAACACAAAUGGAAGCAAUUCUCAUUGGAUAUGAUCUCCAGAAAUUCAUUGAUGGCUCUUAUCCUCCCCUUCCUCCCACCAUCAACACUAAUGAUACAGUUGCAUCCAAUCUUGCAUACCAAACUUGGUUACGUUAAGAUAAGCUAUUGUUAGGUACUCUCGUAGGCACCCUUUCACCCUCCCUUGUCCCUCUUAUCACUCGAUCCCAAUCCUCUCUUGAAUCCUGGCAAACUCUAGCUAAUACAUAUGCUCGCUCAUCCCACGGCCACAUCAAGCAACUCAGAGACAAACUGAAACACAUCACCAAAGACACUCAGUCCAUCACAGAAAUAUACAAUCCAUCAAAAUCCAAGCUGAUGAAUUUGCUGCACUUGGGAAGCCACUUGAUCAUGAAGAUUUGGUAGAAAAAAUGCUGGAUGGCCUUGAUGAAACCUAUCAGUCCAUUAUUGAUGCUGUCAAUGGUCGAAACUCCACCAUCUCAUUCGAUGAACUUCAUGAAAAACUCUUAAACAAGGAACUGUCUUUACGUAAUCAGUCAAGCUCAUCGUUCCUACCGGCAUCCGCUCAUGCUACCGCUGUUCGUUCCACUCCGUGGUAUGGAAACAAACGACCUCCCUGGUCUAUUCACAAUAAGUCUUCUAACCUACCUACACCAACGCCUGCCCAGUCUCAAGGCUCGCCAAACUCUCGAACCAACCGUGCUGCUCGUCCAUUCCUUGAUCGAUGCCAGUGGUGCAGCACUUAAGGCCAUGUUGUCUUCCGCUGCCCCCUAUUUCGCCAACAAUUCCCUCAUGCGCAACUACCCUCUCGUCACAAUACUGCAUCCUCCCCUGUCGCAUCUCCUCCUUGGCAGGCACAAGCUUAUGUAGCAACUCAUCCCACAUCAGAUACUCCCAACACACCUUGGCUCCUUGACAGUGGGGCUACUCAUCAUGUCACCACUGACCUCCGCAACCUCUCCCUCCAUAGUCCUUAUCAUGGAACGGAUGAAAUCAUGAUUGGAGAUGGCUCUGGUCUUCCCAUAUCCUAUACGGGUUUCAUUUCUUUCAAUACUCCUUUCUUCUCCUUUACUCUUUCUAAUGUCCUCCGUGUUCCAACCAUGAAACGCAACUUAAUUUCUAUUUCUCAAUUCUGCAAAUCUAACAACACUUCCAUUGAAUUCUUACCCUCUUCCUUUUAUGUGAAGAAUCUCCGCACGGGGCACUCCUUUUGGAAAGUCAGACCAAGAAUGGGGUCUAUGAAUGGCCGACCUCUCAUUCGAAGUCACCGUUGCUUGCCUUUUCUAGUGUCAAGGCUCCUUUGCCUACUUGGUAUCAUCGGCUCGGGCAUCCCUCUAUGUCCACAUUCAAGUAUAUUUUAUCAACGUCUACUUUGGAUGCCUCCUCUCCACCUGAUCUCCAUUUUAAUUGUAAUUUCUGUCAGUGCAAUAAGAGUCAUAAAUUACCACUCUCUUCCUCUUCUCUCUCUACUUCCUCCCCUCUAGAGGUUGUCUUCACUGACGUCUGGACAUCAGCCAUUAUUUCUGUCAAUAACUGUAAAUAUUACAUUAUCUUUGUUGAUCAUUUCACCAAAUAUAUUUGGUUAUAUCCCCUCAAACGUAAAUCUAACACAUGUGAUGUCUUCAUCAAAUUUAAGGCUCUUGUUGAAAAAUUCUUAACUCGCCUAAUCAUCACCUUUUACUCCGAUAAUGGGGGGGAUAUCAAGCUCUUUCUUCCUUUUUAACCAUUAAUGAGGUCUCUCAUCUUACAACUCCGCCUCACACACCUGAACACAAUGGGUAUUCCAAACGCUGUCAUCGUCACAUUGUCGAAACUGGUCUCUCUCUGCUCUCUCAUGCUUCCAUGCCUAUUUUAUAUUGGCCCUUUGCCUUCUCCACCGCCGUCUAUCUCAUCAACUGCCUUCCUACACUUACUUUACAACACGUCUCCCUAUUUUUUAAACUCUUUGGUACUCCUCCGAACUACAAUAAACUUCGCAGCUUUGGAUGCCUUUGCUAUCAUUGGUUUCGCCCGUAUACAUCCCAUAAACUUGCGCCAUCACGUUCUGUACCGUGUGUCUUUGUUGGGUACUCUCCCACUCAAAGUGCCUACUUUGCCUUGACACAUCCACCCAUCGUUUCUAUACUACUCGUCAUGUGCGUUUUGUCGAAACCAUUUUUCCAUUUGCAUCAUCUUAUACUUCCAUAUCUCGUGGCUCUUCGUCAGCCAUAUCCGAGUAGUGCUCUAUCACGCUACCCGUUGGCUCUUUUGGUCCCUCCUCCUUCUCAUCUCCUUCCACGACCCCCCACCAACCUUCAGGACCGAAUCUUCAGCCUCACACUUCUGCCAUCCCGCUGUCCACCCCGACAUUUGCCCCUUUUUCAACUAAGCACCGCCCCUCCUACACUACCCAUGUCCUCUUCGGCAGCUCCCCAACCGAACUUUCCCCGUGUCAUCAUUACUCGUUCCAAACAUAACAUUCGUAAACCAAUUCAAAAACUUAAUCUCUCGGUUGAGCUCCAACCCACCACUAUCACCCAGGCUUUGAAGGACCCCAAGUGACGACAGGCUAUGUCUGAAAAGUUUGAUGCUCUCCUUCGGAAUGGAACCUGGCAACUCGUCCCUUCCCAUCCUGAUUAUAAUGUGGUUGGUUGCAAAUGGGUCUUUCACACUAAAAAUAAGCCUGAUGGUUCGGUGGACAGGCACAAGGCUCGAUUGGUCGCCAAAGGUUUUCACCAACGUCCGGGUGUUGACUACUCCGAAACCUUCAGUCCUAUCAUUAACCCAACAACUGUUCGUCUAGUCCUUAGUCUUGUAGUAAGUCGAGAUUGGUUACUCAAACAACUUGAUGUUAACAAUGCCUUCAUUCAAGGCAGUCUCACUGAGGACGUGUUCAUGUCCCAACCUCCAGGCUUCAUUGAUCGUGAUCAACCUCAUUACGUUUGCAAGCUACGCAAGGCCAUUUAUGGUCUCAAACAGGCACCCCGUGCCUGGUAUCAUGAGCUGUGCACCUUUCUUCUGUCCUCUGGCUUUAUUAACUCUGCAGUCGACCCCUCAUUGUUCAUCUUCUCCAGUCACGGUGCUGUCCUCUAUCUCUUGAUUUAUGUUGACGACAUCAUUAUCACCGGCGACAACUCUCAGGCUGUGCAAACCUUCAUUCAGCAACUGUCUCACCGUUUCUCCCUCAAGGACCUUGGUCCCUUGUCAUACUUCCUUAGGGUUGAAGUUCUCUCUCACUCAGGUGGUCUCUUCCUCAGCCAACGCAAAUACAUUGUUGAUCUCCUUUAUCGCACCAAGAUGACUGAAGCAAAGCCUGCCUCUACCUCUUUGGCAACGCAUCCGCUUCUCACUCUACACUCUAGAACCACUCUAUCUGAUCCCACUGAGUAUCGCAAGGUCGUUGGUAGUCUUCAGUAUCUCUCCCUCACUCGUCCUAACAUUGCUUAUACUGUGAACAAGCUCUCUCAAUUUUUGCACCGCCCGACAACUGCUCAUUGGACUGCUCUCAAACGUCUUCUUCGGUAUUUAUGUGGCACCUUGGACCAUGGCAUCACCCUUUGUCGCGCCUCCCCUCUAGCAUUACAUGGCUUCUCUGAUGCUGACUGGACGGGUAACAAAGAUGACUUCACCUCUACCAGUGCCUACAUCAUUUAUCUUGGUCAUAAUCCUAUCUCUUGGAGUUCCAAGAGACAACGAACUAUGGCUCGGUCCUCCACUGAGGCGAAAUACAGGUCAGUAGCCUCCACUACUGCCGAACUUUGUUGGAUUUGCUCUCUUCUCAGCUAGUUCGGUGUCACUCUUCCGCAUAACCAAUCAUCUAUUGUGAUAAUAUUGGUGCCACAACUCUAUGCUCCAAUCCGAUUUUUCACUCGCGCAUGAAACAUGUGGCCAUUGAUUAUCAUUUCAUUCGAGACCAAGUUCAAAAUCAAAAUGGUCUGCUAUGUGUGUCCCACGUCUCUGCCUCUGAUCAACUCACUGAUGUUCUCACCAAACCUCUUGCUCGCUCUCUCUUUGAUUCCAUGAAGCUCAAGAUAGGACUUACUUCACCGCCGUCCAUCUUGCGGGGGCAUGAUAAGAAUUCUCACCCAACUGGUACUAGAUAGACGGUAGAACUCUAGUUGCUAAUUACAUAUAGGAUUCUGUCUGAUGUAGGUCCCUAUUUCUAGUGUAACUCUCCCGUUUCUGUGCUGCUAUACAUGUAUAUAUUGGGUUACAAUGAAUGUGACAGACACUGAAAGAUUGCUCUAGUAAACACCUCUCUGUUUUAACUUCUUCAGGUGCAACUAGUGGAAGAUAUAGAUAAAAAUGGGAUAAGAAGAAAAUAAGAAGAUUCAAUAUUUUUGUUCAACUUAAACAUUUGAGAUCAUAAGAAUGAAAGUAAGAACAAAUGGUACAAAAUAUCAUCAAACUAUUAUGCCAGACUGCUUUUGGUCACUCAACUUUUUUUGGCAGCUAACUAUGUCAUUUGCCUUUGUAAAACGUAGCAUUUUGGUCAUUCUUUUAAAUUUAGACAUUAAUGGCUCACAGAAACUGAUACACAUCAGUUGCAUGAGUGUUAUUGAAGGGUAGAGAGGUCUAGAAAUUCUUUGAGGGACAAUUUGAAACUUUGGUAGAGACUUUGUGUUUUUUAAGAUUUUUCUUGAUCCCCAGAGAGAAAGCUAUGCCUCAAGAAGGAAGAUAAUGAAGACAAUUUGUGCAAUUACGUGACCUUCCAGCAGUCUUAACACUUAAAUCUAACAGAAUGACUAGAUAAUUACACUUUAAAGAGUUGAGUGACAUUUUCGAUUAGAAAAUAUUGGGGAUAAUAUAGGAGAAAAUGGCUAAAAGUUACAAAGCAAAUGAUAAAAAAAAAUACAAAUCGUGACUCAAGAUCACUUUCCUUUUAGUUUUAUUUGUCUAGAAUUUUGUGUACAAAAACUUUGGACAAAUAUCCUUUGGGAUAAUUUGAAGGGUAUUUGUCUUAAUUCUUGCACAAAAUUAGACAAAUCUACUUGAAUUAUGAUGUGUUUUUGCAGAGAAUUCUAGUAGUAAAAAAUGAUCCUCUGCAGCAAAUCAUUUCUACUAGACCUUUAUAGAGUUGAAAUUGAAAAUGAUCAAGAGUUGCAAUCUUUCACCAUUGAUUUGUGUAUUUGUGUUGGUCAAAAGAUUUCUCAACAUCAAUGUAAGUGGUCAGAUAGUUUUUCAAUAUUUAAACACCAUUUAGAUGGUAAUUAACUGUCAAAAAUAUGAAAAGAUGCCAAGUAGAUUUGAAUAACUUCUGAGCAUUGUAGGAACUAGACAGUGAUGGGUCUUAUGUCGGAUCCUAAGACAGACCCCCCGUCUUGCAACCAAUCAAAUUUUGAAAAUAUUCAACAAUCCCCUGCCAUUUUCAACAUUUAGAAAAUAGACUUCCAAAAGUCACAGCAUAAUCUGACAAUCAUACGCAUAAAUAAUGGUGUUUUUCAAUUGAACCACUAUCUUAGUGAAGAUUCUUUAAAAUUAAUCAAUACAAAAUGGUAGACCAACUUAAACUACUUAUACAUUAGACUAGUCUAAUAAAUACAUCAUACAUAGAUCAGUACACAACUAUAUGUUCUCUGAUGAUUUAUUUUACGGGUUUGUAUCACUAUUCUUUCAUGAAUAUUUCAAAGUAAAGUUCUUAACUUUGUUGUUUGCCAAACUUACAUUCGUAUAGGCGACAUCUUAGUACCCCCACCAUUAAUGGUACUUUCAAAAUUCGUUAAGAGUCAAUAACUCAAUUUAACUAUAAUAAGGUGACAAUAAAACAUACUAUUUUACCUUGGGAUGAAAAACAAUAUAAUGCACCAACCAUUAGAAUCAUAUACUUUCACUUAUUGAAUUCAAGACUAGAUGCUAUAUCUAGUGUUGAAUUGAGGUUCCACUAUUAAUGGUCAUUAAGGUUGGAUUUUAAACUCAUCCCUCUUGAUGUUUUUAACACUAAGUUUUUUAAUAAUCCUUUCGUUAAAGGAUCACUCAAGUUUUUAUUAGACCUCACAAGAUCAAUUGAUUUGAUUCCAUUUGAAAUCAAAUCUUUCACAUAACUAUGUCUCCAACCAAUAUAUUUUGAUUUGCCAUUAUACACUUGACUAUAUGUCUUAACAAGUAUAGCUACACUAUCGCAAUGUAUUGAGAUAGGCGACAAUGAUCUUGGCCACAAUUGUAUACCAUAAAGUAAAUUUCAUAGCCAUUCAACUUUUUUACAAACUGAAGCAAAUACUACUAACUCAGUUAUCAUUGUUGAAUCAAUGAUACAUGUUUGUUUCUUAAAAUCCCAAGAAACCGCACCACCACCUAACAUAAAGAUCCAAUCACUCGUUGACAAGUGAUCAUCUUUAUUAGUGAUCCAACUAGCAUCUAACAAACCUUUUAAAAUUGAAGGAUAACCGGUAUAACAUAUACCAUAGUCUUUAAUGGCUUUCAAGUACUUCAAAAUUCUGAUUACACUUGUCAAUGUAACCUACUAGAAUUGCUUGUAUAUCUAUUCAAUAUACCAACAACAUACACAAUAUCCAAUCUAGUACAUGUCAUUGCAAACAUUAAGUAUCCUAUAAAUUUGGCAUAUUCUAAUUGAGAAAUUGAAUUUCUUUCAUUUUUUUUACAUAACUUAUUUUGAGAUCCAAUGAUGUUAAAACUGGCACACAAUCACUUUGAUUAUUGGCUUCUCUUGCUACCUUGGAACAUGCUAAAUUGUCUCUCUUCAAUCACAUGCACUUUUGUAGUAGAGUUUUUAUACUCUUCAAGGAUUUGAUUAUCCUUCUUUUUUUACAUGCGAAUUUCCUCUUUUAGAUGAAGGGAUUUAGCAAGAGUCUCAAGAAAAGAUUUCCUCAUUCUUUUAUUUGAGAUCUCUCUUAAAAUCUUUUCAAGAAGAUAGUAAUUUAUCUAUAAUGGAACACUCAAUAAUGGCUUCAUCUAUGUAUAAGUUGUGUUCAUUAUAAUGGUUAAGAAACCUUUCAAGUUUAGCAAAUUGUUCCAUAACAUGUUUAUGAUCUACCAUUUUGUAAUUAUUAAAAGAUGAAACAAUGAACUUCUUACUUGUUGCCUCCUCACACAUGUUUUUUGCCUCUAAUUGGUCCCAAAAUUCCUUUGCAAUUGCAAUGGUGUGGUAGACAUCAAAUAGUUUGUCACUCUUGGCAUUGAGAAUAUGUCCAUGACAAAUCUCAUCAUCAUUCUCUCAUUUUUGACGCUUUCAAAUGUCAUCAAGAGUCUCUUCAUUAGGAUUGAUAAUGAGUGGCUUUGGAGUGGUUAACAUAGAGACCACUUGCAGGGAUAUGAGAAGGAAAUGAACUCAUUUUUACCACCUUAUAAAGUUUCCUCCAUCAAAUCGAUCAAAUUUCACAAUGUUGGUUGCUAAUUCCUUCAAUGAAGUUGCCAUUGUUACGUAGGAAGAAUAAAGGCUAAAGAUUGUUGGGGAUAAUAUAGGAGAAAACGAUUAAAAGUUACAAAACAAAUGAUACAAAAAAACUUCAAAUCAUGACUCAAUAUCACUUUCCUUUAGUCUUUAUUUCUCUAGAAUUUUGUGUGCAAAAACUUUGGGUAAAUAUCCUUUAGAAUAAUUUGAAGGGUGUUUGUUUUAACUUUUGCACAAAAUUAGACAAACCUAUUUGAACUAUGAUGUGUUUUUGCAGAGAAUUCUAAUAGUAGGAAAAUAAUCUUCUACAACAAAUCAUCCCUACUAGACUUUUAUAGAGUUGAGAUUGAAAAUUAUCAAGAGUUGCAACCUUUUACCACUGAUUUGUAUAUUUGUGUUGGUCAAAAGGUUUCUCAACAUCAAUACAAGUGUUCAGACAGUUUUUGGAUGUUUAAACACUAUUUAGAUCAUAAUUAAUUAUCAAAAACAUGAAAAGGUGCCAAGUAGAUUUGAAUAACUUUUCAGUAUUGCAAAAACCAGACAAUGAUGGAUCUUAUGUCGGAUCCUAAGAUGGGCCCCGUCUUGCAACUGGUCAAAUUUUGAAAAUAUUCAUUAGGAAAAAAGUAUACAUUUUAAAGAGUUGAGUGAUAUUUUCAGCUAGAAAAAAGUAUAGUAACAAAAGCAAUUCAGUUAAUAAUUUGAUCACAUUUUGCACUACUUGCUCUAAAAGUAAUAUCAUGCAAUUUUGGAUGAGGACUAGAAGAUUAUUGAUCACAAGUAUGCUACAAAUACAGAUACAAUUGCUAAGGACACACCAUUAAGCAGGUCGUAAACAAAAUAAUAUAUAAACAAUUUUCUGUUGUGUUGAUUCAAUGCAUAAAAAGGGCAUAAGGACAAAAUUAUAUAAACUUCCCCUCUUUCGCUUUCACGUAAUCAAAUAAUGAAUAUAUUAACUCAUUAAUGUAUAAGAAGAUUUGAAGAACAAAUUUCAAAAUCCAAAUUCUAAAAUCUAAUAUAUAUAUAUAUAGUGAAUUCCCAUAUCUCCAAAGCAUAUAGAUUAGGUAAAUCCAUCCCAUUGUAGUACUUUCUUACCAUCAUAUUAUCCACGCCACAUGCACGCACUUCGCUCGAUAGUUUUUUCAGCAAAUUGCUUAGAUAAUUAUAAUUGGACACCAUCCCUCCAAUUGGGAUACAAAUGGUAUGUGCUGGGGAAUCUGCUUGUGAUCUAGUUACUCAUUGUUUCUUUUUGUUAUUAUAGAUUGCCAUUCCUUUGUUUAUUCUCUUAAAACAUUUUUUUUAACUUGCCUACAUGCACGCACUCGCUCGAUAAUUUUUUUCAGAAAAUUGCUUAGAUAAUUAUAAUUGGACACCAUUCCUCCAAUUGGGAUCCAAGUGGUAUGCGCUGGGGAAUCUGCUUUUGAUCUAGUUACUCAUUGUUUUUUUUUUGUUCUUAUAGAUUGCCAUUCCUUUGUUUAUUCUCUUAAAACAUUUUUUUUAACUUGCGUGCUUUUUGAAUGGCCUUGACCUCUGUAUCUGCCCGCCUUUUCUUGUAUAGACUUCGUUUGAUAUCUGGCUACUAUUUACUAGAGAAGAAUAUCUCAGAAUCCAUUUUGUGUUAUUUCACGAUUGAGCAUGGCCUUAUACGUAGUACAUAGUGUCAUGUCCAGCUAGACAUAAUCCUUCAGCAAACAAUUGUAAUAACGAAUACGAACUCAAGUCACUGAGUCAAUAGACACAUGUCAUAACCCCUUUACCACCCCCCUCAAAAAAAAAAAAACAAAGGGUUUGGCAAGCUGCUAAAGAUUAAGGCUAGGAUAAACAUCAGAACCCAAAAAAAAAAAAAAAACAAGAAGAAGAAGAAAGGUCUUGGCAAGCUUUUAGAGACAAGGCUAGGAUGAGCAUGAGAUCAAACAAAUUGUCUUCACAUGUUACUUACCUUAAAUUAGGAUAGAAACGUAAAGGGUGUUAAUAGGGGCCAAUUUGAUUAAUUAGGCCCUUUGAUCAUAUGACCAAUGUCAAAUAGCAGUUGAGAUUCAUUGAAACAUUCAAAUGUGAUCUCUUUUCCUGUUGGCAUUUAAGUUCAUAGUCAAGAAUCAUUUACGUUUUCUUUUUUAACCCCCAAAAAAUAUGAUUAAUUUAGUGUGGUGAUAUUGAUGGACCUAUUUUUUUUCUAAUCUUUUGUAGCUAUGAAUAAGUGCAAGUUUGAUUUUCUAAUUUCUUCAUAAGUUAGUCAUGGAAAUUACACCAAAGCUUCAUUCAGUAAAAACAGAUCCAAAAGUUUUAGAAAUACUAGAACAACUAGUUUUGUACCUUUUCUUGCAUUUUUGUUUACUUCUAUUUCCAGCAUUUCUUUUGCGAUUUUUGUUAUUUUUCAACUCUAAAUGUUAUACUCAUUAAUCACAAUGAAAUAAUGAGUAAAGUAGAAUUUCUCAAAUAAAACUUUGUUUAGAGAAGCCAUGUCUACAUAAGUUUUGAAACAAUAAAUUAUCUAUUGGUUCAAGAGCAGGUGACUAAACUUUUCCAAAAUCCUAUCUAGCUAAUUAUACUAUUUUUUAUGUCAAUUGACUUAUUUAACUCCUAAAGAGAUUAAUUAGGCCACCCCGUCUUGUUUAGUUACAAUAGAGUAAAUUCAUGGUAUGUAAGUCGCAUAUUAAAUUUGUCAAGGCAUUUUUGUCACUUCAUAGACAAAAAAAUAGUAAAAUUUUAGUGAUUGUUGCAUGGAGUUUUGCUCCCAUGCCUUGUACCUAUGGUUCCCUUUAAUGUUGCUGUGAUUUAUCUAGUCGUGUGCCCAUCCUUGUUCUUUUACUUCUUUUGCCUAUCGUUUGAUAUAAUAUUAUCUUCUUUUCACUACGUGAUUUUCUAUGCUAACAAGUGGUAUCAAAGUUUUAGGUUAAAGAGUUUGAUUCUAGGGUGUUUGUUGUGCCUAAAGGGUGUGCAAAUUUUGUGAUAGAAGGGCUCCUGCCAUAGAAAGAUAUACAAGUUGUGGUAGAGUACUAAUAUAUUGAAAAAUUGGAUCACGAGAAUUGGUCUUGGUGUACUCGUUUAUUGAUUGAUAAUUAAGGAAAAGGUAACCACAAGUGGAAAGAAGUCUUAAAAGAGGAGUCAGUUGAGAUUGUUGGUGUUGUGCAGUGAUCAAGGAAAAAAAUCAUGCUAAACUACCAUGGAGUUUGAUCAACCCUGAAGUUAAGGAGUCCAAGAAAUUCAAACAGGAAAGCAAAAUUGCUUAUCAAAGUACUUAAAUUACUUUCAAUUGCCAUGGAUAGGGAAUUUGUCAAUGGUGAAAAAGUUAAAAUUUUGCACACACUGAGUAUGUAUGAUAAUAGAUUAGAAUGGGAAGCAAUAAAAGAAAUAUCUCAAAAGAUGUAACUUGAAUGAAAUUAUCAAAAUAAAUUCUUUCUAUGGUUUGUCAAAACCAUAGUUAUUAAACCCAACCCGGGAAGGAACCUGGCGAAGGAGGUGGGUCAACGGGUUACUGGUUUAACCGGUGGGUGAGUGGUUGAACCGGUGGGUCACUACAUAUAUUUAAAUAUUAUAUUUCAUAAUUAUUUAUAUAAGAUAUAUGAUAUAAAUUGUAAUAAAUAAUGCCAUAACAAAAGCUCAUUUAAUUUAAUUUGUUAUAAAAUAAUUAAUUCAUAUAAGAAUCAAUCAAAUAUAAAGUUAUUUAUUAAUAUACCAAACUUCAAGUGUAAAAUUUUAUCUAUAUUUAGUGUAAUUAUCUAGCUUAUUUAUGAAUUUUAAGUGUAAAAAUUUAUUAAAAAUAAUAUUUGUCUUUAAAUGAAUUGUGUAAUAUGUUAUUUUUGGAAUCCAUUUUAUAACUUAUAGAGUUUGGAGGGUAAUAAAUUUUUAUUAAAAGAUUCCAAAUAAUUUGUUUUAGAGAAAAAAAGAUAGAAUUGAAAAAAUAUUUAUAUAUCAUAAUAAAGCUACUAUAUCAACAUAUAUGGAAGUAGUUUGGUGGUAAGCAGGCGGUUGUGUUAGGGCAGAGGUCCGAAGUUCGAGUUCCACCAAUAGCAAUAUAAUUUUUCCACAAAAUCCGAUUAGUGACAAAAUCGGCCAAAACCGGCCGGGUUUCCGGUUUAACCCGGUUCGACCGCCGGAUCGUUGACUAAGUCAACGGUCUCUUUGCACAAAUGAUCUGAUUCCAAACCCGGCCCCGGUCCAAUGACCGGUCCACCGGUUUGACCGGUUCGACCGCCGGGCCGGGCCGGGCCGGGUUUAAUAACUAUGGUCAAAACUUGAAUGAAAAUUAGCAAAAGAAGACUAAAUUACUUUUCAAGAUUAUGCAAAAAUCCAUAGUCGAGGAAAAUUAUGUGAGAGCCUUUUAUUGAUUCUCAAUCACUUGAGUGAUAUGGUCAAAUCUUUGCUAUAGUUUGAUGGAGCUUGAUUGUAAAUCUGAUCGUAAGUCAAAGUUUGGUUUGACAUAGGAACUUAAUUUAGAAGACAAUAUGUUUAUUGAUGUGGGAGAGAUUUUGAAAUUUUGAUAUGGUUGAAAAUUAUGAUUUGCACACAUUAUUUGGGAUGAUUGAUGAAGAAGAAUUUGUCAGUGAAUGCAUUAAUUUGGUUGUGGAUGAAUCUAUUGACAAGUAUGAAAUUAGAAAUUUUUAGUGUGAAAUUUAUUUACAAAAGGAAAGGCAUGAAUUAUUAUUUGAAAACUAUGUGGAUAAUUAUCAUGGAUAUGGAGGCUCUAACGGUAAAUGGGUCAACAUGGACGAAUUUUUUGAUCAAGCAAGAUUAGGUGUUGAAUUAUGUGCAAAGUACAAGCAUGUUCUACUCCCACUGGUGAAGGAGAUGAUAUUUAAAUUGGAGUUACAUGUAAGUUAUACUAUUACAAAGACUACAAAGACAAUUUAAACUCGUGAUGGCAAUGAAGAAAACAACAUGAAGAGUUUGGUUUAAAUAAGGUAAUGUUGAAAUAAUUUAAACCAAGCUAAUUAAAAUUCUAUAUUAUUUAGUAUUUUAGUUAUAUUAUAUAUUGAUGUCAAAUUUGUGUCAAGUUUAAUUAUUAAAGUUGCAUAAGAAUUAGUUUUCUAAUUGUUUGGGAAGUUGUCCACGUGGUACAUGGAAGUCAUAGCAGCAGAGCACAUUUGGGAAUUAGUUAGUUUAAUAUUCUAUAUAAAUGCCUAGUGGCCGGUUUGUAUCAAUUGAGCAAUUUAUUCAAUUACCUUGAGUUGAGCAAUUUAUUCAAUUACCUACAGUUCCUUUGAUAUUUUUGUGAUUUAUCCAGCCAUGUGCUCAUCCUUACUCUUUUGCUUCUUUUGUCUGUCAUUUGAUAUAACAAUAUCUUCUUUUCGAUUGCAUGAUUUUUUGUGCUAACAUAAUCUAAACAGUACAAAUGAUUAAAAAUGGAUCACAGGUAUGAAUUUUGAUCCUCAUAUAUAUUAGCUUUUUUCUCAUAUAUAAAACAUUAUACUACGCUUUUUUCUGGAAACUUGACUCUGUCACUAGACUAUGUUUUUUAAGUAGUACCAGUAAUUCAUCUUUUCAUAUUGUUACUUGAAAAGUCCAAAUAUAUUCUAUGGCAUCAUCACUUGUGUGUAGUUAUUUAUGUAAUAGGUAAGUAUUUCAAGUAUUGGAUUUAUCAUCUUUUCGCCAAUGCAGUUAAUGCACAAAAGUAUCAUAAAUAAAGGGAUUUUAUUUUCUCUGCAAAAUCUAAGUCGGAAUGGUCUAUUUUAGUGUGUCAUUUUGGCUUGCUGCCUAUGGUAGUUAAUUUUAUUUCCUGAGCAUAUAGCAGUUUGGAUAGGGAGAGCUUUUUAAAGUUCUCCUUGGAUGCAUUCUUAUCGAAGAUUUUUUGAAAAUUUCACCAACGAGUGCAAAAACACUCAUCUGAUUCGGUGACGGUUCAAUUUCCUUCGAGUUUUUCAUUGAUCAAUAAAAUUUAUCGUGUCUGAAUAAGAAAAAAUAUAACAGUUUGGAUGCUCGACACUCUUGCUCAACACCAACCAAUGGAACCAUUUAUUUCUGUUCUCCAAGAAUUGCCGGUGUUUAAUGAGUAAACUUCAACCAAAGUGGUACCAAGCCCAACCUAAUUGCCAGGUUCUAACGGACACAAUUAUGCUUACAUAAAAAAUGUGCCCUUGUAAUUAGAGGUGGGUAGCAAAUCACCUCCUGUAUUUGUGAAAUCCACAUAUUACCACCUGAAGUUGGCUAAUAGUCAAACAUUGACUUUAAAUUCCAUCCAUGCAACCAACAAAAAGACCAUCAUGCCAUUAGAUAAUUUUUGUGUUAACAAUUGAAUUCUUUCACUAACAAAGGAUAAAAAUUUUAUUCUAUAUUUUACCAUUCCAUCAGAGAAAUCCCAUCAUGUGAGAAUCAUAUGAUGGAAAAAAAUGUGAUUUUGCACAAUUUGUCUGAUAUGUAUGAUAAAAAUGUCAAUUCACAAUUUUCUGGUAGUUCGAGCAUAUUUUAGUUAAGCCCACAAGGGGUUUUCUUGAUAUUUUUGAACGAUAAGGGGGGUUUAAUAACUUUCAGUCAAACCACAACUAUCACUCAAACAGUAAAUACAAAUUUGAAGAAAUUUUUUCUAUAUGUAUUAUUUUAAAUCAAAGACCAACAUAAAUUGGAAGAACUUGCAACAACUUCUCAAGAUAAUACUCAUGCACGCAAUUUGCACGAUCUUGAUGAAACUGGAACUAUUCUGAUUGCCACUACUUCUCAAACACAAAAUGUCACAGCUUGGGGGAAGAGAGAUAUUUUCCAUGUUCUAAUCUAAUCAAAAGAUUAAAUUAAAUAAACUGUAUUUUUUGCAAACGAAAAUUGAGUAUUAAAUUCGAAGUAAAAUCUUGUUUUCAUGCAUAGUCCAAUGACAUUCAUAAUUAUAGGAAGCUGGGCUAAUUAUGUUGGAAAAGGGAUGCGGCACUACAACGAUCAAAGGGGCAAUUUUGGUUGUUGGCUAUAUUUUUAGCGAGCUGGAUAUUCUAAGCAGUAUCAUGACAAAUGCACUCACUUUAACCUAUAAUUCUACUCAAGAAAAUGGUAAAAAGUUAUGUUUGAUGAAGAACAAGAACCAUUGAUUGAGUUUUGGUUAACUUAGUUGAAACACUCUGCCUUGGUUUGCCAACGUCUUAUGCAUUGCAACAAAUUUUGUCAAGCAAGUUAUCUACUAUUGAGAGAGCUCAUCAAUCUCAAACUCUUAACGAAGCUGAAGCUUCAUCUUCAAGUGAAUUUUUAGGUUGUGGUAAAUUUGAUUUUUAUGUACUAUUGAAUGAAAUUGUUGUUUAAUUGGAGAGAUUGAUCAGUGUUACUAAGACCCAUGGUUGGCAAGUCAAUCAGAAACAAAUGCUACUUCGUCUGUCAACUCACAAGAACAUGAUCAAAGAUCUUUGGAAGCUUUGAGUUUGAUCAGAGUUUUAAUCCUGUGGAAGGUUUUGAUGGCUUCUAUGAUAAAACAAGCCUUAAUGAGUUUCUGAGAAACAGUUUCGGGGACUUAAAAGAUUAAAUGAUUUUGAACUUGGUGAAACGGAUAGGAAGUCUGGAGUAACUAGUGGAAGAUAGCAAAGAAUGGGCUAUGAAGAAAACAAGGGAAGCAAGUUCAAUGUUAGAGGCGGUUACUAUUUCUAAUAUGUGCCGAGAGAAAAGUCCUAUUGCUAACGUGCAAUUCCUCCAUUUUCAUCGUUCUUGGAACUUUUCUAGCUUUAGCGGGGUAGAUUGCAUUCAAUUUUGCUUCUCUAUCUUGUCUGCAGUCUUCUUCUUGGUUCCUUUUUGUUUUCUCAAUAUGUUUCUAAUAAUUUUUAAUCUAUCAAAAACUACCCUUGUUGCUCAAAUGCUGCUUGUUUAGCAUCUGUCUCCUCCAUGUAAUAUGGAUUUAUGGCAGAAGGGUCGUCUAGUGCUAGAUCUUGGAGGAGGGAAAAAAAUUUUGGAGAAUUUUUCCGCUCGGUCUACUACAAAAUAAUGUCCAGAGGAGGAGCAGAGUUCCCAAACUGUUCCUUUUGUUGGGGUAAAGAGGUGAAAACCUCUAAACCGGAUGUUGGUAGUCUAUCAUUGAAACUUGUUGCUCUUGUGACUAUCCAAGAACAAAUGUUUGUUGAUGCCAAACCAUUUAGCAGGAAUUAGAGUUCUAGGUUCAAUUUCUCCAUUUUUCCUUUUACUCCUUAAAUCCUACCCCUUUUCUACUAAUUUUAUUUUUGUUCUUCUUUAGAAAAAGGUGAAACAUAAUCAACUUCCAGUUAUAAUGAUCCAAUGCAUUAAAGGGCUUCAGGCCAAGAUACUAUAAACUUCUCUUCCUACCCGUUAAGGUAAUUGAUGUGAAUAAACUAAUUAAUUCAUGUUAUAAAAAUGUCUGGAGAACAACUUCAAAAUUCAAACACUACAGUCUCAAAUAAUUCUUGCAUAUAUUCUACUGAACUCUCAUAAUUCCAUUGCAGAUUAACUAGGUAAAUCCAAUCCAUGCAGUAUUGAAGUGGAUUUUGUUAAUCAACAUGCACGCACGUCGCACGAUAAUCCUUAAACACAAUUAUAACUGGAACUAUUGUGACUGCUACAUACCAUUCCCUCAAUUGGAACUUGUUCAGUAUUGUGAGCAGAUGGAAUUUGAUUGGGGGUUCUGAUUUCUACCUAAUUGUUCUUUGUUGUUCUUCUCUUUCUCUUGCUUUUCUCUCUCUUAAUUUUGUUGCAAAUAUUUCUUUAUUUGUGUUGCAAGUAAUUUUUCUUUUUUAUUUAUAAAAAAAAAAGGAAUAAAGUUGAGCAACUAUGGGAUAUGUCUAGUAGUUGUCCAUAACCAAUUACACUUAGCCAACUAGAUGAUUAAAUCCAUUUGUUAAAGUUGAUGUAAACUCCUCCAGACUGCCACUAAUAUUAAUUACUACUAACAUUAGUUACUACUAAUUAAAACUUUUAUAAGUUUCUUUUGAUUUUCUCAAAAUUUCUUUAGUACUUUUUCAAUCUUUUACUCUUUCUAGUGCAUCUUUGCUAAAAACUCUACAAAAAAUACUCAUAAUUUGUACAUUUUGUGCAAACAUUCUUUUAUCAUUUUUAUUCAAUUCUUUUUUAGUUUUUUCUGUAGUUUUCCUUUUUUUGUAAUCUAUGACAAUAUAUGAAAGCUCAAAAUUAAUAGAUUUAACAAAAACUUCUAUCAUAUUCUUUCACACGUCAUAAUUUUUACCAUUAAAUAUUGAUAGCUUAUUUAAGGAUCUUCCUAACAUGAUACACAUUAAGUUCUUGUGAAGAGGAAAAUAUUGAAGAUUUAAUGGAUGAAAAGAUUGGUAGAAGUUUGUACAAAAUGUUAAAAAGAGCAAAUGGCUUAAAUAAGACUUUAAAAUCUAAUUUGAAUAAAUAUACAUUAGAAAAGAAAAUGAGAAGUUAAACCUUGCCAUUGAUAAGUUAAGAGACUCAUAAAAAAGUUGAAGAUUCAAACAAGGAAUUGAAGAAAAGAAAUAAAAAAAUUCAAGGAUUAAGUGAAGGUUUAUGAAUCUUUAAAAGUUGAACAUAAGUACUAAGAAGAGAGCGACUGAUUUGAAUUUGUGCUUAAAACAGAAGAGUAAACAAUGGUUGUAAAUCAAAGAAAGACUUCUUGCAAAAAGAAAAAUGAACUGAAAAUAUCUAAUAAUUAUAUGAAAAAUAUUGCUAAGACUAAACAUUGUGAUCUCCAAAAAUAUCUUGUAAUUAUUGUGGUAAAAUUGGACAUAUAUCCUUCUAAUGCGAUAGUAAGAAAAAUACUAUGAGUGAAAAGGAAAUGCAUAUAGAUUAAAAAGAAAAAUCUAUCGAAAAAUCUAUCAAUGAUAAGAAAGUGACUACAAGAGUUUAAUCCCUCUGCCCCUCCUCGUUUCUUAAAUCCCCCAUCUCCCCUAUUGGAAAAAAAAUUAAAACAAAAACCAUAAGAGUUUAAUUAUGUAAUAAUGUUAAAAAUAAGGCAUACUAUCUUUAAAUAAAUUUAGAGAAAAUAAAGUUUUUUUUUGUUAAUAGUUGAAUGUAUAAUGGUCAUAGAAAAGUUUUCAAUCUUUAUGAAGUCAUCAAGAAUUUAAAAUCUAAAGAUUAUCAAUAUCGUUUCUUUUUUUUUUUCUUAGUGUAAGUAGAAAGUUACAAAACCUAGAACUUCUUACUUACAUUGCUUCUUCCAUACUGUUUAACUUAUCUCUUCCCCUUAAUAUAGUUUCUAUUGAUAUACAUAAAUACAUUCACGUGUUAACCUUUUUAGGUCGUUGAUAAUAAGUGCAUAUUUUGUGUGUUUUUAGUGUAUUUUAUUAUUUAGUUUUGGAGUAUUUUAAUUAUUUUUAUAACUAAUUAACUAAGUUUCUAGCGAAAAUAUACAUUUUGUGGUUUAAGUGUUAAAAAUUGCAUUUCUAUAGAUUUUAAUGAUGAAAACUUCAUGUUUUUGUAGGUUUGAUGAUUCAAUCAUCAAAUAGAGUGGGUUGAAAAAAUAAUUGGAUGAUUUUUGAUGAUUUGAAGUGGUUUUAAAGAUAGUAUGAAGUGCAAGAGAGGAAAUGCAAUUAAGGGAGGUUUCUAGCUUUGAUACAUGUUGGUAUUUUGGCUAUAUCUUGAGUUACAAGUAUCAGAUUGAGGUGAUUCUUGUGCCAUUUUGAAGCUAACACAUAGCUCUAUAUUUCUUGUGAGACAUUGAAGUCUAGUUCAGUCAUUUUUAUUGUCAAAAUGUCCAAAUACAGAAGUGCAUUUUCAUUGUUAAAAACUGAAAUAGGGGAUUAACCAGUUGAGGGUAUUUUGAUAAUUUCUCAGUCUACAGAACUCCAAAUUUGAUUAUUAUUAGGCAUUGGAAAGCUAACUCAAAGCACUACAACUUUUAUGUUUUAUACAAGAGCUAGUUCAGCCCCCAUCAUCGAGAAAAUAUUAGUUGAAGCUGGUACAAAAACAGAGUAAGGAUGAAAACUGACAAAAAGUGAGCAAACCUGCAAUAAGGCAAAACGGGGGUACAAUAUGCAAGGUAGGUUGGGAUUUUGGGGCUGCGUAUUCUUGUUUUGUAGCUGCAACUUACUCUACAACUUGUUCUUUGUUCACACAAGUUUUUUGACCAAUUUUUUGUAAGAAAUCCGGCUGGAAAUGAGCAAGCAAGUGUGGAAUCUUAUAGAAACAACUUUUGGAAGUUUCAAGAGCCAACUUUGUCAACUAGAAACAACUCAUUUGUGGCUUGAAUCUCUUUAUAAAUAGAAGCCUUGGAGAACAUUUUAACAACUUUGGAAGGCUAGAAAAACUUCAUAAAAAUGUAUUGUUCACUACUUUUUCUUAGUUCAUUAGUAUAGUAUAGUUAGAGUAGUUUAUCCAUCUUGCACUUGUAGUUAGAUUUGGAUGAAAAUUUGAAGAGCAAAGAUGGAGAGUGGGACGUCAUGCAAUAAGGGUAAUUUCUCUCCUAACAUUUUCUCUUUUGUAUUUGAUUCAUGUUUAGUUAUAAUAUAAGUUUGGUAUUUAUCUUCAUGUUUUGCUAAAGUUUAUGCCCAGAGUUAUGGAUGAACUUUCUAUAUCUUGUUUGUGAUAUUUAUUUGGUUAUUUGAUGAUAUUAUUUUGAACAAGUUAUUUAUCACUUUUGCUUAUCUAAUCAUGAUUAACCGGCCAUUAAUUGUGAUAAUCUUAAGGUGUUAAGUUUGUAAUGAGAAUUGAGAUUUAACACUAGUUCAAGGAAAUGAUAAAUCUAAAAAAUUCACUCACGAGAGUAGAGGAGCACCUUUGUGACUUUGGUUUUCAUGUAAUUUCAUAGAAGAAACGAGCUUGUAGUUAAUUUCAUAAUCGUGAGAAUAGAAAAAAUGAAACUUCUCUCCUAGCACUUUCUCUUUAUAUUUGAUUUCAUACUUAGCUAUCAUACAAGUUUGGAUUUUUUUAUCAUAUUUAGCUAAAGUUUAUGCCUAGAGUUAUGGAUGAACUUUCUAUAUUUUGUUAGUAUUGUUUACUUGGUUAUUUGAUGAUAUUAUUUUGAACAAGUUAUUUAUCACUUUUGCUUAUCUAAUCAUGAUUAACUGGCUAUUAAUUGUGAUAAUCUUAAGGUAUUAAAUUUGCAAUGAGAAUUGGAAUUUAACACUAGUUCAAGGAAGUGAUAAAUCUAGAGAGUACAUUUACGAGAGUAGGGGUGCACCUAUAUGACUUUAGUGACUUAUUUCAUGUAAUUUCAUAGAAAAAAUGAACUUGUAGUUGAUUUCAUAACCACGAAAGUAGGCAUGAUUUAGUUACAAGUAUAGUUGAUUCACUAUGAGAGUAAGUUUAACAUACAUUAGGAAAUUACACCAUAACUAGCCAAGAUAAUAGCAUUUAGUUAACCGGUAACUUCAUUUGCAAGAGUAGUAAGGAAUUCCAAAUCUCUAGGAACUUAUUAUUUUUUUUUUAUUACUUUUUUCUCAUAUUUGUAGUGUAGAUUUAAUUUCUUGCACUUAUGAUAGUCUAAAUAAUAAAGAAAUUCGAAAAUCAUCAGUAAUUGACAUUCUUUCCUGUGGGUUCGACCCUUAAUACCCUAUACUCAAUUACGACUCGUAUACUUGCGAAAAAUCAUGUGUGAGAUAUUUAGGAAUUCAUAAAUAUAAAACUUGACUGUGGAUGAGCUAAUUGUUAUAUGUAUACCCCACGCUUAUCAGUUGAAAAUGCUUAUAUUUCUUGAAAAUAUAUAUGGUUGCAGUAUGAUCUUAUAUGAUUAAUUUGAAGAUGAUAAGUUGAAUGAAGAAAUGAAUACAAAAAUAAAUAUUGGAUGAAUUGGUACAUUGACUUGGAAUUGAUUAAAUGUUUAUUAGUUCAAUUAUCUUCUGAGUUGAAAAUUUGAAUGCAUUGCCAAAUGAAUAUGGAUAAUAUUUGAGAGUGAAAAUAUUUUUAGAAGAUUUAAAUGGGUUUGUUUAAUUAAUCUUUGAUAGUCUAAAUAUUCUUAUAUCAUUCACUUGAUAUUGAUGAAGAAAGAAAAACAACAAAAAGUAUGAAAAACCAUACUUUCAAAGUUGCAAAGAAAUAAAGAAAGAGAAGAAUGGUCAAAAGUACAUAUGAUAAGCAAAUAGAAACAAAUAACAAGCACUUCGUGGCACCAAAUGAUGAGGGAAUUCUAUCUCUCAAUUAUAGAAAUUUUGUUUAUAAAUUAAAUGAUGAUGAAUUUGGAGCUUUCAUUUGUCACUUACAAGAUAAAUUACUAAAAUCUUAAGGUCAAAGAGUAGAUGGUUAGAAAUCAAAACAGAAAAGCUCAUAUGACGUAAAAACAAAUGCAUGAAUUUGUGAUCUAUCUUGUUUAAUUCUUUAUAGCAUGUUGAAUCUGAGACGAAGUUGAUUUCACAAAUAUAAAUUUGGAUUUUAUAAAAAGGAAAAGAAUAAUAAGUUGUGUUGGAAAAAACUUAUAUGAUUCACUAAUUCUUACUCUAUUUUACAAGAUAUUAAAAAAAUUGUGGUUCAUUGCCUAUUAGUAUUAUUUUGAAAAGAAUGCAACAGAUAUGAUAUUUUGAACAUUUAAUGAUUUUUCACAAUUAAAAAGGCAAUACAAUUUUUUUUGAAUUUGCUUGCUAUGAAAUUUAAGUUGCACGUCAUUGUUGUGAUUUGUGCAUGCUUAUAUAAUACAUGUAUUUUUAGGCUAUAUUUGGAUUGAGAGAUUUGACGAAGAAUUUGAAAUCCUCUCAAAUUCCUCUUGUUGCUUUGAUUAUUUAGAAAACAUCUAGAUUAUAAAUUACUAAUUAUUCUAGUGUUUAAAAUGUAUUUAAAUAAUUAGUGAAUUACAAUUUCAAAUGCAUUUUAAACAAUCCAAACAACUAAACCGAUUUAAGUGGAUUUCAAAUCCUUUGUCAAAUUCUUCGAUCCAUAUGAAUCCUUACACUACUAAUACCUACUUAUAUAAAGUACUUUUCUUAAAAAUUGUGUAGUUUGAGUUUAGAUUUUAAAAAUAUAUAAUUCCUCAACCCAAGAUAAUCAUGCUCGAGCCGCUCAUGAAAAGCGAGCAUUCAAAUGAUUUGAUGGUUUUGAAAGUUGAAAGGAAUGAUGUUCUUAUCUACUAAGUUUAAAUUCAUACCAGAGAGUAGAUGAAGAACUAAACAAGUGGUAAAUCUAACAUCUUCCUUAGACAAUAAAUAUUAUAACUCUUAAAAGCAGAUGAAAAGUUGCAUCUAUAAAUGAUAUUUGCUUUUAAAAUUUAACUACGCUACCUCAAAUUGUGUAUGAGGUAAAUAGGUCAGAUUUAAAUGCUUUUUUGAGAUGCACCCUAAUUUUCAGUAUUAUGAGAAUUAAAGAUGUGAUUUUGGAAUGUCUAACUCUUUUGAUUUUCUAUGCAAACUUGUCCUGUGUACAAAAUGUGAUUUGAAAUUUGAUUGGACAUAUGGAUGCCUAAUUGAAAAGAACCCCUUUGUUUUGAACUGGUUCGUAUGUUAUAAAAGAGAGGAGGAGCAUUUUUUAUCCCCAAUGUUUGGGGUGUGGACUAAUUUCAUUCCUAAAUUUUUAGUCAAAACACAUUUUGUCAUCAUAUUGUCAUAAUUUUGACUAAUUAAGGAUAAUUGAUGGAUUGCCUAUCAAUUUAGAUGGAAUUAGAGUUGCAAACGAGUCGAAUUAAGUUGAGUUUUGGCCUAAUCGAAUCUAAUCUCGACUUAAUUUUAUCAAACUCAAACUCGAGAAACUUUCAAUGUAAAAUUUGAGCUCGAGUUCGACUCAAAUUCAAGUCGAAUCAAGUUUGAGCUCAAACAUAAAAUAUAAAAAUAAUUAUUUUUAUUUUUUAAAAAUUGAAUAAAAUGAUAAUUUUUCUUAACAAAUAAUAAAAUAUUAUGGAAAUGUAUGUAAUUUCACUGUUAAAAUAAAAAAAAUAUAUAUAUAUAUAAAAUCGAAUUGACUCACGGGCUACUGAGAUGAAUAUAUUUGAACUCGAGUUUUGAGUUCGAGUUUGAAUUUGAUUUUGACUCGAGUUACUUGCGAGCGACUCAAGUUUUGACUCGAGUUGCUUGUAAGCGACUCGAUUCACGUACCGCUCUAGAUAGAAUGUCAUCACUUUUCUUUGGAUAAAUAAAAAUUUCAUUAACAAAUUGUUGAAAAUCGUCUAAUACAAUUUGAUCUACAUUAUUGCCCUAAUGGCAGGUUAAACAUACACUAAAAAUUAUAGAUCUGCAAUUUAACAAAUACAUAAAUUCGAAAAACUAUGAAAAGAUCUAAAAAAUACAUGAAAUUUUUAAAUUAUCUUCUAAUAGAUAGAUCACUGCAGCUCCCUUCUAUGCAUGUUGCAAUCGUUAGAUCUACUAACUAAUGGUUUAAAACUCCAAUAAUGAUAAUGAGAUCUAUCAAAAUAGAUUCAAGAUCUAAAAAAUUUUCAAAUCUAACAACCAAAUCCGAAAUAAAUUUAGAUCUAACAAUACAAAAGAAAAAAAAAAUCUCCAUAGGAAUUCUUAGGAGAAUAGAAAAUUCUCACUAGGAAUUCCUAGGAGAACCAGAAAUCUCUCACUAAGAAAAUCGAGAAAAGACUUUAUUAGAAAAACCAAAACAAAACGAAACAAGGUUCACGAGAUGGUCUCCCUCUUUAAGGGAAGGCCUCUCAAAAGAGGAAAAGAAAUAGAGAGAAAUUAUAGAAUGUCAUCACUUAACUAGCAUGUUCUGUUAGUAAAAAAUGUUCGAUUGACAAAAUCGCUUCUUAAUUCAAGUUCUCCUCGUCAGCUCUAAAAAGCGGUGGAAAAGAAAUGACUUUAUCACAACCAAUUGAAGAAAACUCUUACUGCGAGAAAAGAGUUCAACAAUAGGUCAACUCCAAGAUAUGGUUUUGUUUUCAUAACUUAAAUCAUGAAUUAAGCCCUAAUAAUGUAAUUACUAACGGGGCAUGCUGAUCAUUUGAUGAUACUCCAUCCAAAUUAGUUGAUAAUUCUUCAAUGUCCUCAAUUGAUCGAAAUUAUGAAACUAUGAAGAUGUAAUGUAGUUUGGCUAAUACUUUAGGAACGGAAUUGAUCCACAACCCAAAAAUGAGGGAUGAAAAGUGCAUAAUUUGUUGUGGCUGGAGAGCAAGAGUUCUUCGAUAAUCGUCUUAGAGGCGCCUCUAUAUGCAUAUAUUUACUAUUUGAAUAUACACUCACAUUCAUCGAUCCUGUCGAGAUUUUUUUGUUUUACUUGACCUCAUUUUUUGAGAAAAAGUCCUGGCUUUAAGCACUUAUUAGACAAACUCCAAAUCCAGAAGUUCUUCACCUAAACUGAAAAUCUGUUACUAAUCCAAAUAAAAAGUAAGAUUAAUCUUUAAGAACAUCUAUUGUUUUGAUAAGUUUCUUUCUAUCAUUUUCUUCUUCUUUUUUUUUUUUUUGAGCAAACAACACCUUAGUUUUAACAAAUCCCGUACAACUGUGUACAUAUAGCAAUAAAGGACUAAUAAACAAGCCAAUUCAGUGGACAAAGAAGAAUACCAUUAAUACUAAUGCCAGCGAAAAUUUCGCCUUCAUUUGCCAGAAUCUUGGUCAAUAUCACAGCAGUAAAGAUUGCACCAUUUAAAUAAUUUGAUUCCUAGACAAAUCCUCGAGCGAUAUACUAACCAUUUUAAGAUAAUUUUAUAGACAAUAGAUCUCUCAAAGUUUUUUUUUUGCGUAAAAACACUUAUUUUAAAAAACACAUGUUUGAGUAAUGACAAUUUAAGUCCAAAAUAUAAACAGACUACUUAAAAUUGGAAAAAUUCUAAGACUAAACAGGAAAAGUAAUAAAUAUUCCCAAUACUUACGGAAAGGCAUUUGUAACUUAAAUAUGCAAUUGUUACCAAAAUGAUAGAAAUGAUAAGACUUAGAUCCUCAAUUAAACGUCAAGACAACCACCCCUACUUUCCAUUUGGGAAUUAUAUUUCAUAACCACAGACUUAUCUUUUCUUUCCAUAUCUUAAACCUAAAACCGUCCGUAGAUUGUUUAAAUUGACAAUGAUUUAAUCUUGCUAAAAAAAUUAAAACAUAAUUUAUAUGGAUUAAUAUUCUAUACAUGGACAGUGUAUACACUUUCACUAUUAGAUGUAUGAUACAUAAUUCAAAUUUGAAUUUGAAACAUAAAUUUUGUAUAAAUGUCGUGUAUCCAACUGUGAUAGUGGAUACAAUGGUAGUGUAUAUAAAAUUUACUCAAUUUUUAUGUGCUAAAACUUUAGGUGCCAGUUGAGAAGUGCAAACUUUGCUACAUCUGUUUGCUCUUUCAUUUAUUAGGUAGUUCUAUUUCACCUUUCUUAAAGCAUAUUUGUUGAAUAAGAAGUGACUCCAAUAACAACAGAAUUAACUAAUAUUGAAACCCUGAUGAAUUGGGGAAAAACAAAAGAUUUAGGUCAAGAGUUAAAAGUUUCACAUUCUCAAUUUUAUAAGGUGGCAAUUAAAUGGAAACAAUUACAUUCAAGUUCAUGAGUUAUGGCUGUUGAAUGCUCAUUUUUUCCUCUUUUUUUUUUUUCAAAAAAAAAUCCUUCUCUUAGUUUUUUUUCCCCUUCUGUAGUGUAAAGAGACAUCUACCCUAUUACCCACUAUGUUGUGGCACUAUUGUAAAAAAGAAAUUAGACAAUGUGAUUUCUAGCCCUUGUUUCGUUUGCUAUUGAAAUGUACUAAACUAAGCAGCGCAGGAUCUUAGUCUGCUCGGAUUUGCUUGUAUGAGCUGUUAAGCCACUCGUAGAAGCGAGUAUCAAGAAGAUCUAGAGAUUAUUUGAAACAAUUAUUAUAACAUUUUUUACGAUAUAAUGUAUGUAAGAUAAAUAAAAGAUUGAAAAGAUAAAAAAGUAUGUUAAAAAAUAUAAUGUGAUACAAGAAAAUAAUUUUUUGUCGACAAUUCCUAUCCAAAAAAAAAUGUCUUCCUUUGCAUUCACUUGAAGUACCUAAACUACAUUAUCAUUGACAACUAGUGGCUUGAGAACAUUUAUCAUCAUAUUUGGAAUUGAACAAUAUCAAACAUAAUUGAAAAGAGGUGCAAAAGCAUUAAUUACUCUUUAUCCAUCUCUACAUCCGGACAUCAUUAUAACUAAACUAGUUUUCACUUAUUACCAGCUAUGUUUUUAGAACCGGACGGGGUAUCGACUCGGUCGAGCUCAGGGGUGAAUGGGUUCAACCAGAUUCGAUCAGGGUUGAACGGGAUGAUGUCAUAAAUAAAAAUUAUUUAAAAAUUAAAAUAUUAUAUGUAAAAUAUCUAAUAACAUGUGAAUACUAAUAAAGAUAUAUUCAUAUAUAUUUGAUGUUUCAAAUAUAUUUAACAAGAAAAUACAAAGAAAUUAGAACAAUCAAGUAGCAAUUUAUAUUAUUUAAUGAGCAUUAACAAGUUUAGAAUUAAAAUUAUAGACUUAAUUGAAAAAUAACACCAAAUUUUAAGACAACAUUUAUAGAGUAUGAAAUAUUUGAGGUAUAUUAAUAAUUUUUAACAACCUAGGGGUCAAAACAUAAUAUUAAAAAUAUUUUGACCUUUCAAAAAAAAUUUAAAAAAAAGAGACCUUGUUCUUAAUUUUCCGGUCAAACCCGGUUUUUGACCUAGUUUGACCGAAUUUUUAAUUUUCUGGUUUUUAUGGUUAACUCGGACUGAACAAUUGGCCGGUCCGGUCUGAGUUUAAAAGCAGAGAUUACCAGCUGUCUGCAUAUCUCAAAGGCUGUGAUUUAGCAUUUUUUUACAUAACUCUCCUAUGGUUUCAAAAGUUAUAUAUAACCCCAUCAUAAUUUGGAUUAAAAUGUCAAAGUGACGAUGGGAAUGAUCAUUCGUAACGGAGUCAUCUAAAAUGUCAAAAAUACCCUUAUGUAAAGUUGAAAAUUAUUUAUUAAUCUAGGGGAGUUAUGUGUAUAUAUUUUGAAAACCAUAAUGGGGCUAUAUGGUAAAGUAUUAAACUAUAAGGGGGUUAUAUAGUAAAAUAUAAAAAUUAUACGGGAUUAGUGUGUCAUGUAUUUAUAAGGGUAAUUACGACAUUUCUAGAAGUUCCGUUACGGAUGACUAUUUCCGUCACUUUGACACUAUAAUCCAAACUAUAAAGAAGUUAUAUAUAGUUUUUAAAAUCAUAGGAGGAUUAUGUAAAAAAUAUUAAAUCACAGAGGGAUAAAAUAUAAUUUGCCCUAUCUCGAAUCAUAUGGUGAAGGUUAGCUGUAUUGGCAGCAAAAUAGAAACCAUCUUCUUUAACCAGCAAAUAGCAUAUACUGUCACCGCCAUCACAUUGUUCCCUUACAGUUUUAUUGAAAACAUCAAAUCUUGUGUCCUUCAUUCUCCAGUAAAAGUGACAGAAAAAUAGUGUCGACCAAAUGAAGAAAUUCUCAUGAAACGUCCACCGAAACUCGUUAUUCAUAUAGAGGGUGUGAUACCCUAAAUCAUCAUCUCCAGCUGAUUGACAACGAAGAACUAAAGGGUUGGAAUUAUCAGGAAGGCCAUUGACUACAUGAAGAUGAUAUUUACCCGUAAAAACAUCCCAAAAUGAAAAUGAUGCUGCGAGGACAAAGCAAAGUAGUGCAACAAGCAAGCUGAAAAGGCUUUUCGCUGUUGUAAUGACUCACAUUGGUCAUGAUAUGCUCUGGUGAAUUAGGAGUUACCGCGUUUAUAUAGAACAGGGAAUUAUAUACAAGAGAAGAAGUGAGAAUUUGGUACGUGGAAAAAGACAACAAAUAAUUGUGCCUUGAGCCAGCAUUUCUUUUUCCCAUGUUUAAAUGGCAAGCUAUUAUUAAUGAAAUAAUUCGUUACCAUGUCAGGAGUACUGAAGCAUCAUGUCUUUUUUCUCAAAAUUUUUGUAAUUAAUGCGGUGAAGAUGUUAUUCAGAUGUAAGCUUUGAAAUACGAAAUCGUCAUUUUUGGAAAUAAAAUAUAAUCAGAGAUGUAGGCUGCUCUAGUGUGUGUGUGUGCCCAUCCAUAUAUACAUAUAUAUAUAUAUAUAUAUAGUGUGUGUGUGUGUGUCAUAUAUACAUAUGUGUAUAUAUAUAUAGGCUGCUUUAGUGUGUGUGUAUAUAUAUUUCACAAUGUAAACCAUGAUACAAUUUAUAAUUCAAUUGUUAAAUACAUGGUGUACACCUUCACUACUCACUUCUCUAAAAUAGGCACUCGUCAAUGAACUUUUUACGUUUUAACUUUUUUGUUUGGACAUUUCUUUAAAACAAUCUUUUUGUGGAACUGAAAUAAGCUGUUGAACUAAGCCAAAAUGCACUUUGGUCGUCUUAUCAUUGCGUCAUAUAGACCGGAAAAAAAUAUGGUAAAAACAAAAUUCAAUAAAAAGCACAUUGAAGAAACUUUAGCCAAUUGAAAAAAAUAAAUAAAUCAAACCUAAUUUGAGCUUAUGAACAAAUUUUAGGGAUACGACCUCCCGCAUCAAGAAGUUCCUAAUUCCUAUGUGUCUUUCCUUCUAUUAUUGGAUCGUAAUUCAUCCCAAUAAAAAAGAUUUCUCGUCAUACUUUAAAAGAAAAAUAAAGCAACAAUAGUUUUACUUUUUGGUUGACAAUAAGUAACCAAAUUUAUAAGUUUAAGAAUAGAAAGGGGCAAAGUGCCCAAAUAGUCCUCUAAUUCAACAUGACAAAAAUGUUUGGUUCUCGUUUACUAAUCUUGCAUUGGGUUCUUUUGGAAUAACAUUCAAAAUAUUGGGACUAAUUUGUAGACAGCAGUAAUAUCCAAUCAAUUUGUGUCCUAACAUUUAAAUAGGACUAAAUGCCCUAAUAUUCCCCUUGGGAUUGUUCGGCUGAAUCCACAAGUACCCUGCGUUGCCUCGUGGAAAGUGGCGUAUUUGGUCUCGUCGGCUGCUGGCCACAAUUCCUGGAAGGAAGAUUGGCCCGCCCAAUGCCGACCAUCAAUAGUCGUCUUUGGCAACGUCAAAGUUCAAAGUCCACGACCCCGUAAUUUCCUCGAAUUUAGAUCAACACACUUGAACUUUUGUGCUAUUUUUUUAAUCACCAACUGGAGGAUUUGAAUGUGGCAUUUGGAUCCCUCAAAAAAAAAAAAAAAGAUAAAAUUGUAAUGCUUAAAAUGUGACCCUUUUGCACAAUAAUUCACUUAAAUUCAUAUUCUAGCUGAGGCCUUGACAUUUCUCUACCAUUGUUUAUCUCCAAUUUUGCUCCAUUUUUUUAGUGUUUGACGAGACUAUCCAAACAUGAUUUUAUGCAACUCUCAAGUGAGUUUUUUUUUUAUUGAUGACCUUAGUAAUUUUAUCAAACUGUCUAGUAAGCUUUUUUUUAUUGAUGACCUUAGUAAUGUAAACAAAGAGUAGAAAGUGAUCAUUCAACAAAAAGUCUUUAUUUAUAUAUAACCUAUGUGAACUAUAUACAAAACUAAUCACAUGACCUAUAUAAUCACUAUUUAGGUCAUAUGACAUCUCAGGAGAAGAUCUAAAAUUUGUCUUUGUCCUUUAAACUUUCCUCCAAUAUGCCAAAUAAUGUAAAUAAUAGUACCAACAAUUCUAGCAAUUCUAAUGAAAGAAUGCUUGAAGACAAUCUCCUUUCCAACCUUUCACAUUUGAUUUGCAGACUUAUUAAGCUACUAAACCAAUAAAGUUAUAUAUAAAUAUCAGAGUCUCUUACCAAAAAAAGUUUUAUUGGACGCCCAGAAAUAAAGAUUUUCAACAUACAAUCUUCUUCCUAUUUUUAAAUGGAUUUUUUCUUUCUCUAAUAAUCGAAAAAUAAACCAUUAAUGUUUUCAAGAUACCAUUUCUUCUAAAUUUUAAUAUGAAAGAAAACAUUUUUGUACAACUAUUUUUUACUUUAGCUCCAAGCAAAUUGAUGAUAGUUAAUGUCUAAGAUUCUUCCAAAAGCAAAAGAAAUAUGAUAAAUUAACAUGCCAAAAUUAAGUCAAGCACAAAGGGUAAAAAUGUUUGAUUCCUAAAGGUGUUGUGGCUGGUAACAAUUACUUGAAUUUGUCAACCAUCCAUUUUUUUUUAACCAUAACAAGAGAAAAAAGAAAAAGGGAAAAUUACGUAAAAAUUGUAGGCGUGGAAAAUGACACCUCUAUAAAAACCAUAACCCUGAUUCCUCGCUUCUUGCUCCGCCUUUCGCCUCCCUUUUUCGGCUCCUUCACCUGAGAACCAGCCAGGAAAACGCAAAGGUAGAGGAGCGCAGCCCAGCCCGGCCCGGCCCGCUUGUUAGAGACUCUCACAAAGUCAACAUCUCAGCUUAUUACUACGAUCAGGUAGAUCAAUCGAUCAAACACUUGCAUUAUUGCAUUAUACAAACGAAUCCCACUCUACUAGGUGCGGAUAAAUUCAUGGAUCUACCGUUCUUUUCUUCAUUUUAUUGAUUUGGAAUAGAUUAAAUGCCUAUAUUUCUUCAUGGAUGUUCUCAUUUCUUCAUAAAAUUGUCCCUGAUAUUCAGUUACCUUGAUGUCUGUCUGUAGAAUUUUUAAUUUUUUUCUGGGUUUUUGAUUUAGAAGAUUUGGUAUUCUGGGUUGUUUCAUUUGCGGAUUUUAAGUUCAGAUCUGUUAAUCUUUUUUGGGACACACUUGCAUUAUUGCAUUAUACAAACGAAUCCCACUCUACUGGGUACGGAUAAAUUCAUGAAUCUUCUUUUCUUCAUUUUAUUGAUUUGGAAUAGAUUAAAUGCCUAUAUUUCUUCAUGGAUGUUCUCAUUUCUUCAUGAAAUUGUCCCUGAUAUUCAGUUGUCUUGAUGUCUGUCUGUAGAAUUUUUAAUUUUUUUUCUGGGUUUUUGAUUUAGAAGAUUUGGUGUUCUGGGUUGUUUCAUUUGCGGAUUUUAAGUUUAGAUCUGUUAAUCGUUUUUGGGACUCUUUUUUCGUGUUGCUUAAAGGGUUCCAAUUUCUUGGGACUGCUCUGUUUUUUCUGUUGCAUAUUAUUAUGGAAUUUAUAUAUGAAGUGUUUGGAGUUUGACUAGUAGAUUCCGAAGGGUAUGAGUCUCUUGAUGUCAGUUUGCGGUUUUUGCUCCGAUUUAGUCUUUUUGGGAUGUUUGAUUUACUACAAAUAUGUUUGCGUAUAAGUUGUGACAGAGUUUUGAGAUGAGGCUGUGUUUGGAUUUUGUUUCAAUAUGAAUUUGAGUGUCGGAGAAUUGAUUCAUUUGCUUGAGAGAUGUCAUGUUUUUUUAUUGUCAGUGGAGUCAGCUUGCCUCUGCUAACCAAUUUCAUUUACAAAUGGGUUUUUUUGUUGUUCUAGGAAGUGAAGAACAGAAAUGGUUUCGUUUUGAAAAUGAAUAUAUGUGUAAGCGGCUUCCAAGUACAGUUUUGAUUUUACGAUGAUGCUGCUGUUUAGCAGUGGGUGCUUGUGAGAGUUGAUAAUAAAUAUUGCUUUCGUCUAGAUACGGUGAUGGAUUUUGAUUAGGAUGAUGAUUUUUAUUCUUAGAGAAAAGAUCUGUAAGAGCUGCCCUGCUAGAUAUCUGAUUGCUAUUUUGCAACCUUGGUGGCAGUUGAGGAUAGUGCAAUAGUGGCAAUUGCUAUAACAUCUUAACUCAGUCUUUUUGUCUAUGUUACUCUCAUAUUUGUAUGGUUAUCAACUUGUCUUCUUUAAAGUUCUCUGCCUUUUCUGGUUGGAAAUUGGACUCUUGAUCUUCAUUGCCAUGGUUGUGCCUUGCUUUUAAUCUACCUUUACAUAAUCAUUUUGUCAAUCUUACAGAUUAAGGUUUUGUCAAUCAUUUUGAUAAUCUGUCAAUGUGUGCCCUCAAGUUUGACAUUAAAGUUCUAUAUGUAACAUCUGGGUUAGUUCCCUAUCGUGUUGUCAGUCAGUUUGUGUCACAUUAUCUCCUUUUCUUCCAUCAUGUAUGUAUAUACUUAUAUUCUAUUCCUUAUUUUCCCCAUAUAGCCUAGCUUACACGCGGUGAUAGUUGUUUUUUUCUUUCGUGGCAGAAAAAAUGAUGAUUGAUCAGACACAAUAUCCCACUGUCGCUCAGAAGAUGGCUGCCAAGCUCCAUGCACCGACCACUGUUAAAGAUCUUCAAGCCUGUGAGGGUGGUUUCCAGAAGCCUUAUCUGCAUCAAAGAAAAUUUGCUUAUGGAAACUUUGCAAAUCCUGCAUUCAAAUAUCAGAUGCUACAGUCAUGUCAAGCAACACAAAACCUGUCUAUGAUAGCAUCAUAUGCAUCUCCAGUUUCUGUCCAAGCCCCCUCAGAAAAGGGAUUUGCCAGCUUUGCGAUUGAUUUUCUCAUGGGAGGGGUCUCUGCUGCUGUAUCAAAAACAGCUGCUGCUCCAAUUGAGCGUGUGAAGCUAUUAAUUCAAAAUCAGGAUGAAAUGAUAAAGGCUGGUCGGCUUUCAGAACCAUACAAGGGGAUUGGUGACUGUUUCACACGAACAGUCCGGGAUGAAGGUGUUGUUUCUCUCUGGAGAGGCAACACUGCUAAUGUUAUUCGUUACUUCCCUACUCAGGUUGGUCAACUCCCGUGUUGUUAAUCCUUAAUUAUGUACUACUUCUCUUCUCAAUUUGCCUGACUAUUUUAUGGAUUCUGUACAGGCUUUGAAUUUUGCAUUCAAAGAUUACUUCAAGAGUUUGUUUAACUAUAAGAAAGACAGAGAUGGAUACUGGAAAUGGUUUGCUGGAAACUUGGCAUCAGGUGGUGCAGCUGGUGCUUCUUCCCUCGUCUUUGUCUUUUCCCUGGACUAUGCCCGAACUCGAUUGGCAAAUGAUGCCAAGGCUGCAAAGAAGGGAGGAGAGAGGCAGUUCAACGGCUUGAUUGAUGUCUACCGUAAGACCUUUGCUUCUGAUGGCAUUGCUGGACUUUAUCGGGGAUUCAAUCUUUCUUGUGUUGGAAUCAUUGUUUAUCGUGGUCUCUAUUUUGGACUGUAUGAUUCUGUGAAGCCAGUGGUCCUCACUGGCAAGUUGCAGGUAAAUAAUCGAUGAGACCAGUGCUUGUCAUCAUCAUUUGUCAUGAAGUAUUGAUUGACUGAUUGUGAUUCACAUUUUCAUGAAUUUUUUUUAAUUAUUUUUGUGUUAUAGUGUUUCUCUUCUAUUUGCUUUGAGCUAGUAGCUAAAUACAGAGGACAUGCAAGAAGCAAAUAUUGAUGCAUGUGAUCCUUAUUAUGCUCUAGAAUUCCUUUACUACUACAAGUCCAUAAUUUUUGUAUCUAGCUUCAUUGUACCUUCUCUUUUGCUGUUUCUGGUUUUCAGGAUAGUUUCUUUGCUAGCUUUGCCCUUGGUUGGGUGAUUACGAAUGGUGCUGGCCUUGCGUCUUAUCCAAUUGAUACUGUCCGAAGAAGAAUGAUGAUGACAUCUGGUGAGGCAGUGAAGUACAAAAGCUCCCUAGAUGCAUUUACUCAGAUCGUGAAGAAUGAGGGUGUAAAGUCUCUCUUCAAGGGAGGUGCUGCAAACAUCUUACGUGCUGUUGCUGGUGCUGGUGUGCUUGCUGGCUACGACAAACUGCAAGUGCUUGUCUUAGGAAAGAAGUAUGGAUCUGGCGGUGGUGCUUAAGAGUUGGUUUUUUGUCCUCAAGAUUUUGAAGAUUAGGCAGUGAAAAAAUCUCCCAUGUGUGGGACCUUAACCAGGCUUUCUGAUUCAAUAAUUUGACACCUUUACAGGUGUCACCCUGAACCUUUUUUUAUUGAACCGUUCAUCGCUUUCUACAUCUUAUAUUGUUGCAGCCGCGGAUGCAGUUGCUAGUUUUUUGAGUUUCAAUUACUCAAGAGAGGCUUGUAUGUCAUGUACAAUGCCUGAAUUGCUUUCCAUAGUGAGAGAUACAACUGUGCAACUUUUUGGCCUUAUCAUCCUGGCAAGUGCAUACCUGAAAUUAUAUGCAUCAGUGUCUAAACUGCUAGGUCCUUUAUGUUUCGUACUAUUCUCUGUUUCUUUAUUUUAUACUUGGGGCUAAAUCACUUCAAAAUUUUAUUCCUUGUAUGCGAAAUGUCUAUGCUGAUUUUCAUAAAUAGCAAGCCUCAAGGUGCCUGCGCAUGUCUUUGAGUGUUUUGUACUUUCAACUGCUGCAAGGCCAAUCUGUUAAGCUGUCUUCAACUGCUGCAAGGCCAAUCUGUUAAGCUGUCCUCAAUCUUGGAUGCCCCUUUAUUAUAUCUGUUUCAUUUCUACAUGUCCAUUCUUGGAUACAGAGAUGUAAUGUGUUUAGUUAAACAUUUUAAGAUCUAGAGAUCAAACUGGAAGCUCUCGAUCUCGACUUUAACCGACUCAAAACUGAAGUAAGCUAUGAACAAGAACGAGCUGGCCUGCUUGAAGAGUAGCUCAAUGUCCAGCCUUCGAUAAAUGAGUAGUACAUAAUGGUCUUUCACCUUGGGUGAUCGUGUAGCAAUCCAGUGGAAAAUGGUUGAUGCUGUUUACUGGCAACUAUAAGGGUACCUGAAACCUAAUAAGCUGUAUGAGCCAACGAUGAGAUUCUGAAAUUCUGCUUGGAUUGCUUGUUUCCGUCGGAAAAUAUUGUCAUUUUCCGUAAUCACAUUUUCCUAUCACCUUUUUUCCUCACAUAUAUCAAAUCGCUACUCGAAAUCUUCAAGUAGGGGUGUUUUUGAAUUGAGUCAAGCCCUGGCACUGGUGUAGCCAAGUUCAAGUUCAAAGGUAAUUAAUCACCUAGCUUAUCUUUAAUUUGAGUGAGGUUUGAUGAGUAUCAUCCAAAAAAAAAAAUUACUAGUGGUUCAAGCUCAAGAUUAGCCUACUUGACAAGAUUAACUCGAGUCCAAGCUCAAGCCUAAACUCUAGGGCAAUCAAGCUUGAUAGAGUGGUAAAGAUUGUAAUUUGUCCAAAACAAACAUUCUAUAAUUUCAAUAGUUUCAUAACUAUAUAUAAAUAACAAUAUAUUACAAAAAUUAUAAAUUUAUGAAUAGUUGAUAAGCUUGAGAAGCUCUCAAUAUUAUGUAUGGACACGGAAGUUGAUCCGUAUGACAACUUGAAUCGUUGGGUUUGAAUUUUAUCGAAUUCAAAUCAAUCUUUGAACGAAGCGCUGGUAAAUAAGUCGAUUUAUCAGUAGCUCCUAGUCCAAUUCCUAUUCCAAACUCACGCUGUGAAGCUUGUUCGUAUAAGGUUGAGUUUCCUCGAGAUUCAACAAUGCAUUCUACCCACAAGUCUUUCUAUGGACGCUUCUUCACCUUGUGUGGAGGAUCGUGAAAGCUGUUAAUAUCUCUCAAGGGUUACUUAGCCCUUUUUCUGGAAAUAGAAGUAUGCCAAACACUCACGCUACCCUAAAGGCCAAAUUGCAUGAUAAACAAUAAAGUAAUAAACAAUAGGCAUUACGAUGGCAAUCAUUAAAUGGGCUUUCCAAGGAGGCAAAAGCCCAUUCAUUAUUUGCUUUGCAGUUUUGGGCCUCGUUUAGUGAACUGAUUGGUCCGCAGUGUAGACCAUUUGAAAUACAAACAUGAGACAAUAAUCCUAACAAAAUGUAAGACUAUUCUAGUUUUUUCUUCUUUUUGUCUUGAUAAAUUAGUUUUUAAUUUUUGAAAUUCUUUCCUUUUUUUUUUAGAUAACUUUUAUACGCAAAAGUAAUUGAUCACCAACCUUGAACGCAUGCAUGAAACAACUCAACAUAGCAAUAAAACUUUAGAUCAUUCAAGUUAAACAAACAUCUUCUACUUUUGCUGAUGCUGAUAUUGUUGUAAAUUGUCUUAAAACCAAAGGGAUAUUACUCCAGCCAUAUCUAUUCCUUCAAUGCUAGUAACAAAUACUUAUAAAUACAGUUAUAGUUCCCUUUCUAAAUGUACAAACUCACAAGCUCGUCAUUGUAAUUAAGUCCCACCCUCUCAUUUCUUGAACCUCAAUUGUUGUAAUUAUUGGUGUCAAAUGUCAAUUGUUAGCUCAAUUGAGUUCAACUCGAAUUCAAGUCAAAUAAUAGUCAGACCGAUCCCGAGCUCAAUUUUUAAGGAAAGCAAAUACUUUAGCUCAAAUCAAGCACAAGGAAAGCGCUAUACGAAUUCAACCCACUCGCUGUGAGUUUGAAAUGCAAAAUUUCCUAUGAUCCUAUCUUCUUAAAAUUCUUGUACAAAAAAAAAAAAAAAAAAGUGAUUGAAGCAAAUCGAUAACUCGCAUAUACUAGUCAAAUCACAUGCAAAUAAUAGUUAGUGGAUUUUGGGACUAAGAAUGAUGAAGGUUUAUUUUCUAUCAAUCCGUAACUUCUACAUUAAUCCUGCUCUCACUCCUGUUUCAAUCUAUCUAAGGGAGAAUCUAACUGGACCAAAGAGAACUAAAGGGAGUGACUCUCAUCUCAAGAUUAAAAGGGUGCAAUACUGCAUACGCUUUGAAUUUGGUAGAUAUCACGUAAUAAUAACAAUUGAUGGGAGACAAAGUUUCAACCUUUAACAUUCCAACUUAUAAAGGCAGUUAGAGACAAUUGAUGAAGUUGUUUUUGUUAUUUGACCACUUUUGAUGGUCUCAUAUAGCGGAAUGCUUCUUUACAAUCUGGACCCGGGUAUGACUAAACAAUGGUAAAAGAGAAAGAAAGAGAAAUGGAGGGAAUGAGAGAUCAAUUCCUUGCUUGCAAAAUGUGUCUUGAGCGGUCCCAUGAUGUAUCUCAUCCCACCAUCUUGUGCAGUUUUUUCAGUUGCAGAUGGCAGAAACUAGGAGGAGAGCCUUUGCUUUAAUGGCUAUGUCUUAAUAGCUUUCUAUAUUCACUGAACAAAGAUCUUUGCCAUUUUCCGUAUCUAGUAUGUGACUUUGUGGCCUCCAUCAAUUUUCAAUUGCUUUCUUAAAGAUCUUAUCCAUUUAAGUAUGCUGUGCAUUUUGUCUCCUUUUGUCCGUUUGAAUUACGGACUUGAUCACCUCUACAAUGACCUGUGCCAAUUUCUAUCUUGUACCACUAGCACCUCAACAAUUGCUUGGAAAGCCAUUUUCUACCAAAAAAAAUAUUUACGUUUUUCAUAAAUAUAUUUUUCAAUCACCUUUUUAUCUCAUUUAUAUCAAAUCGAUAUAGUACAUUUUUUCACAAAAACUCCAAAAAAUUACAAUCCAAACAAGAAUUAUCUUCCUCCACUUCCAGUUGUGUACACGAGAGAAUUUGACUCUACAAUUUUCUUUUCAAAUUGAAAAUUUAGCCUAUUCUUAACUAUUAUUUAUCAGGUGAUUGAUUCCAACCCUAGUCCAAUUUUUCUUUUGUCCAAGUGUUUCUUAUAGCUCUCGUAAAGCUAAUCACCCUAACAACAAAAAAGAAAAAAAAAUCACAAAUUGUAAUUUCAGAUAAUUAUUUUAUCAGGGAUUUGGAAGUACUCAACCACUAAGUUAACUAUUUGUGAGAAGGCAUGAUGUCUACAACAUUAACCUUUCUUUCUUUCUUUUCUUUCAAAUUGACAUAUGUAUCAUUUAUAGUGUGUUUUAGUUGUUAUAACCAAAUUCCUCGGGCCUUUAAAGCUAAAAUUAUAGAGAAAAUACAUAAGAAGAAAUAGUUUUUUGUGUGGAAAUAGAUAUCAUUGAACUUUUCCACAUUGUGGAAGUUCAUGUAUCUUUCUUAGAUCAUUUAGAACAAAGCAUUCAUGGUUGGAGAGAACAUGUCCUGGAAAUAAAUUCUAGGCAGUGCUCUUGUGUGGUUUUUAUCUAUCUUUAACCCAAUAAAAACAGUCAGAGAAUUAUUUAAGCCACUUUUGAUAAAGGGUCAUCCACAAAAGUUUUUCACCAUAGAAGUGGGGUUGCUCUCGGAAUCUGGUCCGGGCUAUGUGGUCCUUGUGCAACAGUACAAGGAAAGGCAUAAAAUCACAUCUUGCCCGUUUUCAAUCCAACCCUUUUGCAUCUUCAUUUUGUCUUCCCUUUUUCCAUAAUUUGGAGGGCUACUAAUUCUCAAUCUUGUUUCCAACGAAUUCAUUUACCUCUUUCUUUUUUUGUUAUUGAAGAAGAGGUAUUACUUGAACCAAUAAUUGGCAGGAUGAACAAAGAAAAUCUUAGCAUUUCUAUUGAAGCUAAAAAUGAAAUUGAAUAACCAAUGCCAUCUCUGUACUACCUUGAAAAUUCCUUAGGUUCGUACUUACCAAUCAAAAAGCUAUACAGUAUUGUAGCAAUAUCUAGCCUUUUAUAUAGCUGCAAAUUUGCACUGAAUUGUCCAGUCUUUGCAUAGCAAUACGUACUGAAUUAUCAACUACAAAGGAAGGAUGACUUUUUCCAUAAUUAAUCAUUAUCUUUUGUAAGCUUCCAUUAGUGACAAAUUUCGUAGGCCUUCAGAAAAUGUUUGUUUCCAGUCAAUUUCACUGCACGAAAAGGAGAGCUAUGGUUAUUUCUCACUUGUUUGGUGGCAAAAACUUGAAUGGUUAUCCAUCUUGAAAAGACAAUGGAGGGUUCUUUUUCCUGUGGAAGACAAAAGUCUGGUGGAUUGUGGGACUGAUAUGGUAUAUCCUUCCAAUUUCCUCGAAGCUAUAUCAAGAGUAUCAAAGUUUGCUCAGAUGAUUACUAUUUUCACAAGAAUUCUGUUGUUUCACAUUUUCUUUAAAUGUGUAUUUGAAAUAAAAAUAGUUCAAGAACGUAUCCGGAGUUCGAAAGCUUGUAAUUUAUUCUCUAACACAUUAUUACAUAACCGUUUCAAUUUUAAGUUGAUGAAUUAAACGACAUAUGUUAAAGACAAUGAAAUGAUCAUGGAAGAUCAAAUAAAAUAGGGGAAAAUGCCCCAGUGGUUGUCAAAUUAUUUCAAAGUUUAACUUUUGGCCAUCCAAUCAUUAAAUGGGUACUUUUAACUCUCUAACGAAUUAAAACAUAUAUUCAUAGCGUUUCAUCAAAUUGAAUCGUUAUUUCAACAAAACAGUGUAGAUGGUUUUUAUCACUUUUGGUGCUGUUUCUAUUAGACAUUUUCUUCAUUCUUUGUAACAGUUCUUUACUUGGGAGGCUGGAAUCUUUCUAUUCCGUACAUAUUCGUUUAUGAGAUAUUUGACAUAAAUAAAGCGGGUAAAGUUUUUGGCCCAGUAAUUGGUAUCUCUAUUACAUUAGCUAAAACUUAUUUGUUCUUGUUCAUUUUUAUUGCAACAAGAUGGACUUUACCAAGGCUGAGAAUGAUUUAAGUUGACGGAAAGAUUAUGAGUGCAAAUUUUAAUUAAUUGAAAGGUUAAAAUUAUUUAUUUAAUAAUUGAAAAGUCAAAAUUAAAAUUUGUAAUAGUUUAAAAGCAUUGAAACAUUUUACCCGACAAAAUUUAAGCUCCCAACCUAGUAUACGAGAGAGCUAUACAAGAUUCCCUUGCGAUUCACUCGCUAAUUGUAUUGGAUAUGUGUUUUUUUUUUUUUUUUUUUUUUAAAAGGCUAGUAUCUAUAUGGGGUUUUCAAGGUAAGUUGGGUUUUCCAAUAAUUAAGCUUAUCCCCAUUGACUGAGGAGGAUUGUUGUGAGGAGACCAAACAGCUUGGAUUGUGUAGGGACCAAUAUACUACUCUUCCUAGACUCCUAGUAAUAGCAGAUUAUCAUAGAGAGGAGUACUUUUACAACUUUGCUGCUGGGGUUGCUACAGCUGUACGGCAAAGAUCACGCAGACAGGCUUCUGGGAAUGCGGCUCCCAGCCUUCCACUCUGUCUCACGCACACUUCUCAGUUCCUACCGGCUGUUAAAACGGCUUUAGUUUCACAUGCUUAUUGCUAUGCGGUUUUUCUUUAUCAAUUUUCCCUUUCUUUUUUCACCAUCUCGUGGUAAUUUGUAUUUUAUCAUACUCCCUCCGUCCCACUUUGAUAGUCCUGUUUUCCUUUUUUGUCUGUCCCAAAUUGCAGUCCACUUUCCAAUUGAAGAAUGUAGUUGUAUUUUCAUUUUCCUAAAAUACCCUUAUUCAAUACAAGUUGUUGUUGCUAUAAACCUACCCCAUUUAAUGAGAGUUGAUUCUUUUUUUACCAUCAAUUCAAGUUCCCAUAAAGUUGUACUCUAUUUAAUGUGAGGGUAUUUUAGGAAAAUAGCAAUCUAAAUUUACUUUUCCAACAAAGUUAACUACUUUUUCUUAAACUGUGUGAAAAAAGAAACAGGACUAUCAAAGUGGGACGGAGGAGUAUCACUCAAGUGGCAUUCGAUUUCAUUGUGAAAGUAUCCUUUUAGAGUGAAAUGAAAUGAAUGGGUGAACGAGAAAGGAGUUGAGUUGAAUGAUAAAAUGGAAAAAAUUAUAACUAAGAGGUUUUAGAUUCAAAUUCUCUUACUUAUAAAAAGAAAAUAAAUGAAUAAUUUUUAUUAGGAUGGAGGAACAUUCAAAUGGAACUAGACAAUCGAAAGCUGGUAGAAGCCAUAAAGAAACCAAGUCACAACAAUCAUCUGAUGGCUACUCUAUUAGAGGAUAUAAGGUCCAUUUGUAAUCUGUUUCAAAAGUGCUCUAUCUCUUUUGCUAUUUCAAGGAAAGUAGAAUAUAUUAAGUUGAGCUUACAUGCUCUAAACAUUUGGAUAGAUGAAGAAUGGAUGAAUCCCAAUAUUAGAUGUUAGUGCAUCAGUAAGUUGCUAGGACAAUUUGUUCCUUUUCUUUGGACAGUUGUCCAAACACUGUACAAGUUACGGAGAUAUAUAUAAAAUGCUAACGUUUCGGAAAAAAAAAAGAAUAAUUUUUACUAGGCAAAUUUAUAACCACGAGACUAAAGUCAUUAUACUAUAGUAAAAAUCAAAAUAGAACUAUAGAACUAUUCAUCCUAAGCUUGUUUAUGAGGGCAUUUAUUUAGGAUUAAUCUUUUCUACACCGACAGUGUAUACACUAUCAGCGUUGGAUGAUUGACAAUUUAUGCAAAAUUUGAAUUUGAAAUUCAACUUUUGCACACAUAUCAUGAAUCUAACGAUGAUAGUGUAUACACUAUCAGUGUAGGAAAGAUUUACUCAUUUAUAUUUAACUUGAGAAAAGUCAUUAAAAUUCCAACUUUGACAUAACGCUAAUGAUUGAGCAAAUGUUGGAGAGAGAUGAUGUAAAUUUGAACCCAAAAUGGUAGAUCUUAUGAAACCUCAAUGCAAUAUGUAAUGAGAAUAAAAUAAAUAUAGCAUUUGCUUUUUGGCUGUUCAAGUCAUUCUUUCAUAAAUUUGUUUGGGUUUAUGAAGCUAUACAUGUCAAAUAUUCUUUUGGCCUUGUUCAACAACAUUAAACUAUACAUGGCUCGCGAGAAAGCGCAGAAAGAAAAACAGAUACCAUCAUUGGAAUUUGGAACGAGUCUUUACAUAUUCAAGGGUUUCAUACAUUAUGUUAAAACUUAAAACCAAAGGUAGUCUAGCCACAUUAAUGAUCAGAUUUUGAGUCACUCUGCUCAGCGUCAAUUAGUUUUGAGAUAAAAAUUCAAUUUUUUUUUAACAUGAUACUAUAAUUGGGCCACAGGUUUUGUUCAUCAACCUCACCUGCUUACAAUUUCACCUAUAAUUUGAUCAAUUACUUGUGACUUCAGGGUUUCUAGGGUGGGUUCUGUUCAUCUAUACCUCAAGUUUACAAAUCCAAGCCUUCUAAGGUGUUACUCCGUCCAUUUUUUCUAAUUUGGAGGGUUUUAGGGUUCUGUUCACUCGUACGUUGCAUUUACAAGUCAAUGAGUUCGAAGAUUUUAGGACUCCGCUCACUUCUGCCUUAAGUCAAAAUCAUGUGUGAGAGGAGAUGUUAAGAUUAAAUAUCCACAAUUAUUCCUUAAGAAAUUCCAAUUACAUUCAUAAGAUCUUAGACCACUGACUCAUGUCAUUAUCAAUUGAUUUUGAGAUGAAAAAUAAAGCUCUUUAAUACGUUAGAGGCAGCUAGAGAAAUGAUGGAUAAUAGAUUCUAAAAUUUGUUAACCUAAUAAACUAAUUCAUCUACGAAAAUAAUGUCGUUGAAUACAUUGCUAAAUCCAAGCACUCUUUAGUAUGGUGGAUAAAUGGUCUUAUACAUUUCUCAUGGAAUGUGAUAAUAUUUCACUAAUUACAAAAGCUAGUUAAUCUUCACAAAAUUUAUAAUUAUUCAAAUAUUCUACAACCUUUCCUAUUGUUACUGAUAACUAUUCAAUUUUGCUAAGCCAUUUGACAUAAGCUCUGAAGCAUUACACUCUCACUUAGUAGUGUCUUUUUCGAUAAAUAACUAUUAAAAUGUAUUCAAAUUUAAGAUUUUAGGCAUUACAGUUUUCUCUAAAUUGUCUUUUUUUAUCUUUAAAUGAUGCAGUCAUGCUUUUAAAGAAAAUGCGUAUCUACACUACUCAACAUUUUCUACAAAAAUAGCAUACAUUGCAUUUCAAUCUAUGUUAUCGUUAUCGAUUCAAAAUAACUUAGUGUACAUUACAUUUCAAUCUAUAUUGUCUUUUACGAUUCAAGAUAAUUUAAUAUACGUUACACUUUGAUCUAUAUUGUCUUUUGUGAUUUAAAAUAACACACUGUAAGUUACAUUUCAAUUUAUAUUGUCUUUUCCUAUUAAAAAUAAUCUAAUUUAUGUUACAAUUCAACCCAUAUUGUCUUUUCCCAUAGAAAAUAAUUUGUUGUUGUAUAUAUUUCGAAUCUUUAUCGUGUUUUCCUAUUCAAUAAUGCCUAACCACCUUGCAUCAUAAAUUUUGUCUAGUUAUAUAAUUAAUAAAAAAAUUAUAUUUGUAGUUGCAACGUAUAUACAUAUAUCACAUCAUAAAAUUUGCUACACUUUUAUUUCAAAUUUUUUUUCCAAAUAAAUUGAGUGUAUUUGGAUAGAGUAUUAUUUAGCUUGUAUCAUAAAUAUAAUUUUCAAUCAACUUUCUGUUUCAUAUAUAUCAUAUCAUAAAAAGUGUUAUAGUACUAUUCUAAAUAAUUUUUUUUUCAAAUUAUCUCCUAUCCAAACACGCUUACUAUAUUAUUUGAAAUAAUUAAUAUAGCAAAUUUUGUGAUGUGAUGCAUGUGAGGCAAAAAAAUAGUUAAGAAUAUAAAAAAGGGAUUGAAAAAUGUAUUUAUGAUACAAACAAAACAAUAUUAGAAAUAACAUGUGUUUAAAAAAUGUUCUAGCCAAACACAUUCAUAUACUUCUCAAUUCAGAAAAUCAUACUCCUUAUAUCACAAAAUUCAUUCCUCUAUAUCUCAUGAGAAGAUACACAAACAAACAUACACAAUGUGCAUAAACUAAUUUUAAAAGAAUUAUCUAAAUCUAAGUUUAAUGCUUCAUGUUUCAAAAGCUUGUUUACCUAAUAAACUAAUUCAUCCAUGAAAACAAUAUCAUUGAGUAGAUCAUGAAAUUCAGUUGUCUUAUAUGUUUCUAAUAGAAUGUGAUAAGAUCUCAAUAAUUACAAAAGCUAGUUAAUCUUCGCAAAUUUUAGAAUUUUUUAAAUAUUCUAUAACCUUUCUUAUUGUUACAAAUUACUAUUCAAUUUUGCUAACACAUUUGAUAGAAGCUCCCAAGCCUUACACUCUUUUUUGACAAAUAACCGUUAAAAUGUAUUCAAAUUUGAGAUUUUAGGCAUUUUAAUUUUCAUUAAAUCAUCUUUUUUUAUCUUUAAAUGAUGCAAUCAUGCAUUUAAAGAUAACACAUAUCUAUACUACUCAACAUUUUAAAGAAAAUGCGUAUCUACACUACUCAACAUUUUCUACUAAAAUAUCAUACGUUACAAUUCAAUUUAUAUUGUCUUCAAUGAUUCAAAAUAACUUAGUGUACGUUAUAUUUCAAUCUAUUAUUGUCUUUUAUGAUUCAAAUAAUUUAAUGUACGUUACACUUCAAUCUAUAUUAUCUUUUGUGAUUCAAAAUCACCUAGUGUAUGUUAUAUUUUAAUUUACAUUGUCUUUUGAAAAAAAAAAAUCAUUCAAAAUGUAUCUCAUAUUUUGUAAAAUGACUUUUUAUAUGCCUUACUUUUAAAAGUAUAAUUUUACGUCCCUUAUAAAUUCACAUUAGUCAAAUUUGUUUCCUAUCUAGGUUUCUGAUUAGUUUUUAGUUGGAAUCCAUCACGUGCCUUACACAUGAUCAUUUUUAGGGGCAAAAUUGUCAAAUAAUAGUUCACAUAAUCUGAUCCAUAGUUCUUCACAUUUAAUAAAAUAAUUUUUUUUUGUCUAUCAUAUUUUACAAACUAAAUUUUUUCAUCCUUCAUUAAUCAUGUGUAUGAAUAGGUUUUUUUACAUCCCAUAUAUAUGUUUAUUUGAUUUCACCUGAAUAAUACAAAUAGCAUUUAAUAUAUAUUUCUAUUUGAUUUCACCUACAACUACAAUUAGCUUAUUUAGGUGAAAUCAAAUAGAAAUAUGUUAUAUGAUAUACAUACUAUUCAAGUAAAAUCAAAUAAACAUGUACAUGAAUUUUUAAAAAUAAGAAAAAAGUAUUCAAACACAUGAUGAACAAGGGAUGAAAAAAAAUUCAUUUUGUGAAAUGUGAGAGACGAAAAAAUUUAUUUUAUAAAAUGUGAGGGACUACGGAUAGGAUUAUGUGAAAUAUUAUUGAGCAAAUUGCGCGAAAUGUCACUAAACUAUUUCAAAGUGCCGGUUCUGGUCACUAAACUUUUUUAUUAGCGCGAAAUGUCACUGAACUAGUAAAUCUGUACCGUUUUGGUCACUCCGUGUAUUUGUGCCGCCAGGACAGACGAAAAUCAACUUUUUGAGGGGCAAAUUCAUCUGCACAGCCUUUUCCUUGAAACUCUCUACCAUAAAUCACUCUCAAAUGUCAGACAACUCGUAAGUUCAAUUAGGAAGUGCAAACCCUUAUCCUGUAAUAGAUUUCUUCUGCAAAUAUGGAGUAGGAGGGACAAUAUACGAAGUUGCAAUUUGCUGGGAAUGUGUUGAAGCUUCAUUGGAGGAAUACCUAAGAAAAGAACUUCGAUUUGCAAUUUGCUGGGAAUGUGUUGAAGCUUCAUGAGAGGAAAAGGCAAGGAAACAACUCCGACCUGCUCUUGUGGCAGUAAAACCAAUUUGAAGACUUCAUGGACUGAUAGGAACCCAGCAAGGAGAUAUGUUGAAUGUGCUAAUGGCAAGGUAAGUGUGUGAAGAUAUAGGAAAUUCGUUAAAUUAGGUUAAUGUUUAAUUGUUUAGACAUUUAUCGGCUAAAAAGAAUUUGGAUAAUUUUUUUGUAGGUUGAUGGCUGUGGUUAUUGGAAUUGGUAUGAUGAAGAAAUGUGUGAGCGUUUGAAACAAGUCAUACCCGGUCUUUUAAGAAGAAUAAAUAGGGUGGAAACCGAGAAUGAAACUUUGCGGCAACAAAUUCUCAAGUUGCAAAAGAAAACUGAGAAAAUGGAGGAUAAAGUAAAAAAUUUGAAGGAGAAGCUUGGAAGAAAGAAUGUGAAAAAAUGGUCAUUGUUCUUUUUGUUAUAGCCUGGACAAUUGUUAAUGCAUCAAUGUGGAUUUGGGGGCCUAACAAGGGACAGAAGUUUGGAAGGCUGCAAAUUGAUGGCUACUAGAGUAUUGUUGUACUCCAAAUCCUAAAUCAGUGUUGUCAAAUGUUUUAAUACACAGCUCGUUUUUGUUGAGGUUGUAGUGUUUUUAUAUACCUCGCAAUUUUGGUUGGUGUUGUUUACACCAUGGAUGUUUGAAAUUAUAAUUUAUGAAUAAAAGACUGAAGUAUUAGUUCCAACAUAUGGGUGGUGCAAAAGAAAAGUAACUCACAAAUGUAGAAAACAUAAAGCCAAAUACAACAAAAGAGAUAAUUAUCACUAUCAUUCCAAACAGCUGCUUUACAAAAGAGAUAAUUGUCACAAAUGCAGAAAACAUAAAGCCAAAUACAACAAAAGAGAUAAUUAUCACUAUCAUUCCAAACAGCUGCUUUACAAAAGAGAUAAUUGUCACUGUCAUUCCAAACAACUGCCAACAAAGUUAGCCAUGUUUCACAUAUAAAUAAUCUGGAAUUGUCCUAGACAUAGAAUACAUCCAAACAAAAGCUAUGCAAACAAGUCCUUUAAUCUGAUCUUCCACUUCCACUUCUACUGCUCCUUGAUGUUCCAGCCCAUCUACCAAUCUUGAAUGGAGGCUCUUUGCCCAAGUACUCAUAGUUGGUGUUGAUCCUUAUCUUGUCAAUUUCAGACAGCUUUCUUUUUGAAUGAAGAGACUGUUUGUUGGCCGCUGUAGUAGACUGGUCGGUAUCAUUGACAGGCCUAACUCUCCUCACCUGUACACAAGUACAAUAAAUAUUAACAAUAGCUAUUUACCAUAGUAAAAUUAAAAAUAAAAUUAGAAAUAAAAUUUACACCUACAGGUGUCUUAGUCUUUCUAAUCUGCUGCUUUUUCGUACUACUAGUGGCAGCUUGUGCAUUACGUUCAGCAUGUGAACUAGUGUCAUUAUGGGAAGUAGUUUGCUCUUCAGCUCCAUGUGGCUGAGAAUUGACACAACUUGAAGAAUAUCCUUGAACUUCCACAUGAGCAAAAUCAGGCUCCUGAGAAUUAGCUCCAUGUGCUGUGCUUGAGCCAUUGUUGGUGCCUUUUGACUUUCUAGCAUGUUUAGGAGCUGGAGCAGGUUGACUGCAGCCUUCACCUCCAUUAUUUUCUGGAACACUUUUGCAGGUAGCAGCAUUGUGGCCUGCCUGACCACAUCUUCUACAGUGCAUGAUCACAUGCUUUCUUAAUUUUUGCACAUUAUUCGUUCGCACAUGAACACCACUUCUAUUUUCAGAACUAUCUUUUCUUCUUGCUUUCUUGGGCCUACCAGGUUGGACGCAUGCAAGUGGAGGAUCUAAUAUGGGAAUAUCACUCUGAGACCAUAGAGACUUUCCACUAAUUGGAUAUAGUACAUUCUCAUAUAUUUGAAAGAAUAGAUCUCUACUAUAACACUGAUCGGCAUAGUCAUUUGAGUUCCUACCAAUUUUUAAAAUGGCAAAAAUUGCAUGGCAGCAGGGGAGCCCACUAAUUUGCCACAACCUGCAUGUACAGGUUCUGUCUCUUAAGUACACAGCAAAUUGUUCCCCCUUAGGUCCCCUAACCUGAUAUCCCCCUUUUCCAUUUGAUAUUGACUUCCACUUCCUAGAAAACUUUUCCCUCUCCUCAAUCAAAGCCUUUAUUGCUGGUCCCACAGGACCACUAUAUUUUCUCAUCCAAUACACCCUAUUUGAUAUCCUUUCCAUUAUGAAUUGUCUAAUCCACUCAACCAUCCCAAUCACUGGCAACUCUCUAGCAUUUAAUAUAUGAGAAUUAAAUGUCUUUGAUAAAUUAUUAACCAGCAUGUCAGAUUUCAUGUGAAGUGAAAAAAAAGCCUUACACCAGUGAUGAGGUGGUGCAGCUCUCUUGACCCACGCGUGAGCUUGCUGGUCAUAUGCUCUAAGCUCUUCCAACGCUGCCUCAUAGAACUCUACUGUUGAUGCUACUGCAAUGCUCCAGAAUUUUUCUUUAAACACUUCACCAGGGUGCUUUUUCUUGAAAUUUCUGUACAUAUGCUGUACACAAUAUCUAUGGCCAACUUCUGGUAAUAACUCCAGCAGUGCACUAUCAAGACCCUAUAAAAGAGUUCUAAGUUUAGUCACUUACAAAAAUUAUCCUAUACAAUACAUGCUAUAAGGAUAAAGAGCAGUACUCCUAACCUUCUGUUGGUCUGAAAUAAAAGUGUAUUCACUACUAGUUGCUGGUAUUUCUAGAUCACCAAUCAGUAAAUUCAAAAACCAAAGCCAUUGUUCCCGAGCCUCCUUCUCAACAACUGUCCAAGCUAAUGGCCACCAACCAUUAUUUGGAUCUGCCCCAAUAGCAGUCAACAACUGCCCUGGAUAUGCCCCCUUAGUGUGACAGCCAUCAAGAGCAAUAAGGGGCCUACAUCCCUCUCUAAAUCCCUUUUUCAAUGGUCCCAGACAGCAGUAAAAUCUCAUGAAUCUGGGAUUACUUUCAGGAUCAGCUCUUGGUGAAUACUUGAUGUCUAUAGUGGUGUCAGGGUGAGUUUUUUGUAGUUCUGAUGUGUACCUCCCAACAUCAAUAUACUGCUGAGAUGCUGACCCUUUGAUAGCAGCCUUAGCCAUUGCAAGUGCUUUGUAACCUUUGUUUCUUGUGAUCUCGCAACUAUAUUGCUCAUCUAUGCUCUGUAACAAUUGCCUAACAGGCAUGUUCAUGUUGGAUCUAACAGACUCUUCAAACUUGUCGGCUACCCAAUUGGAUGUCAUGUUUUUGUUUCUCCAAGCAUGGCUGCAAUUGGUGUGGACAUCGUAAAUUGUUUUAACUACAAAGUCUUCAGUACCCAAAGCAGGAACGUGGCUAGCAUAAAUGUACCACUUACACGGAUCUGCACAUUUAGCUCUCAUUCUUGUUUUGUCACUUGUAUACAUGUAUACAGGUCUUCCACUUAUAAUUGCAUAAUUUCUGAGAGCAUCUCUGAACUAUUUUUUGGUUCCAAAUUUUUGCCCAACAUGAAAAUGGGGAUCUGUUCCAUCUCUGCUAGCAUUGAAACUAGUGUAUCUCACAGGAACAUCUUCAUCUUCUGAAUCUGGAUCACUAUUUAAUUCCCCUUCCACAAUAUCAUCCAAUAGUGGGUUGUGUUCCGCUCUAUUUUCACAUGCUUCAGCUUCAGUUUCAGGACCAGCUUCUGUUUCAGCUUCAGUUGCUGCACCUUCUCUAUUUUCACAUGCUUCAGCUUCAGUUGCUGCCCCAGUUUCUGUUACAGGUUCAGUUGCUGCUCCUUCAUUUGUUGCACCUUCACCUACUGCACCUCCAUUUGAUGCACCUUGACCUGCUGCACCUCCAUUUGAUGCACCUUCAGUUGCAGUACCAUUAUUUGAUACACCUCCUUUUCUAACUCUUUUUGUAGCACCACAAAGGGCCUCCGACGUACGAGAUUUUCUCCUAUCUCUGUUUCUUCUAUUCCUGGAACUGUCAUUGUCCCUCCUAUUCUGACUUGAUGGAGUUGGGUCAUUAUCAACUUGGCUAUGCAUUUGUGGCUCGGACUCCUGUGUAUUGUUGUUGGCCUGCUUACAUCUCCUAGAAGAAUUUUGGUAUGCAUCUUCAUCUUCACCAGCAUGGUCAUGUGUCCACUCUAAAGCUGCAACUGAUCUACUAGCUUGGACUCCUUUUCGUUGUCUAUGAGGUAUUGCUGCCUGUUGUGUAAGAAUUUCACCAUCAUCAAAGAUCUCCUCUAUUACCAUUGAACUCUUUGUCUGUGAUAACUGUUCCAAUUCCUUUUUCUUCUGCAACUCAUAUAUUUCCUCAACUGUUAAAUGAUGACAGUAUACUUCCAUCAACUUGUACUCAUUAACCCAACCACAGAAUUGCAUAAUGUCUUCAUCCGUUUGAAGUUCCAUCAGUCCAUGGUUCAAAUCCCCUCUAGGGUCAAUGUAAUAAUAUAACAUAGUAUCGUUGUGCCCACACCUUUCCACCAUUUUAUUUAUUUCAUGAAUCGACAUCAAAUCAGCAUGGCAAAGAUCGAAAUAAUCAAUCUCUCCACCCACAUAACUCUUGUAUUUCUCUCCUUCAAUUUUACCGCCGUGGUGGAGUUUAAUCGAAAAUGCAGGUCUAUCAGGAACUGCAACAACAACAACAAAGGCAAACAACAUGAUUCUUGUUAAUCACCAUUUUUUAUUGUCAUACAUGCUGUUCUUCUUAUAAAAAUACUUAACCCCCAUUUGUUAAUUAACCCGAAUCAGACAACUGCAUUUUGAAAAAUUUAUUUUUUAUGAUUAAAUUACAAGAUAGAGGGUUCUUGUAGGACCCUUUGCAACCCACUUAUACGACAAAAAAGGAAGUCAAUCGUUCUUAUGUCAUUUUCUAAACAACCGGAUCACUUCAGCAAACCCUAAACCCAAUAAAAACUCUCACUAAAUACUUCUUUAUACUCAAAACACAAACAACACCAUUAAUCAUAGGAAAUGUGUAUGGAUUGUAAUAUUUCUUACCGUAUAAUGUGUACGGAUCAAUGAAUUCAUCCCUUUGCCUUUUCACCCAUUUCGCUAUCAUCGAUGACCGAUUCUUCACUGCUAAUCUUCGUCUUUUGCCGGUUCUUUGAGUCUUGUCACUGAUUACUGUGAGAAGAAUGGAUCAAUUUUGAUACUUUUCACUGUCAUUGUCCACAUUUCCAAAAAUUUUACCAGCAUUCCAAAGCCCCACAGUUAAACCUUUCACUUACCAGAUGAAACUCUUCCCACUAAGGCUGUACAGACGAAUUUGCCCCUCAAAAAGUUGAUUUCCGUUUCUCCUAACGGCACAAAUACACGGAGUGACCAAAACGGUACAGAUUUACUAGUUCAGUGACAUUUCGCGCUAAUAAAAAAGUUUAGUGACCAGAACCAGCACUUUGAAAUAGUUUAGUGACAUUUCGCGCAAUUUGCUCAAUAUUAUUUGACAAUGCUAAUCCUAAAAAAUGAUCACGUGCAAGACACGUGGUGGAUUCUAGCCAAAAUUUGAUGUAUGUGAAAUACAAAAAAUAGUUAAGAAUAUAAAAAAGUGAAUGAAAAAUAUAUUUAUAAUACCAACAAAACAAUAUUUGAAAUAAUAUGUGUAUUCAAAAUGUUCUAACCAAACAUAUUUAUAUACUUCUUAAUUAAAAGAAUCAUACUCUUUAUAUCUCAAAAUUUAUUCCUCUAUAUCUCGUGAGAAGAUACACAAACAAACAUACACAACGUGCAUAAACCAAUUUUAAAAGAAUUAUCUAAAUAGGGGUUUAAUGCUCCAUGUUUCAAAAGCUUGUUUGCCUAAUAAAAUAAUUCAUCCAUGAAAACAAUAUCAUUGAUUAGAUCACUAAAUCCAAGCGCUCUUUGAUAUGGUGGAUAAACCAUCACAUAUAUUUCUAAUGGAAUGUGAUAAUAUCUCAAUAAUUACAAAUGCUAGUUAAUCUUCGCAAAAUUUAGAAUUUUCAAAAAUAUUCUAUAACCUUUCUUAUUGUUACUAAUUACUAUUCAAUUUUGCAAACACAUUUGAUAGAAGCUCUCAAGCGUUACACUCUUUUUCGACAAAUAACUAUUAACAUGUAUUCAAAUUUGAGAUUUUGGGCAUUACAAUUUUCUCUAAAUCGUCUUGUUUAUCUUUAAAUGAUGCAAUUAUGCAUUUAAAGAUAACACGUAUCUAUACUACUCGACAUUUAAAGAUGACACAAUCAUGCAUUUAGAGAUAACAUGUAUCUACACUACUUAACCUUUUCUACUAAAAUAGCGUACGUUACAUUUCAAUAUAUAUUGUCGUUAAUGAUUCAAAAUAAUUUAAUGUACGUUAGAUUUCAAUGUGUAUUGCCUUUUAUGAUUCAAAUAAUUUAAUGUACGGUACACUUCGAUUUAUAUUAUCUUUUACGAUUCAAAACAACCUAAUAUACGUUACAUUUCAAUUUAUAUUGUCUUUUGGAAAACUCAUUCAAAACGUUUCUCACAUUUUGUAAAAUAAUUUUUUUCCAUGUUUCACUUUUAAAAGUAUAAUUUUACGUCCCUUACAAAUUCAUAUUAGUCAAAUUUGGUUCCUAUUCAUGUUUUCAACUAGUUUUUUGUUGGAAUUUACCACUUGCCUUGCAUGUGAUAAUUUUUUAACGGCAAAAUUAUCAAAUAAUAUUUCACAUAAUCCAAUCCAUGGUUCUUCACAUUUUACAAAAUGAAUUUUUUUUGUCCCUCACAACUCACAUUUCACAAAAUGAAUUUUUUUGUCGCUCAUUAAUCAUGUGUAUGAAUAGCUAUUUUUUAACCUAGGUACAUGUUUAUUUGAUUUCAUUUGAAUAGUACAAAUAGUAUGUAAUAUAUCCCUAUUUGAUUUCACCUACAACUAUAAUUAAUUGUAGGUGAAAUCAAAUAGAAAUAUAUUAUAUGCUAUUCAUACUAUUCAAGUGAAAUCAAAUAAACAUGUACAUGAAUUUUCAAAAAUAAGAAAAGCUAUUCAUAUACAUGAUUAACAAGGGAUGAAAAAAUUUAUUUUGUAAAAUAUGAGGGAUAAAAAAAUUUAUGUUGUAAAAUAUGAGACACUAUGGAUAGGAUUAUGUGAAAUAUUAUUUGACAAAUUUGACCCUAAAAUAUGAUCACGUGCAAGACACGUAGUAGAUUCUACCAAAAAUUAGUUGAAAACUUAGAUAGGAAUCAAAUUUGACCAAUGUGAAUUUGUAAGAGAAGUAAAAUUAUAAUUUUCAAAGUAAGGGACGAAUAAGUUAUUUUAUAAAAUGUGAGAAAUGUUUUGAACAAUUUUUCCUUGCCUUUUCCUAUUGAAAAUAAUCUAAUUUAAAUUACAUUUCAAUCCAUAUUGCCUUUUCCCAUAAAAAAAUAACAUGUCUUUGUAUAUAUUUCCAAUCUUUAUCGUGUUUUUCUAUUUAAAAUAAUGCUUAACCACCUUGCAUCAUAAAAUUUGUCUUGUUAUAUAAUUAAUAAAAAAAUUAUAUUUUUACUUGCAAUGUAAAUAUAUACACCACAUCAUAAAAUAUGCUACAUUUUUAUUUCACAAUUUUUUUCCAACAUUGAGUGUGUUUGGAUAGAGUUUUAUUCAAAUUGUAUUACAAACAUAAUUUUUAAUCACUUUUCUAUCUCAUAUAUAUAUAUCAUAUCACAAAACGUGUUUAGUGUUAUUCUAAAGGGAAAAUCGUCCGAAACGUCCCUCAUAUUUUAUAAAAUGACUUUUUUCAUCCCUCACUUUUAAAAGUGUAAUUUUAUGUCCCUUACAUAUUCAUAUUGGUCAAAUUUAGUCCCUAACUAGGGGCCUGUUUGGAACCUGAGUUUUUUGGGAGUUUGUCUAAAACUUUACUAUAGUGCACUGUAGAAGUUUUUCAAAAAAUUUUGUAAAAGUUUUUUAUAAGGUGAAAAUUUUUUUUGUAAGGGAAAAACUUUUUUUCCUUUUCUUUUUUUUUCUCUUUCUCUUUUUUUUUUUCUUCUUUUUUCUUUCCUUUUUCUUUUCUUUCUUCUUCUUCCCCGUUACCUCUGCCUCCCAGCAGCAACGCAGCCUGCUCCACCCCCUACUCCGCCACCGGCCCCACCUCUAGCACCUCCGGCCACGAUGUUCCUGAUUUCGCACCCCAACAGCUGCUGCUCCACCGUGUGCCUCUCCACACUGUCCGUCCCCAUUCCGUCCUCCAGCACAUUGAAUAGCGCCGAGUAGUAAUGCAGCGCCUCCACGAACCGCCGCAAGAAGCUUCCCCCGUGGCUCAGGUCCUGCUGGUUGCUGGCGCGUCGAGACAGUUCAUGGCCACGCACUCGGCGCAUUGCAGGAGGAGGCCCAGGAGACAGAGGCCGGAGGACUUGGUGUCGCCAGCUGCUGCUCCACCCAAGGAGGCGGUUGCGGCGGCGGCUUCGAGCUCAGCAACAUCGUCGUCCUAGUUGUCUAAGUCGAUGGUUCUAUCAGCGGAGGUGGAAGGGUUGUCGGGGCCGAGGGAGGAGUUGCGGCGUUUGAGAAGGAGAGGUCUUCGUGGUGGGCAGAGGAGGAGCGCUUGGACUGCAUAGAGGAGGAGGAGUUGGAGGAGGGACGAGCGUUUCUGCUGGGGGGAAGGAGAAUGGGAAUGGGAACGGAAUUAAUGGGGUUGGAAGCAGAAGUAGCAGUGGAAUUGGAGUGGAGCAAACUCUGGAGCAUGAUAGAUGGAUAGAUUGAAUUGGAAGCGGUAAUUGAACUGGAGUCUAGCCCGGAGAGGUGGUGGUGGGUUGGGAUGGGAGAGGAAGAAGAAAAAAAAUGGAAGGAAAUUUUUUUUUUUUUUUUUGUGUUUUGUAUAUUUUGAAGUGGGUAGGUAAAAAAUUUAGAGAAGUUUUUUGGGGUUCCUGUAGCAAAAGUUGUUAAAAAACUAGUAGGUAAAAAACUUGCUUAAAAACCUGACUUCCAAACAGGCCCUAGGUUUCCGAUCAUUUUUUGGCCGGAAUCCAUCACGUGCAGGGCAUGUAAUCAUUUUUAAGGGUAAAUUUGUCAAAUUAUAUUUUUCAUAAUCUAAUCUAUAGUCCUCCACAUUUUAUAAAACAAAUUUUUUCGUCCCUCACAUUUUAUAAAAUGAUUUUUUCAUCCCUCACAUUUUACAAAAUGAAUUUCUCAAUCCCUCAUAUUUCAAAAAAUGAAUAUUUCCAUCCCUCACUAAUUAUGAGUGUGAGGGAAACCCUAAAAAAUAUAUAUAUAUAUGUGUGUGUGUGUGUGUGUGUGUGUGUGUGAAUACAUUUUGUUUAAACACAUGUAUAUGUCUAUUUGAUUUUACUUAAUAAUAUGAAUAGCAUAAAUAUAUGUAUGUGUCUAUUUGAUUUCACUUAACAAUACGAAUAUCAUAUAUUAUAUGCGAUCAUUUGAUUUCAUCUGGUAUUAUCUAGUAAAAAAUCUUGCAUUCAUUGUCAAGUUGGCCAAUAAAGCUAUUUUCGGUCAAAAUACAAUAAGAAUAUGCAAAUUAAAAUUCUAUUGGUAAAUAUUAGUCAUAAUCAUACAAAAAAGAGAAGAUAGCCCACAAGUCGGGGCCAAUUACAUACAUGUGUUUAUGCUAUUAUUAUUAAGUAAAAUCAAAUAGACAUAUACAUGUGUUUAAAAAAAAUGUAUUUACACAUAAUUAGUGAGAAAUGAAAAAUUCAUUUUUUGAAAUGCGAGGGAUGGAGAAAUUCAUUUUGUGAAAUGUGAGGGAUGAAAAAAAUUAUUUUAUAAAAUGUGAAGGACGAAAAAAUUUAUUUUAUAAAAUAUGGAGGACUAUAGAUCAGAUUAUGUAAUAUAUAAUUUGACAAAUUUACCCUUAAAAAAUGAUCACGUGCCUUACACAUGAUGGAUUCCAGCCAAAAAAAGAUCGAAAACUUAGUUAGGGAUUAAAUUUGACUGAUGUAAAUAUAUAAGAGACAUAAAAUUAUACUUUUAAAAAUGAGAGACGAAAAAAAUUAUUUUAUAAAAUAUAAGGGACGUUUUGGACGAUUUUCCCUUUACAUAUUUCUCAAUUCGAAAAACCAUACUCAUAUCUCAAAAUUUGCUCCUCCAUGUCUCAUGAGAAGAUGCACAAACCAACACACACUACACUCCGCACAACGCGCACAAACUAAUUUAAAGAAAAAAUUAUCUAAAUCUGCGUUUAGUACUUCAUGCUUCAAAAGCUAGCGUGUGUCUCAAGUCCGACAUAAGCCACUGAGCCUCUCCGCACACACUCACACAGUCUCUCUCUUUCUCUCCCCACAUUCCACAGUCCCAACAGUGGAGAGAGAAAUGAUGAGAUGAGAUGAGAUGAGAUGAGACAGAUUAGAGAUACAGACACUGCCAUUACUGACGUCUACGGUUUCCUCUUCUUCCAACUAGCUCACAGCCAAAAAGCAACGAACACAACAAAGUGAAGCAUACCUCCGUUUCUCCCUUUUGUCCCCAUUCUCGCCUCCGUACUCAUCCUCAAAGUGUCCGUUUUCUUCUUCCAUAGCUUCAUCCUCUGUCUCUCAUACUUGUAUAUAAUUCUCCUUGUAAAUCCCAGUCUAUGUUGUUCACAUUUUGAGAUAUCUUCUUGUAAAUCCCAGUACUUCUUUUUCUCAUUUUUACAUAAUUUAGUUGCAUAUUUCGAGUAUGUAAUGGAGUAUUUUAGUUUUGUUGUUGUUGCUGUUGGUAGGUUCUUUUGUACGACUGCCCAUUAUUCUAGAAGUCCCCUGUUUUUUUUUGUUUAUUUUUUUUCGCUUGCUACAAUUUGUAAAACAAUGACCUUUUUGAAAUUUGAGUUUACCAUUCAGGCCAAUCUUGGGCUAUUAGAAAAUUGAGUUUUUUUUUCCUUUAAUUUAUUAUAUUGAUAUAAUGGGAUGAAUUUGACAGAGGAAAGAAAGAAAAUAAAAGGGUUUAUGAAAUGAAGACAUGCUUUAUUUUUUGGUUGUUUGUUAGAUUAGUUCUGAAAGUAGGAAGAUGCAGGGGUUUCUAAGGAAACAAGAACGAUGCAGAAUUUUCUUGAAGUUUAAAUACUCUUUAAAGAUUCUAGACUCAGAGUUGUUGCUCUUUGCUUCUUUUUUUUUUCAGUUUUUUUGAAAUGUAAUGGGGGAUUUUCUGGGUUUUUAGCUUUCCUUUUUUUUUUUUUGGUUCUGUGUUUAAGAGGAUAUACUGAAUUGUUCAUUUUGCAGCUGUUUUGGGUAAUUGAGAUCAGCAGUCAAAGAAAUGGAUGGAAAUCAUCAAAUGGAGGUGCAUUACAUGAAUACUUUUGGCUAUCCUUAUAAUGCUUCAGACAGUUUUGUGGACUUUUUUGGAGGUCUUCCACAAGCCCCUUUACCUUAUGUUCACCCUCCUCCACCAAUGCCUCAUGAUCAUCAGGUAAUCUUUUCCUUUCCUUUUUUUUCAGGGCCCAAAUUUUUUGCAAUUUCUGUUUGCAAUUUCCUUUCCUUUCCUUUUUGGGGGGCACUGCAAUUUCCUUUCCUUUUUUUGCAAUUUUUUCCUUUCCUUCUUUUUUUCAGGGCCCAACUGUAAUUUCAUGAAAUAGUGAUGCGCAGUGCUUAAGAAUAAUAACUAAAUGUUGUUCUGCUCUAAAACAGAAAAGAAUGUUGUUUUCCUAGUUUAGGUUGUCCUAUCAGAUCUUUUAUGAAAGCUAUAUACAUAUCAAUGCUCAUAAUCGUUUCCUUAGUGGUGGGAUUCUGAGGAUAUACUACUUCACUAUUACAUGUCCAUAUAUUUCUGCUUGUUAGUUGGAUAUCAUUUACCUGAAUUGCUUGAAAGAUGUAAAGCUGUUAAACUAUGAUGCCUGGCUCUGCUUCAAUGUUUUAUGGUCAAGCUAAUGAAUGCUCAGCUCUAGUGUAACAAGUGGGAUACGUGUUAUGCUGUCUCAUUGUUACAUUUCAUUUCUUUUUCUUAUAAAAAAUUUGACCUAGUUUGUUCCGUACUUGUUCAUUACAAUGAGAUAUAUGUAGCUAUCUGCAGUUUGUUAGUGCAAAUGUGUCAGGAUGCCAUUGACUCCAAAGUAUAAUUUUGAGAGGAAAGAGUCUUGGUUUCACUUUUAUAUGGUUUUUUCAUAUGAGAAAGGGGCAAUUGAUGCAAAAUAAAUUGUCAAUUUGUAUACUGCACUUGCACGAUUGAUUGUAUUACUUUUUGAAAAUUUUACUGUUUAUUGUCUUUGCUUAAACACUGCCGAGCAUUUGAGAUGGAUGGGAAUGUGUAAGUUUCCUUUGUGAUGGUGAAUGUGUUUCAUUGGUGUUUUAUUUGCAGGAAUCUGCAUAUUGGUCAAUGAAUAUGAAUUCUUACAGAUUUGGGUUAUCUGGCCCAGAAAAUGCUCCCUAUUAUAGCCCUUACAUUGUAAAUGAUGACUUUAUGAGGAUGGACUACAACCGGAGACCAUGGGAUUAUCCUUCUGUUAUGAAUAUACAAGAACCGCCAGUUGUAGAAAUGCCUUCGGAAGAGAUCCAAGCCCCCAGUAUGGAGGCAAACCCAACGCCCAGUAUGGAGGCCAUCCCAGAAGAAUGUGAGUUCCAGAUUUUGUUCUGUUGUUUGGCCCUUACAGUUUAAACAAAUGAAAACGGGGAAAAUAUCAUGUUGACUUUCUACGUUUCUUGGUCUUAAGGGUGUUACUUCCUUUGUUGAGGUAGAUCUCUUUUCAGUUUCAUUACAAGUUUUUGUUGCUUGGUAAUGCAAUUCUGACCUUAUCUUCGAUGAGUUGUUCAUACUUAGCAUUCUCAUUUUCUAUCCUUUGCACAGCUCAAACCUCUGCAGACAACAUUAAUCAGCAAGAUUCUGGUGGUACUCAGGUAUGUAAAUCGAUUAUAUACUUCUUUAUCUCUUCAUAAUUCUCAGCUUAUCACUUACGAAUAGGAAAUAUUAUUUUGCUUGGCUGUGAGGAAGAUACUGAUUUGUACUUUCUUUUUCCUACACUGUUGCAGGCUGUUUGGGAAGAUAAUAUUGAUCCUGACAACAUGACUUAUGAGGUACAAAUGUUUGAAGUUUUUGCAUUUUGUAAACUUAUAUUCUUUAUGUGCUACAAUGACCUGUGUUCUUAUUAGAACCUAUAAUGGUUGAAAUUCAAUCAGCAAGUAUGAGGCUUCUCUUAUGCCCUGUUCAGUGGAUAAGACUGUUAUUAGACUGUUUUAGUGCGAAAUGCUGCAUCAAAAAGAUUUUUGGCUGGUGAUUGCCAUGAACUUUGGUGAAUGUUUAUGCAAACUUCAUUUCUCGAAGUCACAUUAUUGGAAAAUCAAUUAAAAGAACAAAAUCUUCUCUCCAGAGUUCAACCAGUUGACCAGUUUUCGUAACCAAAGAAAGACGUGCUUGACGUGAAUAUCAAUCUUCUUUUAUGUAUUCUGCCAUGUGGGUUUUAAGUCCCAAACUCUUAAACUAAAUUCACAAGGAAUAAAAGAAAGGACUUCUUCAUUGUGCUUCUCUAACUGUUGCCGUUCUGGUAACUGACUCCAUAAUUCCAAGUUCUAUUCAUGGCUUUUUGCUGACUAUGUUGUUGAACAUCCAAAAUGGUCUUCAUUUUCAUUUCUCUAGCUUCUGGCACUAGAAUAGCAAAAUAAGAGUUCAGUAUUUGGUGUAGCUGCAUUAGCAACAGCAGGGUGAGUAAAUUUUACAAGUGUAUGAUUACACAAAAUGAGGAAUUUGCUAUAUUUAUUCCCUUUAGACAGAUUAAGUAAAACACCUGAUAUCUCGUCUCGGUGUACAGAUUCUUACAAGCAAAUGUUAAGAAUGACUAGACAAACUGUUUGGAGAUGAAAUCUAAUUAUGAUAUUAUUUUUAGGAAUUACUUGAGUUGGGCGAAGCAGUGGGGACUGAAAACCGGGGACUUUCACAAGAACUUAUUGAUUUACUUCCGACCUCAAAGUACAAAUCUGGGGGAAUUUUCUCCAAAAAAAGAUCUACUGAGAGGUAUAUUCUUACUAAGAUGUAUUUCACGUUGAAUGUGCCACUGUGCUUUCUUCUUGCUGGUGAGCCACAGCUGUUAGCCUCUAUCCUUUCUGACACUCUGCCUUUCUCUCUAUCUGUACCUGUUUACAUUGGUUACUUUUGUCACAUAUCAUUCAAAUGUGGUCAAAAAUCACUCUAUCCACAAGAAAUUAUGUUUAGCUGUGAAAUAAACAUUUGAGAAGUUCUUUGUAAGAUUCGUAUGGUACCCAGUCUAGUGCAUACAAUAACCCUUGGAAAGAGCAGUUCUGCUUGCUGCAGUAAUGUAGCCUCCACCUAAGCAUUCUCAACUGCAUUAGGCAGAAGCCCUGCGGAUCAGGUUUCCCUGUUGUUAUGCCUUGCCUAUGCAGGGUGAUCAAUUAUGAUACCCAUUAUGUGCUCACCAGCUGAUCACUGACAAAGCAAUGGCUUGUGAAAAUGAUAAGUAACACUAGUUGAUAUUAAUGCAGUUCCAUGAUUGUUUUCAAGAAUGCAUUUCAAGAUUUGAGCAAAUAAAUCAAGAAUGGGUUUCUUGACCCCAACAAGGAAAUCAGUUACCUAACCUUAUCUACUCUUUGGAAAAUAUACAGAGUCCCCAGUAUCACAAAUACCUGAUAAUGUAUGAUACUGCUGCAUUCAAUGUGAUACCAGAAUCCAGCAUUUCUGCUUCAUUUCCUUUGUAAACGGUAGCAGGUGCCUCGGUAUUUUUUUGUUAGUUUCUAGCUGAGGCUACCGAGCCUGUGUCACUCUUUUACUUGUGUUUUCUGUAAGACUAAGUACCUGCUAGGAAAGAGUAAUAGAGAUCUAUUAUGGGGCUGCCCUUUCUUUUAUAUCUAAAUGUGUUGGCCCUUGUCAAGUUCUGAAAGAAGAAAGAAAACAUAAAGAAUAGUGAAAGAUCAUGAAUGAACAAAAUUAGAAGGUUUCUAUCAUUCUCUGCUCCUCUCUCUCUCUCUCUCUCUGUCACACACACACACACCCACACACACACAUCUAGGUCAGGUUCACUCAUUUUGGUUGCUGCUUCAAUUUUUUUCGUCUAAUAAUUUAAUUGGUUGUCAUUUUUUUUUUAAAAUUUUUGCGACCCAGAUGUGUCAUCUGCCAAAUGAGGUACAAAAGAGGGGACCGGCAAAUAAAUUUGCCAUGCAAACAUGUAUACCAUGCUCAUUGUGGAUCGAAAUGGCUCAGAAUUAACAAGGUAUGGUAAAUAUUUUUGAGCAGAGUUCGCCUUAAAGUCUGAUAUUUGUUUGCUAAUACAUGUAUGUAUCUUGUUGGUUUUGCCAGACAUGCCCAAUAUGCAACACUGAAGUAUCAAGUGAAGAAUCCAACCAAUGAAGAUUUCAAAUAUCAAAUGGCAAAAUAGAUUAACAGCUGCAAUAGUUUUCCCUUUUUAACAUACAUAGAGCUAGUUUAUUUUUGACCUUGUUGUUAUAGUUGGGUUUAGAAUUUUGUAAUGUAGAAGUUUAUAGUAGCCUUUUGUACAAGGGAAGCAAUGGAACAGGAAGCUUGAAGGAUAUAGGUCCUUGAAUGCUUAUUGAUGAUUAGCUCCAUGCUCUCUUCAACAGUUUUAUUGAUUAGCUUGAUAGCUUCAGGGGAAAUAUAUUUCUUGCUGCCGGAAGCUAAUGGAAAAAGUUGAUCGAUUUGCUUCAUUUCUUCCAAAUAUGUACAUUGAAAUCACAGAUACCGCUUAGAACUGAAUACAGGGUAGGUGACUAUUAGUCAGAAGUCGUUUUUAUCAGUGUCCAUUUGCAGCCUCCCCCCCGCCCCCCCCCCCCCCAAAAAAAAAACAAAAAAAAACCAAAAAAGAUACGUAUACGUAGUAGUUGCUCCUGAUGUUAUCAAUAAUUUUGAGCUGUAGCCUGGGGACAGCCUAAUUGGAUAAAGACUUAAUUCUGUAGAAAUUUCCUCCAAUGAAGGCAAUUUGGGGAUAGUGUUUUGAAAAUUGGAUUAAUAGAUCGGUUCAACCAGUUGAAUUGCAAAGAGGUCAUGGUGUUGGUUUGGUUUCAUUUAAAACUUGAACAAGACAAAAAGAAAUUUUGUUUCUUGGAAGAAACCAAAAAAAUUGGUCAAAGAAUGGUUGAAUGGUAAAAAUCAGUAAAAUGUGGACUUCUGAACUUGUUUGUUAGUAAAAUUUCUCCUUUUUCUUGAAUUUUUAAUCGGAAUUUUUAUUUCUUAUAUACAUGAAAAAAAGUUGAACUUUUAACUUGAAUGGUUGAACUGUGAACAAAAAAUUACUCAUCCAGGUUUAAAAACGUUGCCGUGAAAAUGAGAAGUUCAUUUUGAAAAGGCCUAUACAGAAAUUUUCAAAUAGCUAAAGGUGUAAAAUCAUGGAGGAGGGUUAGUUUACUAUUUUCUUAGGCACAAGAUCAUUGUUUAUCCGUUAAUCAUGAUAAUCAAAAUAGAGUAUUCUUUUCAUGCACGUAUGACAAAAGCAUAUGAAGUUCAGGAAUAUAGUAAAAUGAUGCAUGAGAAAUUCCUUGUGAGAUGCUAAAAGGGACUUCAAAUGGGAAAGAAAAAAGCUUCAAAAAAAUUGGGAUGGUUGAAUCGGAAUUUCAUUGCAGACAUGAAACAACUCGCUCCUUUUCUUUUCUCUUUUUACAAUUACAAAUAGUAAGUCUUGAAUCUAAUUUGUAUAUUAAAAAAAAUUAUCAUAUAUAACACAAAAGCCUCUCCAUUUGUCUCUCUAUUUACCAUAUAUAACACAAAAGAUUACCAUCGAUUCCUUCUAGUCGAGCCUCUCGAUUUGUCAUUAUUCCUGAGACGUAGAAAUAAUUAAAGUCCUCAUCCCACCUAAAAUUCGAGAAAUUUGUUGAGAGUUGGAAUAAAUUUGUAAAUCGGGUUGACUAAUCCAUUUUAAAUGUAAAAUAUUUCUACCAAGUUAAAAUUGACUCACAGUAGGAUUGGGUUAAUUGUGAAAACUAGUGGGAGCCCAAUUAAUGCAUUCAGGGGUAAUUCUGAGCACUUUCAUACACUCAAGCGAACAUUUUCACAAAACAAUCUUUUCAAGUGUAAAUGUAGAAAAUAACUGGGGUCUAAAAAUAAAAAACAAAAAUGGUAACAAACUCAUUAUGGGUACCAUGGGCCAGGAUCACCUGCGAGCAAUCCACGUUCAGUCAUGACGUAGUCUGCUUUUGGAAUACCCAGACCCAAAACAUCCCACACCCAAAUUUACACAUGCUAGUUUUGGGCGGGCCUCUUCUUGCCAGGCUUCGAUGGGAGGUGCUCUAUGGAGGUCCAAAAUGUAAGACAUAAAAAUUCGUCAGAAAACAUACCAAAAUCAAGUAAAAUUUUAUCCCAUUUUGUGCAAUUAUUAUGGGUCCGUUUGGAUUAGCUGUUUUUGGGGUUGUUUUUCAAAAACAAUACUGUAGCAUUUCGUUUUUGAAAUACAAGUCCGUUUGGAUUAGUUGUUUUUGGGGUUGUUUUUCAAAAACUAUAUGAAAAACUUUUACUGUAGAUGUUUUUUGAAUUAUUUUUAGAGGUAUUUUUAAAACAUAUUUUUGAGUAUUUUAUAAUUUAUAAUUUAUAUAUUUUUAUAUUUAUAUACAUUUAUGCAUUUAUAAUACAUUUAUAAAUAUUUAUAAAUAAAUAUAUUUAUAUAUUUAUAUAAAAAUAUAUCAAUAUAUUAUAAAUGUAUUAUAUUAUACAUAAUACAUAAUAUAAAUAUAUUUAUAAAUGUAUAUUAUUAUAAAUGUAUAAAUUAUAAAUGAAUAUUAUAUAAAUGUAAAAAUUAUAAAUUUUAUAUUUUAUAUAAAUAUAUAUUUAUGCAUUUAUAAUACAUUUAUAAAUAUUUAUAAAUAAAUAUUUUUAUAUAUUUAUAUAAAAAUAUAUAAAUGUAUUAUAUUAUAUGUAAUACAUAAUAUAAAUAUAUUUAGAAAUGUAUAAGUGUAUAUUAUUAUAAAUAUAUAAAUUAUAAAUGAAUAUUAUAUAAAUGUAUAAAUUAACAUAUCAUAAAUAUAUAUUAAUAUUAUGUAUAAAUGUAUUAAUAUAAUUAAUAUAAAUAUAUAAAUGUAUUAAUAUUAUGUAUAAAUGUAAAAUUAAUACUAUGUAUAUUAAUAUAAAUGUAUCAAAAUACAUAAUAUAAAUGUAAAUUAUAAAUAUACAUAAAUAUAUAUAUUAUGUAUAAAUGUACAUUUAUAUAAAUGUAUAAUCUAUAUAAUAUAUAUUAUAUUAUAUUAUAUAUAAUUUUAUAAUAUAUAUUUUUUGUAUAAAUAUAUAAAAAUAUAUAUUAAAUAAAUAAAUUAUAUAUAUUAUGAAUAAAUAAAUUAUAUAUAAUAUGAAUAAAUAAAUAUAUAAAUACAUUAUUUAUAAAUAUUUAAUAUAUAUAAUAUACAUUAAUAUUAAUUAUAAAUAUUUGAAUAUUAAUAAAUAUGGUGUUUAUAUAAUAUUUCAAUUUGUAAUAUUUAUUGUAUAUUUCAUUAUAUAAAUAUUUAUAUAAUAUAUAAAUAUAUAAUAUAAAAUUUUGCAAUUUGUAUAAUAUACAUAAUAUUGUAUAUAUAUAAUAUACAUAAUAUACAUUUAUACAUUAUUACAUAUUAUGUAUAUUAUAUAUUAUACAUAACUUUAUUAUACAUUAUUAUACACAAUAAUGUACAUAAUAAUGAAAGUACAUUAAUAAUGUAUAUAUUAUAAUAUAAUGUACAAAAUAUAUUAUGUAUAAAUAUUUAUACAUUUAUGUAUACAAUAUUACAUACUAUGUAUAUUAUAUUAUAUUAUGUAUAAUAUUAAAGUAUGUAAAUAUUUAUAUAAUAUAUAAUAUAUAACAUAUAUAACAUAUAAAUAUAUAAUUUUCAAUUUGUAUAUUUCAAUUUACAUAUUCAAUUUACAUAUUUCAAUUUAUAUAUUUCAAUUUAUAUUAUAUUAUUAUAAAUUGAAAUAUACAUAUUAAAUUUGUAUAUUUGGAGUUGUUUUUGAUAUAAUGUUUGGAUAUGGGUGUUUUUGGAAUUGUUUUUGAAAUACACAUUUACUGUAGCAUUUGGAAUGUGAAAAACAGUUUUUCAAAAACAGGUGCAAAAACAAGGAAUCCAAACGAACUAUGUUUUUUGGGGUACGAUUAUGUUACGUUAUUAUAUUUAAGAACAAUUUUGUUAUAUAAAUAAAAUAUUUCACACAUAUAUUUAGUUCAACAAUUAACGAGGUUGUACGUCAAAAACUGUAACAUGUAUAGUAAUUGGAUAGAAAAUAACAGUAGUUACCUGUACUCUCUUUGAAAGUUACCAUGCAUAAAUCUCAAAUAUCAUUAAGAGACAACACAAAUUUUGUUCAAUAUUACAUGAAGGGAGUAUAAGAUUGCUGUGUAUGAAUUAGUAGUUAAACUAACUCUUUUGAAUUUAAAUAAAGUACAUAUUUUGCAAUAUCUUGCUUCAAAGCUGGAAAGUCAGCCCAUGGCUAUUCUUUGGCUUCUUCGCUAGAAGAACUUUUUUUGUCUUGGUCCCAAUUCAAUACUAAACAAGUCCGAACUAAUUGAAUACUUGUAUCAGAAAUUUCUCAUAUUGGUUUGCCGUUUCCAUAAAGGAUAUAAUUGACAACCUGAAGUCGAAUAUUGUCUCGUUCCUGCAACAAUGGGGGGGGGGGGGGGGGGAAGUAUUGCUAAAUUUAGACAGUCUCUUUUCUCAUAUGUAAUUACAGGACGAAUCAAAACAAAAUACCCCUUUUUGCUAGGUGUAAUCCGGUGGACCCUUGAGGGCAAAUCGCCAAUUUAAUCCCUAAACAAUUUCACUUAAAUCAAUUUCGUUCUUUAUGAUUAUUUUUCACCAAUUUGGUUUUCAAAUAAUUUUAUCAGAUUUAAUGUAGAACUUAUUGGACGAUGCCACCACAUUUUAUAUAUUUCAUAUGGCGGGGCAAGGGUAUAAUUGGAAUGACAAGUUCGACUGUCUAAUUAUAGGGAUUAUAACCGAGACUUUUAGAUGAUUAAAAACAAAAACCUCUGAAAAUUAAGAGAGAAGAGCACUAAAGAGAAACCCGACCAAGGUAAUAUUUUGGAUCCUUAUGGAGCAGCAGAGCAGAGUCGUGGCCGAAAAUGGUUCCCCAGAUGUCUACUGUAUCAAAUGUAUUUGGUUCCAGGGCCUUUGAGAGAUUCAGGUACGAUCUGACGCUACGAUCUGACGCUUUUAGAAGCAGCAUCCAGAAGCGACAACUUGGGCAACGCUUUUGCUGGGCUGGUCAAGGAGGCCACCGCCUUACUGCUCAACUCCGAUGCCCGGAAGGGUGAUUCCUACUCCGCUCGGGAAAUCAAUACUUUGGUGAUCUAGUCGCGAUGCCAAUCAAGCUUGUAACCACUUUCAUUUCUAGUUCUCUGGUUUUGAUCCUGAAUUUUUGUGAUCCAUGGUGGCAGCACCACUACCACCGUCACCAGAAUUUCCGCCACCUGAACCACUAUUCCCACUACCUCCCCCGCCGGAGCCACCAUCAGAUACAGCAAAGAGGCGAAAAUGAUCAGAACCCAGUUGUCUAAAACCAAUUUUAGAGUGACCCAAUUCUUUAUACACAGGAGUCGAGGUUAAAGAAAUUGAGUGAUAGCAGCUUCUAAAGCUGAAGCCCCUACUGCUUAUAGAAGUGGAGAAAGGUGGAAUUUUGGGGGCCCUCCUGAAAUGUGAAGUGGGUUUGGGAGAAAACUGUACAAAACGAUACAGCAAGGGAGAUUUGCGAACUAGUUUGGUUGGGCUUGAAGCCAUUGUUGCUUGAGUUUGGAUUGGAGUUUUGCAGAGGCUAAUGGUUUUAGAAACAGGAUAGCCGGAGGAAAUCUCUCCAAAUUGCCUCUCUAAAUUUGGGAAAUCUCAAUUUUAAGAGGAUUUUGUCUUUAAUCAUCUAAAAGUCUCGCUUAUAAUCCCUAUAAUUAGACAGUCGAACUUGUCAUUCCAAUUAUACCCUUAUCUUGCCAUGUGAAAUACAUAAAAUGUGGUUGCCCUGCCCAAUAAGUCCUAUAUUGAAUUUAGUCCUACAUUGAAUUUGAUAAAAUUGUUUGAGGAUUAAAUUGGUGAAAAAAAAUCAUAAAGGAUGAAAUUGAUUUAAGUAAAAAUAUUUAGGGAUUAAAUUGACGAUUUGCCCAUUCUUUGGAACUUUUACAACUUUCUUCAUCAUGUUAUUCUAUAUUUAGUAUAGUGUGUGUGCACUCGUAUAAGGUGGAGCAGGAGAAUAAUUAAUCAAGGCAAACUGGGGGGUUAAUGAAGGAUCUUUCUUGGUGGAGGAGGGCCCGUUGGCUGCAGCGGCAGCGGCGGCGGCGGACUGAAAAAUGAAAGUGGUACUGGUGGUGGUGGUGCGCAGAAGAUACCGAGGAGAGGUAUGUACGCCCAAACACAAGCAUUGGCAGUCAUAGACAGCAUGGAGAAGAGUGCAAAUAGCAGAUAAAACAGCAAUGCCCUGUGGCUUGCCAUAGCUCGAAAUUAGUGAAGGAAAUCCAUAGACUAUGUUCUACCAACAAUUACAGAUGCUGCUAAACUUUAGUUCAGCUUGAGGAAUGAGGACUGCUCUUCAGAUUUUAUAGACAUGUUUGGUGAAGAAGUUGAUCGAAUUUGUACAUUAGACUCUUAAAUUAGCCGUGUUGUGUUAGGCAAGUACUAAACUAUGCACCAAACAUAUUUGAAAAUUGGGACUUAAAGAGUUAAGAAAGCUGCAAAUAAAGUCUUGAUUUUCUGGUAAAAAGCCUGGCCUCAGCUAUGAAGUACCUGAAUGUAUGUAAAGAUUUAAUAUGAUCAUUGAGCAUUUGUUGAUGUAUUGCUGUCCCACGAAUUAAAUCUCUCCCAAAUGCAAUCUUCUUGAAGAAUUAUUCACUAAUGAAAUUCUUGUGUGCACAGGAAAAAACUAUUUAUUUAAUUUUGAAAUUUGACAAUAUCAUCCAAUUCUCAAAAAAAAAAAAAAAAUAAAAUCUUGAGUCUUACUUGUUCAUCUAUUUCCAUUUGUCCAGCAAAUUCUGGUAGUCUGGUUAAAUUUGUAAAUGAUUUUCUUGCCCUUCUUCUAACCUCACUCCUUUUUUAAAAUGUGGAAGGAGCUAGCUAUAAUUGUCAUCAACCUUAGCGGCUGCUUUUGAAAUUAUCCCAAUAUUAAUUAUUAUUUUGCUGACCAGAGUGUAAUAUGGUUUUCUAUCGGAUACAUUUCUUUUCUAAAACAACCGAAUGUAAACCAAACUCCAACCAAAUUACCCUAUAAUCUACCGAUGAAUACCCUAAAACUACAACUGCAAAAUUUUCUUCUUGAAGAUCAAAUGAAACCCUUUAUUUUAAUCAUCCAAGGAAAAAAAACCACAUUGUUUUUUAAAAUUAUAAAUUCAAAUUUUUAUGCUCAUGUGAGGUAAAAAGCCGAAGAAGAAGCUACUCCCCAUUGUCAACUCACGAAUGUUUGCUUGCUUCGAUAUCCCGUUAUAACUUCACUUUCCAUGCAUCAAAAUAUCGAAUAGGGACUUUUUUUUUUUUUCUAUUUCUAAUAGUUUACAUACACAGACCAAGAUUGGACCAACAUAUGUCUAGUUACCUCCUUAAAUAUCAAUAAUUCUGCCCAUUAACAUAUUUCUUACUUUCCUUAAAUUAAACUCGAACCUAACUUAAGCAAUUUGUUCACUUUUCUUUGUCACCUGCAGGGAUGGGGAGAGCUUUCAAGUUUUUAUAGCCAUGUUACCUGAAAAUUCAUUUCGAUGGUUGUUUAACUUUGCUAUUAGAUAUAUGGCAAUACAAGCCGUCCUGCACUUGCAAGUUCGUGCCGAACAUUUGACAAUUGGGAAGCAAAAAUAUUUCCAAAAGAAUGGUUCAUAAGGUCUAGCCUAAACUGUGAUAUGAAUAUGUCCAAAGAUUUUAAUAUGAUCAUUGACUAUGUGUUGAAAAAAUUGCUGGUCGACGGAUUAAUUCUGGCUAUUAUUAUAAUUGUAGAAGUAUACAUUAUUUCUCCCUUUUUGCUGGAACAAAAGGCACUUUGCCAUCCAGACUACUUUCAGAAUUCCACCCAACAGUGGCGGAGUCAGGAUUUUUUUCUUGGGGGGGCCAAAAUUUUUUCGAACAAAAUUACCUUAAUAUGUUAUGUUCAAAAUAAUUUUUAUUUUAUUUAAAUAUAUGAUAUCUUAAAAUAUCAAAUAUUAACUUUAAUUAUAAAGGUAUGUCUAUUUUAUAAAUAUGUAACAUAGUCAUAACUAAAAUUAAGACAAAAAAUAACCUUUGAUUAAAUAUCUUAUAACAUCACAAACCACCUAAGUUGCACAUUAUGAGAAGAUGCUCCAAUAUGUCACUUGUGCAAAAAUAAAAAUAUAAUUAUCAAUAUAAAUAUAACUAUUUUCAAUUAAAAAAAGAUAAAAGUUAUGUUAGCAUACAUUGAAAUUUCAUCCUUUUUUAUUAAAAGUAAAUUGAGAUUUACGUUCUUUUAUAGAAUCGAGGACACUAAAGACUCAUCAUGCUUUUUAUAUAGUAAUAGAUUUAUCCCAUGUAAGUUCAAAUAGCAAGUGUCGUCAUUAAAGUAGAAAAUAGGAAAUUAACAUGCUAACCACAAAUUGAACAAUUGGUUCAAGAUACAACUGCAUCACCUUUAUAGUAAAAUUAUUUGGGCCAGCCCUUGAGCCCUCGAUUAUAUUAUGUCCAGAACCCGGGAACCUCGUGAUUACUGUAAAACUCAAAUACUGCACAUGUUGUACCCUGUGAUUACUCCACAAGACGUUAAACAGCUAAACCAAAAAAAAAGUUCACGAAAUAUAUAUAGAACCAAACUUGCACUCAUGUGCUCUUCCAAGCUAAAGCUGAACAAAAGUCCACGAAAUAUCAAACCAAACUUGCUCGUCAUAUGCCCUUCCAGGUUGACAAAGGUGGAGUUUCAGAACUUUGCCAAGUGCUGAUUUCAGGCCCGUAUCUCUCACCCUUGACUCCAGCCGAAGUAAUAGAUUCGAGUUCUGCCAUUUCCUCUGCGGACAGUUUUACAGACAAAGCUCCUAUAUUCUGAUCGAGGUUCUCAAUCUUGGUAGUGCCAGGUAUGGGGCAAACAUCAUUGCCUUGGUGAUGGACCCAGGCUAUAUAUAGGGGGUUUUCCGGCGGCUUGGGGGGGGGCUUAAGCCCCCACCAGCCCCCCCUUAAAUCCGUGGCUGCCACCCAACUCAGUACUUUUUUUUUUUUUUCAACUAACGAACUCAAUACUUUUCCGAUUGACAUAAAAUGUUAAACCUGAGGUUCAAUUUGCCAUCUAUGUCCAUUUUUGCGGCAAACUGUAGUAGUCCGGUUGUGUGAUUUGAUCUAACGAAAAUGUAUUUCCAGCUGCUAGAAGCUAAUGGAAAAAGUUAAUCGGAUUGUUGUAUUUUCUCUAAAUACAUAGUGAAACUAUAUGUACAUGUGGCUUAGAACUGGAUACAACAUCAUAUACCGUAGAGGUCAGUAUUAGCUAUAAGUAGUUUUUUGUGAGUCUAUCUAUUUGCUUUUUCUUAGAAAUGAAGUGGGAUAAAGGUCGUCAGCUAGGUGUUAGCCCAAACGUAGACCAAUAGUGCAUUAGUUGCUGAUCUGUGUUUGGAUAAAGUAUUAUUUGAAAUAUUAUUUGGAAUAAUUACUGUAGUACUUUUUGUGACGUAAUGUAUGUAAGAUAAAAAGGUAGUUGGUAAUAUAAAAAGAUGAAUUGGAAAAUGUGUUUAUGAUGCAAGUAAAAUAUUAUGUGAAAUAAUUCAGCAAUCCAAACACAUUAAUUAAUAUUAUGAUUUUCUGAGUAAAAAGUUUUCAUCAGGUUAUACACUGGAAGUCUAUACACUGGUUGGUUGAUAAUGAUUCACUGAUUAUAAACUUUUUAAUAGUCCAAAUAUUAUAACCAAACACUGGGAAUUCUGGAAAUUAUUUUGGAGAAAUUAUUUUCAGUCAGAACAAAUUUGGAACUGUUAGAAAUUAGUCGUCAGAAAUUACGUCUUAUGAAGAUGGGAAAUUCUGCUAUUGGAAGGCCUUCGUCAGAAUUUUCAAGAGUUGAAAGUGUAAGAUCUUGUAGGUAGGUCUAUUUAUAAUUAUCGUAUAUCUACCAGUAGAUGUAUUUUGGAAGCUUUCUAAUACUCUGAGAGCAAUCUAUGUGUCAUCUACAAAAAGUUUAUGAAUCAUUAUAUAUUUUUUUAGUAAAUUUGAUUCAUGUUAGCUACAGCCACGGAUUUAAGGGGGGGCUGGUGGGGGCUUAAGCCCCCCCCAAGCCGCCGGAAAACCCCCUAUAUAUAGCCUGGGUCCAUCACCAAGGCAAUGAUGUUUGCCCCAUACCUGGCACUACCAAGAUUGAGAACCUCGAUCAGAAUAUAGGAGCUUUGUCUGUAAAACUGUCCGCAGAGGAAAUGGCAGAACUCGAAUCUAUUACUUCGGCUGGAGUCAAGGGUGAGAGAUACGGGCCUGAAAUCAGCACUUGGCAAAGUUCUGAAACUCCACCUUUGUCAACCUGGAAGGGCAUAUGACGAGCAACAGCCACGGAUUUAAGGGGGGGCUGGUGGGGGCUUAAGCCCCCCCCAAGCCGCCGGAAAACCCCCUAUAUAUAGCCUGGGUCCAUCACCAAGGCAAUGAUGUUUGCCCCAUACCUGGCACUACCAAGAUUGAGAACCUCGAUCAGAAUAUAGGAGCUUUGUCUGUAAAACUGUCCGCAGAGGAAAUGGCAGAACUCGAAUCUAUUACUUCGGCUGGAGUCAAGGGUGAGAGAUACGGGCCUGAAAUCAGCACUUGGCAAAGUUCUGAAACUCCACCUUUGUCAACCUGGAAGGGCAUAUGACGAGCAAGUUUGGUUUGAUAUUUCGUGGACUUUUGUUCAGCUUUAGCUUGGAAGAGCACAUGAGUGCAAGUUUGGUUCUAUAUAUAUUUCGUGAACUUUUUUUUUGGUUUAGCUGUUUAACGUCUUGUGGAGUAAUCACAGGGUACAACAUGUGCAGUAUUUGAGUUUUACAGUAAUCACGAGGUUCCCGGGUUCUGGACAUAAUAUAAUCGAGGGCUCAAGGGCUGGCCCAAAUAAUUUUACUAUAAAGGUGAUGCAGUUGUAUCUUGAACCAAUUGUUCAAUUUGUGGUUAGCAUGUUAAUUUCCUAUUUUCUACUUUAAUGACGACACUUGCUAUUUGAACUUACAUGGGAUAAAUCUAUUACUAUAUAAAAAGCAUGAUGAGUCUUUAGUGUCCUCGAUUCUAUAAAAGAACGUAAAUCUCAAUUUACUUUUAAUAAAAAAGGAUGAAAUUUCAAUGUAUGCUAACAUAACUUUUAUCUUUUUUUAAUUGAAAAUAGUUAUAUUUAUAUUGAUAAUUAUAUUUUUAUUUUUGCACAAGUGACAUAUUGGAGCAUCUUCUCAUAAUGUGCAACUUAGGUGGUUUGUGAUGUUAUAAAAUAUUUAAUCAAAGGUUAUUUUUUGUCUUAAUUUUAGUUAUGACUAUGUUACAUAUUUAUAAAAUAGACAUACCUUUAUAAUUAAAGUUAAUAUUUGAUAUUUUAAGAUAUCAUAUAUUUAAAUAAAAUAAAAAUUAUUUUGAACAUAACAUAUUAAGGUAAUUUUGUUCGAAAAAUUUUUGGCUCCCCCAAGAAAAAAAUCCUGACUCCGCCACUGGUUAGCUAAUACUUGUGUUUCCAAAGAACAAAGGGUAUAAUCAUACGUUUUUCUAAGUUAUAGAGAGGUAGCACGUACAUUCCCUUCAGUGGCAGGGCCUUGUUAUAGAGAGGUAGCACGUACAUUCCCUUCAGUGGCAGAGCCAAGGCCCUUGGCUUAGGGGAUUCAAUUUUCGACUUCACUUCAAUUAUGAUCAUAGUAAAUCUCAAUCAAAAGACAUUUAUGUUAAACUUACUUUUUUUUUCCGUUAUGUCAGUUACUUUGACGUCUAGGUUGUGUUAUAAUGUAUUGAUAGUUUAGAAUCAUCCAAAGUGCUUGUUCUUAGAUUUACGUAAAAAAUUAAACUUAAUUAGAUCUAACACUCCUAUGAAUUAAGAAUUAAGAAUUUUUGGGGCCAUAAGAAUUAAGAAUUUUUAAUUUAUUAAGGGAGGCCGAUGUAAAUAAGAAAGAGACAUUAACAAAUAUUAGAGGGGACAAUAUUGUUAGACUUGUGUGGGCCAGCCCAUUUGUGGGCCAACCCAAAACACAAGUCACUAAGACUUGAGGGUUUCAUGUGACAGUACAUAUUGAAGCAGCCGCAAGAAAGUACUUCACAUUUUUUUGAGUGAAAGAAUUACAACCGCCACUUUAGAGAUAAACGAAGAGAGAGAAGGAGUUAGAAAGAGAGAAACUUCAAGAUCUUGAUUGGAGGGUGAUUCGGAAUCCGAUUGAGAUGAAAUUUUACUCAUGGGAUCCUCUCGUUAGGCUCUACUCAGCUACCAGUUCAGAUUUCAGAUUUCCUUUUCGUUUGGUAAUAUCUUUCCAAACCCACUUCUUUAACAGUUGUAAUUUUUGGGGGUGAUUUUGUAGCAAAUUGGCUUGGUUGGUAUUGGUGAUAUUGUUGUCACUAGAAUACUUCGGGUAGAUCUGUGUAUCCCAUUAUUGUGAUAGUGGAGAUUUUUGACUGGACUAGAUUCCGUGAUUUUUUUUUUCAAUUUGGGUUUUUUACGUAAAAAUUUUGGUGUCCUAUGCUUUUUAUUUUUCUUACAUUUUAUUAUCACUGCUAGUAUUAUUAAUUGGUAAUAUUCCUAUUUUAACUGGUACUUGGAAAAAGAGAAAUUUGUCCUGAACUAACUCUGAUAUCGUGUGCCUGUACCAGUACCCCUUUCCCAACAAGUGGUAUCAGAGUAGUUAGGUUGGGUUGCUCAGUUGUACUAGUUAAAAAUAGAUGAUUCAGAUAGUGGUUGCAGGAUAAAAUUAAAUGCUACUAAUUAUUCGAUUUGGAAACCUAGAAUGGAAGACUACUGUAUUGUAGAGAUUUGUUUGAACCUGUUCUAGGGGAUAAAGGUAGACCAAGUGAUAUGAGUGAUGAAAAAUGGGCUGUUAUGCAUAGGAAAACUGUUGGUAAUAUUAAAAAAUGGAUUGGUCAAAAUAUUUCUCAAUAUUUUGCUAAUGACACCAGAGCUGAUGUAUUAUGGAAAAAACUUGAAAGUAUGUAUGAACGGAAAAUCGAUUUGAACAAGGCUAGUUAUCUGAAACAGAUUACUCGGAUGAGAUAUAAAGAUGGAGAAAAUAUGACUGAACACCUGAGUAAUUUUCAGGGAUUGAUAAACCAGGCAACUACGUUAAAUUUGUAUUUGGAUGAUGAAGUACAUACUUUAUUAUUAUUCAGUUCACUACCGAAUAGUUGGGAAACCAUGGUGAUCUCCGUCAGCAAUUCAACUCCCAAUGGUGUGUUGACCAUGGUUAUUGCAAAAGAGGCCAUAAUGAAUGAAGAGUUCAGGAGGAAGGAACAAGAAAUUGUCUAUGAGUCCCAGACCCUGGUGACAGAAAAGAAAGAAAGAAGAGGGAGAAGCAAAAUUAAAGAACCCCAUAACAGGAAUGACAAAUCCAGAGACAGGUCUGAGUCGUGAAAAAAUAUUGCAUGCUAUUAUUGUAAAAAGAAUGGACAUUAUAUGAAGGAAUGCAGAAUUUUAAAACGGGAUUAGACUGAGAGAAAGGGUAAGGGGAAGGAAAAAGAUGAUGAGAACACUACAGCAGUUGUGGCAGCUCAUUAUGACAUGUUUGUGUUCUGUGAUGAUGGUCAAGUGAAUAUCAUUUAUUAUGACAGUGAUUGGGUAGUUCCAUUUUACUCCUCACAGACAUUUUUUCUCAACCUACACCGAAAGAGAUUUUGGAUAUGUUAGGAUGAGAAAUGAGAUCUCAUGCAAAGUUAUUGGCACGGGAGACAUAUACUUGGACAUAGAUACCAGGUGCCAGCUGAUAUUGAGAAAUGUUCGACAUGUUCCUGAUAUUUGACUUAAUCUUAUUUCUACAGAAAAAUUUGACGAUGAGGGUUACUAUAGUUUGCAAGGUGGAGGCAAAUGGAAACUCAUCAAAGGAAAUCUCGUUGUUGCCAGAGGAAAGAAACAUAGUACCCUCUACGUGAUGCAAACCAAGUUGAGGAAGGAAGAAAUGAAUGCAGUUCGUGAUUUCUCAAUUGACCUUUGGCAUAGGCAACUUGGACAUAUGGGUGAAAAGGGGAUUCAGACACUUGUUCGCAAACAGUUCCUACCUGAAGUUAGAGGUAAUGCACUUAAACCCUGUGUUGACUGCAUUUAUAGGAAACAAUACAGAGUUGCAUUUCAAAAUUUUUCUCCAUCUCAAAAUUGAAUCUGUUAGAAUUGGUGCACACUGAUGUUUACUAUAUGAAAGAUAAGUCUCUUGGUGAUGCUGUCUAUUUUAUAACUUUUAUUGAUGACUUUGUUAGAAAUGUUUGGUGUUUUGUUUUGAAAUCUAAAUAUCAGAUUUUGGAUAUGUUUAAAGAUUUUUACAGCAAAAUUGAAAGAAAAACUGGUAAGCAAUUAAAGUGUAUACGUGCUAAUAAUGGUGGUGAGUACAGAGAACAAUUUGAAAUCUAUUCAAGUCCCGUGGGAUCAGAUUGGAGAAAAUUGUGCCAAAAACUCCUCAAGAGAAUGGAGUAGCAGAGAGGAUGAAUAGAUCCAUCACUGAACGGGUCAGAUGUAUGCUCUCUAAUGCUAAAUUGCCAAAAUCCUUUUAGGGUGCGGCAAUGAGGAUUGCAGUCAAUUUGAUUAAUCUUUUUCCAUCAGUUCCUCUAGAUGGUGACAUCCCAAAGAGAGUAUGGACGGGAAAAGAUAUAUCCUUUAAGUACCUGAGAGUUUUUGAUUGCCGGACAUUUGUUCAUAUUCUCAAAGAUGAGAGGUCAAAACUUGAUGUGAAAUCAAAGAAGUGUAUUUUUUUGGGUCAUGAACAUGAAGAUUUCAGUUAUAGGUUGUAUGAUCCUAUUGAUAAGAAGGUGAUCAGGAGCAGAGAUAUUAUCUUCUUUGAAGACAUUGAUAAAAGUGACAAUCCAAAAUGUUCAGAUGACAUUCCUGUUGGUUCAAAUUCAGAUCCAGAUCCAGUUUCAAUACCUAUUGAUUUUAAUUAAGAGGGAGUUGAGAUAAAGCAGAGAGAGAAUAUUGAUGAUAGCAAUAAUCCUACUACUGAUGAACCUGAACACGAGACGCCACCUACUCCACCACUGCCACCACAGGAUGAGUUUAGGAGAUCUAUCAGAGAGAGGAGACCUUCUAGCAGAUAUAAUCCUUAUGAAUAUGUGUUAUUGAUAGAUGGAAGAGAGCCAGAGUCCUACUAUGAGGCUCUAGAGCAUGAGAAUAAAGAAGAUUGGUUGCGAGUCAUGCAAGAGGAGAUGGUGUUCCUGCAUGAAAAUCACACUUAUGAGCUAAUGAAACUGCCUAAGGGCAAGAGAGUUCUAAAGAAUAACUGGGUCUACAGGUUGAAAACUCAUGAGCACAGUUCACAACCAAAGUACAAAGCGAGAUUGGUUGUGAAGGGAUUUAGUCAAAAGAAGGAUAUAGAUUUUGAAGAAAUCUUCUCUCCUGUGGUAAAAAUGUCAUCAAUUCGAGUUGUUCUUGAUGUUGCAGUUAGUUUGAAUUUAGACAUCGAACAACUUGAUGUGAAAACAGCCUUCUUGCAUGGUGACUUAGAAGAGGAGAUUUACAUGGAGCAACCGAAAGGAUUCAAAAAAAGUGGUAAGAAAAAUCUUAUAUGCCGUCUCAAGAAGAGUUUGUAUGGGUUGAAACAGGCACCGAGACAGUGGUAUAAGAAAUUUGACUUCUUUAUGACAGAGCAUGGGUAUCACAAGACUACAUCUGAUCACUGUGUUUAUGUGAAAAAUUUUUCAGAUGGUGAUUUUGUUAUUCUCUUGCUAUAUGUUGAUGACAUGUUGAUUGUUGAUCGUGAUACUAUAAAAAUUGACAGGUUGAAAAAGAAGUUAAGUAAAUCUUUUGUAAUGAAGGAUUUGGGUCUGGCUAGAUAGAUACUGGGGAUGCAAAUCUCACGUGAUAGGCAAAAUGAGAAGCUCUGAUUGUUUCAAGAAAAAUACAUUGAGAAAGUACUCAACAAGUUUAACAUGAGCAAGACUAAGGAAGUCUCAACUCCACUUGCAGGUCACUUUAAACUGAAUAUCAAGCAGUGUCCUACAAGUGAGAAAGAUAAAAAAGACAUGAAGAAGGUUUCUUAUGCUUCGGCUGUUGGUAGCUUGAUGUAUGCUAUGAUUUGCACAAGACUAGAUAUUACUCAUGCAGUUGGAAUAGUCAGUCGGUAUCUUUCUAAUCCUAGUAAGAAGCAUUGGAAUGCGGUCAAAUGGAUCUUCAGGUAUCUCAAGGGAACUUUCAGAUUGUGUCUAUUUUUCGGCAAUAGUAAAACUAUGCUAGAUAGAUACACUGAUGCAGAUAUGACAGGUAUUCUUGACAAUAGGAAGUCUAUAACUGGGUACUUGAUGAUUUUUGUAGAGAGAGCAGUGUCAUGGCAAAGUAAGUUACAGAAGUGUAUUGCUCUUUCUAGUACGGAAGCAGAGUAUAUUGCAACCACUGAAUCAUGCAAAGAGAGUCUUUGGUUGCAGAAAUUCCUUCAAAAAUUGGGUAUAAAACAAGAGAAGUAUAGUCUUUACUGUGACAAUUAGAGUGCUAUUCAUUUAUGUAAGAACUCUACAUUUCACUCUUGGUCCAAACACAUUGAUGUGAGAUAUCAUUGGAUUCGAGAAGUAUUGAAUUUCAAAUUAUUGACACUUGAAAAGAUACAUACAAAUGAUAAUGGUGCUGACAUGUUGACCAAGGCAUUGACUAAGGAGAAACUCUUAUUUUGCAGACAAGAAACAGGUUUGGUAGAGCCUUCCAAAUGAGCUGGAGGGGGAGAUUGUUGGACUUGUGUGUGCCAGCCCAAAACACAAGUCACUAAGACUUGAGGGCUUAAUGUGAUGGUACAUAUUGAAGCAGCCGCAAGAAAGUACUUCACCUUUUUUUGAGUGAAAGAAUUACAGCCACUACUUUAGAGAUAAACGAAGAGAGAGAAAGAGCUAGAGAGAGAGAAACUUCAAAAUCUUGAUUGAAGGGUGAUUCGAAACUCGAUUGAGACAAAAUUUUAUCCACGGGAUCCUCUCGUCAGGCUCUACUCAUUUACUAGUUCAGAUUUUGGAUUUCCUCUUCAUUUGGUAACACCUUUUCAAACCCACUUCUUUAACAGUUGUAAUUUUUUGGGGGUGAUUUUGUAGCAGAUUGGCUUGGUUGGUAUUGGUGUUAUUGUUGUCACUCGAAUACUUCGGAUAGACCUGUGUAUUUCUGUUAUUGUGAUAGUGGAGAUUUUUGACUGGAUUAGGUCCCGUAAUUUUUUUCAAUUUGGGUUUUUCACGUAAAAAUCUUGGUGUUCUGUGCCUUUUAUUUUUCUUACAUUUUAUUAUCACUACUGGUAUUAUUACUUGGUGAUUUGGUUUAUUCCUAUUUUAACUGAUACUUGGAGAAAAAGAAAUUUGUCUUGAGCUAAUUCUGAUAUCGUGUGCCUGUACCGAUACCCUUUUCCUAACAAAUAAGAAAGAGACAUUAACAAAUAUUAGAGGGGACAAUAUAGAUAAGAAGGAGAAUUCCAAAAGUAUUGGAGGGCAAAGUUGAUAAAAAUGAGAAUUUCAAAUAUUUAGAGGGUGCAAAUAAAGGAGUAACCUAAAAAUUUUCCAAAGUUUUAUGCCUAAAAUAAAAUUUUCACAAAGUUGGGGAGGGGGGGGGGACAAUUGUCCACCAUCAACUUCAUUUGGCACUGCCCCUGGUUUCAUUUGGCAUCAAAUUUACUGUAUUUCACCCAAAAUAUCUUGAAAAUCUUUGGGACCAAACUGGAUGUUGCUAAUUAGCAUUGCAUGAACAAAUCUUUUUGAACAAUUUAUCUAGUCAUUUUUUUAAAGUGUAAAUAGGAGGGUUUGAAUUCAAUACCUCUCGUGUACACUCCUUCCCCAUGUACUACCUAAUCCAUCUCUUCUCCCUAUCUAAUCAUGUUGUAGAGUCACAAAACAGCAUAUACCCUUAACUAGGAUAGUUUUCAAAUUUCAACUACACCUUAACAUGCUCCUUAAUUUAAUUAUAUAUUAAUCUUCAUGAUAUUAGUACUUAGUUUGGGAGUUUAGGGUAAUGGUUGAUGUGUUUCGCAAGUAUACAUAGCCUAUCAUAGUAAUAAAGUCACCUGAAGUAUUCCAGGAGCUGAACUUACAGGGACGAGUUAACUUUCUCUACCUUAAUUAUUAUAAAAAAUAAUAAAAUUCAAUCCAUUAGCCUUAUACUUGAUUGAGAAAAUUCAUUUGCAUCCUACCAUCUUCUUUUCUUUUGUUAGUGGGACUAAGGUUAAUGUUUCAUUCUUCUGCAACAUUGACAAUCUCAUUUUGUACAGUUUUGGUCCAGUUUGGAUCCAUAAAAGUGGCAUGUACUCUAUUUAGAAUAUCAACUGAUGGCACAUUGUGUACAAAAGCCUUCAGAGAAUCAAAUAACCCGUCACUUGAUAUAUAAUUGACAGUACAAUAGCCAGUCCUCUUUAGCUACUAGAAUUAAAACAUCCGUACAUCGUUAUUUUUUCAGUUUAAUUGCAUGAUAAAUGGAGAUCCAUGAACUUGAAGACGCCUGACCUGGCCGAUGUAUAAGGUAAACAUCUUAAAUGUGUCCACCAAAUCCUAGAAAGUUUACGCUGAUUAUCUCACAUGCCCCAUUCCUCACUUCUUAGCUGGACCAUGUUACUACAUCACGCAAUGACAUAGACCACCCCAAGUAAUAUAAUAUUCAUCCACACUAGAGCUAAAAAAUAAAGCAAGUAAUUGAAUACGAAAUCUCGAAGCAACAAAUGUAGAAUCCCAUUUCGCAUCCAGACACAUUCAGCAAAAUCCCUCCAAAUUUUCUUGAUUUAUUGUCUCUGAAAAUUAUUAAAUGCAGGCUGUAUUUUUUUUUCUUUUUUGGAAAAUUAUCAAGUCAUAUACUAUCAUUUUCUUUUUUUUACAAUCAUAUUACAUAAUAGUCAUUUAUGUAUAGAAUAAUUAGGGGGAUGUCGACCGAAAAGGAUCAGAUUGAUGCACCAUUUGGUCAAUUAUAUAUAGUCCACUUCCUUGCAUUUACGCUCCGUGCCUAGGCAAACCAACCAUAAAUCCCAGAGGUCCAGAGAGGAGACCAUUCACAUUGGUCAUGGACAUGGGAGCACGGUGCAGCUCGGGCAAUGGUGAAGUGUGCUGCUGUUGCUGGAGCAGAAGUUUGUCCAGCAGAAAUUAUGAUCGAUUUGUGUCCCAUAUAAUAAGACCAAGCAGCGGAUCAAAAGCACCAAUUUGGAGACAGUUGUGGACAAAGAUGAAGAAGGAGAAGAAAAGAACGUUCUACCGUUCGACUUCAACGAGGUUUGCUUAUGAUCCACACACUUAUUCUCAGAACUUCGAUCAGGGGUUGACUUGGGCUGAUCCUGAUGACAUCUCCAGAUCAUUUUCUGCUCGGUUUGCCGUUCCUUCAAGGAUCUUUGAUGACAAAGAUGUAUUAGAUGUUUGAAAAUUUGAAGGGAGUGAAGGAGUCACUAAGGUUAAUGUUUCAUUCUUCUGCAACAUUGACAAUCUCAUUCUGUACAGUUUUGGUCCAGUUUGGAUCCAUGAAAGUGGCAUGUACUCUAUUUAGAAUAUCAACUGAUGGCACAUUGUGUACAAAAGCCUUCAGAGAAUCAAAUAACCCGUCACUUGAUAUAUAACUGACAGUGAAAUAUUUGGAUCGUUUUAUGUGAACUUCUAGAGUGUGCACAUUUAGUGGCUUGUCACGAUUAGAUCUAUCAGAUAUAUCUACCAAUUACAUUCAAAUUAGUAGUAGAUAAACAGGUGACAAAAGUACUUAGCUCAAGAAUAUUCUCAGAAGAAGUACAAUCAGGUACUAAAGACAGAGGGGUUUUAUCAGUCACAUCAGAUUCUUCAGAGAUCAUCUCAGCGGCAACUUCUUGAAGACCGUCAUGAGUAUUAUCAGCCCUAAGAAUAUUUUUAUCCUUAGUAAUUAGCAAAUCGGCGUUGUCACCAUUGGUCAUUGGCAGGUUGGCUAGCAAAUAGAUGACAACUGGAACUUCGAUGAUUAGCAUAUUGGCAGUCGGCAAAUCAGCAUCAGUCAUGUCAAUACAUGGCCAUGAAGGCUGUGCCAAUUCCUGCUAAUUCUACUCUUCCUUAUCAUUUAUCUCUCUCUGACGUGAAGAACUGGAUACCAAUGAUAAAAAUUAUGUUUUUGAUUCCAAGAAAGUAACAUCUAUUGUUUCAUACAUGUUGUUGGUGGCUGAAUCAUAGCACCGAUGACUUUUCUCGUGCAUAAUAUAGCCCAAGAAAAUAAAUCAAACAUCAUAAGAAUCCAAUUUGCUGUGUUGAUUCUUGUGCAGAUGCAUAAAGGUCACAUUCAAACACUCGUGCUGGAAUCAUUAGCACCAAUGGUAGAGUAAAAUAUUGAUAGAAACCCUGUAGUGAAAUUUAAAAGUUUAUGGCUUUCAAAGGCACUGUUCAGCAAGUGGAUGAUUGUUGUGGUGAUUGCAUUAGGCUGAUAUCGACAUGAAACAUUUGUAUAGCAAGGCACGUGCAGUUUCUAAUAUAUACCCAUUUUUCUUUCAAUCACUCCACUUUACUGUAGAGUAUGAGUACCAAAAGUUUCAUGUAUGAUACUAAUAGUAUUGCAGAAAUUCUAUAAUGGUCGAUUAUCAUAUUUACCAUCAUUAUUUGAUUGAAGAAUCUUGAUUGUAGUAAAAAAUUAUGUAUAAAGUAAUUGAACAAAAUGAAUUAAAAAUGUCCAGCACUUCAUUUUUAUGUUUCAAUAGAUACAAUCAAGUCAUCUGAGUACAAUCAUCUAUAAAGAUUAUAAACCAAUGAAUACCAGUAUAUAAAUUAAUCGAUGAAGGUUCCCGGAUAUCAGAAUGCACCAAAGCAAAAGGAGUAUUACACUUAUUAAGAUUGAUCAAAUAAGGGACUCUAUGACUCUAGUCUUGGCCAAAAUACAAGUUUCACUUUUCAUAUCUGUAACAUUAACACUAGCAAAUAAGUUAGGAAAUAGGUGUUUCAUAUACCCAAAGAAUGGAUGCCUCAAUCGCUGAUGCCAAAAUUGGAUCUUUCAAAGUUUAGCAUAUUGGUGCUUUUUUUUUUUUAUUUGCUCUGUUUGGACUAAAAUAAUCCAUGUAAUAUAAAUUUGCUCUCCUACUACCACGAUCGAUUAUCUUUUUGGUGACAAUAUCCUGAAGAAAACAAAAGAUUGGAUACAACAGCGCUACACAGUUGAGAUGAGCUAUUAUUCGACUAAAAGGCAGUAGCUUAUUUGAAAGAGAGGGCAUCAAUAAGGUGUUAAGUGGACAAAGAGAUGAAAAUAAAAUAACAGUUUCAGCCCCUGUAACUAAAUAUUGAAUGCCAUUGCCAUUAGAAAUCAGUGAUCGUCUCGAAAGAGUAAUAAAUGAAAAAUCAUUCAGAUCAUAGGUCAUGUGAUUAGCAGCACCUAAAUUGGCAAAUUAGUCAUUAUUAUUGUAGAUGAGAACCACAAUUACCUUGAUGCUGAUAAGCUGUUGAGGUAUCGGUCAAAGAAACAGAAGGCACCUGUGCAAUAUUAAGAGUUAUGAUUGAUGUAACUGAAUCAAUAACUUUUAUGGCCAGUCUUCCAUUUUGAUCAGCAACAUUCAAUUGGUCAGUCUAUCGAUUUUGUCCUUUGCACUCCUUCUGUCAUCUUGGAUAUCAUGUAGUUUGAAACAAGUAUCAUGGAUAUGUGUUUAUUCCUACAAUAAGUGUAGCCAUCUUCUUCAGUCAGCACAUUGAUUUGAGCUAAUAUGAUUGGCCUACUUUUCGCUCCUUUAAAAGUCAUGAUAGAGCCGAUUGUGUUAUCUCUCCCUAUUAACAUUAUUGAUUGGCUACUAUUUUCAUGCUGAAUAUAGGUAUAUGCCUCUUUCAUUGUUGGAAAUGGUUUCAUUUGUAAUGUAUCACUACGAAUCUUAUUCAAUCGAUCAUUUAAUCCAUUAAGAAAAAUGUACACUCUCUUUUCCUGCAUGAGAGAGUUAUACCUGUCGACAUCGACAUCGAUAGCACACUUAAUUGGGCUUGACCAAUAGAAAUUCAUAUCUCUCCACAAACCUUGCAGGUCGUUAUAAUAUUUCUUAAUCGGCCCUCCAACUUAUCCCAUCCUGGUCACCUUCUGCUGUAAAUCAUACAGUUGGAAUGUAUCAGUUCCAUCAAAGUAUUUUGUAGCAACUGCAUCUCAUACCGCUUUUGCAUUAGGGAAAUGGAUGAAUUACCAAUCAAGAAUGGAUCCAUAUUAUUUAUUAGUCAGCUCUUCAUGAUUGAAUCAUCAGUCUGUCAUUGUCAUUAUGCAGGAUCAAUUGGUGAAGGUUAAGGAAUUUCUCUGUUAACAUAAUCCAAAUUGUCAUUACUCAAGAUAUCCAUCUCAAUAACUUAGGCCCACAAGGUAGAGUUGGUGUCAUCCAAGUUGAUGCCAAUAUUCGCGAUAAAUGAAUCACUGCUUGAUGUAGCCUUCUAGGUCUUGAUCCAAACUUUUGCCAAUUGUGCAAUGAAGUCUUCUAGCACAAAGGCAGUGAAAAUGUUUCACCAUUUCAGAUGAUUCUGUCAUGGUUCUUGGUUUAAGGUUAUAUCAGAGUAGCACUUGAAUAGAGACCCUAGAAUCCCUACCCUGAUACCAUAUUAAGAAGAAAAGAGUUUUGGGGGAAAAUUUUCUCUAUAUUUCUCUCACAAAUAUUACAAUAAUAUGAGGCUUAUAUAUAAGUUUACAACAAAAUAUGAUACAAUGAAUCUAUACAACUUCUAGAUAGUAUCUAUUCUAAUUAAAUCCCUAAUUGAAAUACAUCAAACACAAGAAGAUAUCAACAACUAACCACUGUCUAUCAACAACUAACAACUCACUUCAACAUGAAUUUAUUGCAUUUUUAAUGGCAUCAUAGGUUUUCAAAAAUAUGUGCUCUUUCAUGCAUUGAUGAGGCCAAUUUGAAAACUGUCACCUAUGUUAACAGGCCCAUUUAGUUUAGCCAAAUAAGUUCAAGCCUGCUUGACACUUCAUAGUUUAUUAUGUUUCAAUUAGGGUCUACUAAUACUAUCCAUAGAAUUUCAUGGAACUUUUACGCCUUGAAUGUUGAGUGCUACUAUUGAAAUAUUCAUUGAUUAUUUCUCAAGAAUGAUAAGACAAUAUAUUUUAUAUUAUCCACUUUGUCCAGACGUUAAACAAUGUUUAGUAAUAUAUCAAGAGCGGAAAACAUUAGAAAAAUUAUGAUGAACAAGCAAACAUUAAAAGUAAAAACGCGGAAUACCCAGCACAAGAGUAAAUUGGAUUGCACUUUAUUCAGUGUUCUUCGUUGGAUGAAACUUAAUGAAUCACUUUUGUGCUGACUAUUCCACCUUUUUGGUCCAAGUAUGCAACUUCGUAUGGUCACCUGGCCCUGGAUUUGCACGUCCACUAAUAUUGAACCCACCUUCCUUUACCAACCAAUGGCAGUAGGAAUUUUUUCUGAAUGGUUUAGAAAUGCUUCCACAGUAACUAUUUGCCAACUCGGUAUUAUAAACAUCAAAACUUGUAUCUUGUGUUCCCCGCCAAAAGUGACAAAAAUAUAAAGUACCCAACCAAAUAUUGGGUGAGAAACGCCAAUGGAAGUCGUCAUUUACGCGGAGGGUAUGGUAUCCUAAAUCAUCAUCUUUUGAUUGACAAUGGAUGGUUAAGGGUAUAUCGUUAUUCGGGAGGCCAUUGAUCACAUGAACAUUAUAGUAGUCCAAAGCAACCACUCUAUAUGAUGUUUGAACGACGCAAAAUGAAAAAAAAAAAAAAAAAGGAAACAUAUAUAUGUUUGCAACGGUAACCAUUUUUGUUAAUGCUGUUUGUUAUUCUUCAAAUUUGUGAAAUUACCUCUUUAAAUGAGACUAAGUAACAUCGGUUAUGGUCGGUGCACUAAUAAAACAACAGCACUAGAAUUAAAAGGUUUGACAUUAUAUUUUCUGAAAACACAAGAUCCUGUCAUUUUUUAAUUAACUAUGUUUAUUGCAUUAAUGACAUCUCAAUAUUAAAACAGCACGGUUUGACAUUUUAUUCGGAAAAUGCAAGUUGUUUUUCAUCUUUAAUAUGUGAUGCCACACCAUAUCAUUAUUCUAGGAAAAUGGAAAUGAGUUAAAUUGACAUUCAUUUAUCUUAAAUUCACAUAUUUGAUGCAUUCAUGACUUGUACAAUUAAUAUUAAAAUUUGUACAAUGCAUUGAUUAAGAAGGAGGUUUGAAUUUUAAUCCUUACUUAUUGCAUACAUUUCACAUUGGAAAGAACAGGGAACUAUGCUUAACUAAACUCAUAAAUGUGAGCGUUACACUACUUAAUAUCAUAUACAUUGCAUUUGAUAAAUAACCAGAGUUACAACCUCAAAACUAAUUGGCAGUGCAUCUAGUUGCAUAAAAUCUUGUUAAUUCAUGUCUUUAACACCCCAUCUAAUAUUAUUUUACGAUUGUUCUAAAUUGAUUUUUAAAACAUCACUUUCUAAUAUUGAUAAAUUGAAUAUUAGUAUUAAACGCAUGCGAGUGUGGGAAAGAGAAAGAGUAUGCAUUAAUGCGUAUGUUUCAGGAAAGAAAAAUGUAGCUUCUAAGAUUAUGAUGCUAGGAAUUAGAAUUUCAGAAUUCAAAUACUUCUUUUCCCCAAUGUUUUGAAAAUAGGAUCGGACCGGCUGCGUUUGACUGGUUGAACUGCGAACCGGCCAUGGCACCAGCCCGAUUCUAUGUCAUAGUUGACUUUAUUAGAAAACCGGUAAAAAACUGAUUGAAUCGUGAAAACCGUCGAACCGGUGGUUUCUGGUUUUCAACUUUCCCUUUCUUUUUUUUUUUUUUUUUAAGUUUUGUAAAAUGCAGCUAUCAAGAUUCGAAUUCAAGACCUUUGUAAUAGAAGAUCAAUGUAUUAACCGUUGUAUCAUCACAUCUUAUUAGUUUUUUUUGAUAACUUAUUUAUAUAAAACAAACACUCAUAUUUCUUUUUUCUACUUUUCUUACAAAAUCUCAAUCUCUCAUGGCUCUUUCUUUUUAAUCUUCAACUCUCUCUCUCUAUCCUCUUUUCUUUUGUCACUCCCUUUUUAAUCAAACCUCUUUAUUUUUAAUUUAUUGAUGUUUUCUUCCAUCUUUUAAUUUUGUUUUUGUGCAUUAAAUUAAAAAAAGUUGAAAAAGAAUUAUUUUUCUUUAACCCAAAUUAUUUAAUGCCACAACCACUCACUUUUAUCUCAUUUUUUGUUUUUUUAUCAAGUUUACAUUUCUUUUUUCGAUUCUCUUGACUUCCUUCGAACUCCAAACUUCCUUUUUUAAAUUGCAAUCUCUAAAUCACAAAACGUAAAUUAAAAUUUAAGUUCACAAUAUCUAAAUUCUCAUAGACGUGAAUUUUGUAUAAUUUCAAAAUAUUGUGAUAUUUUUGGGUUGGAUUUAGAUAUAAUUUAAAUUGAGAUGAAAUUUAUUUGUUUUAACUUAUAAUUUAAAAAAUUUAUUUUUAAAAAUCCAAAUUAUUAAAAAUAGUAAACUUUUCAUCAUAUACAGUAUUAAAUUGGUCCAUUACAUGUCUAUUUUGUGCAUAUAUAUAUUUAUAUAAAUUAUUUUUUAAAAAAUUCAUUGAACCGGGGUUGAACCGGUCCGACCGAUUGAAUCGAGCUCGAACUUGAGAUCAAAAUAUUAAGCCCGUUAGCUUGCGAGCCUAUUAGGGCUGCAAACGAAUCGAGCCGCUCGCGAGCCGCUCGAAUCGAGCUCGAACUUAAGCUCAAAAUAUUAAACCCGUUAGCUUGCGAGCCGGCUCGCGAGUUUGAGUAUAUAUAUAUAUAAUAUUUUUUUAAUUUUAAUUAUAUAUAUUUUUAAUUUUAAGUAUAUAUAUUUUUUAUUUUCUUAUUUUAGUAGUAAAAUUACAUAUAUCCUUAAUAUUUUAUUAUUUAUUAAAAAAAUAUUAUUUUAUUUAUUUUUUAAAAAAUAAAAUAAUUAUUUUUUAUUUUUUUUCAAGCUCGGCUUGACUUUAAAUUGCCGACUCGUCGAGCUCGAGCUCGAGUUCGAGCUUGGUAAAAUUUAGUCAAGACUCGGCUCGUUUGCAGCCCUACCCGGUAUGCAACGAAGAAGUAUUUAGUGAUAAAUCCAGGCAAUGAAGAAUUGAAAUAAACAAACGGCCCAAAAUCGAUUAAUAUCUGCAGAAUUCUAUACCUGCAAUAGUUUUUUGGGAUAAUUUUAGAAACCUCCCCUAACGUUUCUCACAAUCUCACUAGCCUCCGUUAGAGUUUGCAAAAUUACACAACCUCCUUUGAGGUUAAGGUUUUGGAAACAAAAUUAGUCUAAUUAGAAAAAAUAAGAAGUACUUUAAGGAGAGGGAUUGUUCGAAUUUGCCUUUCGUUUCCCUCAUUUUUCCUUACUAAUAUCUAACAAUUAAAGUACUUUUUUAAUGUUGCUUUUUCUAAUUGAACUAAUUUUGUUAUCAAAACCUUAAUCUCAAGGGAGGUUUGUGUAAUUUUAUAAACUUUAGGGGAGGCUAGUGAGAUUGUUAGAAAUCUCAAUGGAGGUUUAUGAAAUUAUCCCUAAUUAAUAAAAGAGGCCAUUCGGGCUAAGUGAAUAAUUUGCCACUAAUUGGUCACUUUUAACUAGUUAUGAACAAAAAAAAUAAAUAACUUGGGCCAAAAAUAUUUGUUGGGCCUAUUGAGUAGCGGAACAAAUGAAAUAAACUUUUUUAUCAGGCCUAAGAACUGAAGUUGUAAUGUUUUUUUUCGGGCAUAUUAGUUGUUCUUUGAAUUAUAGGAAUACAUUUUUCAUAACCCAAGUUUUGAUACUAUGAGUCUAUGACUCUUGUCUUAAUAGGUCGAGCCUAUUUUUCUUUGAGGAUCCAAUUUUAUUACAACAACCCAAUGUUGUCAAAUGAACCCAAGGACAUUUUAAAAAGUCCAAAUCAGUCUCUAAACCAAGUUUAAAUAAAAAAGAAAUCUAUUCUAUGGAUCGGCUGAGCCAUAGAGCCAAAUCCAUACCUAAAUCCGUCCCAAACUAGUGUGGUCGUUUCUACAAAAAAACAAAUAAAUAUAAGUUAACAAAUAAAUCAAACUUAUUAGGGAUAAUUGAAUUAGGACAGCAUUCUAAAAAUGGAAAAUUUUCAAAUUAGGAAAUCUUCCAAAAAUGAAAACUUUCUAUUUUGGAAAAACUUUUCAAGUACUUUUUAGAGAACGUCCAGACAUGAAUUCUUGGAUUACUUAGGAUAGGAAUGUAUAUUCUAAGAGUCAGAAAUGUUGGCUAAUUAGGAUAUAUGUGUAUUUACUACAGGUAUGAAGUAAGUGUAAGGCACAUUAAGGGUAUCUCACGCGAGUAGCUUGAGGUAGGUGGUACUUGUUCUUCUAUGUUUUUCAAAUAUUAAAUAUGAGUUUUAUUAAAUGAAAUCUCUACUUUGCUACAUGUAAAAUGAAUCAUCUAUCUCUAUUUGAAUUCUUUGAUAUGCAUGUGAUAUGAAAUGAAUAGUAUAAUUUCAUGAAAUGAAAGAAAUAUGCAUGUGAGUGUAAAUGAAUUCAAUUAAAGACAAGCUCUAAAUAGUCAUAAAAUAGACGAUAAGGAUUAUAGUCUUGCUAUGUUAUGACGAUCAAGUAAAUAUUAGGAAAAAAAACUUAAUUAAUUAUCGAUGGUCAAUUGUAAUUGUAUACCUUAUCUUUGACCCAUCAUCACGUAGAUCAUGUAAAGAUUAAGAAAAACACUUGAUCUACUGUCCUCUUAGAAGGAGUUAAGUUCUAGGCUAAGCACUUUGAAUGCAGCUAUUUUAUGUAUCUUGUUUAUGAGUUAAUAUGAAUAAUUUUGCAUGGUUAUGAAUUUUUAAGUACGUCCACGUUAUGCCAUGUAUAACAUGUGUAAAUUGCAUUAUGAUCUUUAAAUGGCUAUAUAUACAUAUGAUGAGUGUGACAGAUGUUAAAAAAUAUAGUAUGUUGUAACUGCAUGAUUCAGCAAGGAUAUAAGUUCUACUUGUUCGGCAUUUCAUCACUUAACCCAAUUUUUGUUUAUUUUUUUUUGCUUGUAGAUCUUGAAAAUUACGAGGUAGUUUAUGUCAAGAACCUCGAGGAUCACUUCUACUAGGUUAUAUAAUUAUACUGAAAUAGAACCUUGGAUAGGACUUGGUAAAUGUUCUUAAAGUAUUCAAUAAUCUUUAGUUUAUGUUUCCAUUAGAUUUAUUUUUAUAUAAGCAUGUGGACUCAUCUAGAUAUGCUAUGUUAUUUCUAUACUUGGACAAAUAUUGCAGUAUGAGUUGUUUUCUUAUUAUUUAGUGAACAAAUAAGUUUUAAAUUAUAAUUGUUGCCUUAUAUUUUUGAGAUAAUCUUGAGGGUAUGGCAAAUGUCUCAUGUUUGGUGCGUGUGGGCUAGGGACACGACAAUUUAUCAGUUGAUGAAGGAAAUUAAACCAAGUUAUUUCAGCAUUAAGUUUUCUAAUUCCUGCAUGCGGAUCCAAUUCAAAGCCAAAAAUCUCUAUUAAUCAGGCUGAAUCAACUCUUGUUCAAAGCAUGAAAUUGUAGGCCUUUGAAUUAACUUUUCAAUGCCACAAGAGUCAUUUUAUUUGGUGGUUUGGAUGCUGAGAUAUGCCCAAAGUACUGAGAGUUGGUCAAAAGAGCACAUCAACGAAACUAUACUUCAAUAAUUUGGACUUUUGGCUAUGAAAACGUGAGAACCAAACUUUAAUAUCCCAUAAGAAUUUUGUUCUUAUAUUGUUCUAAUAGAUCAAGAAUUCAAUUGGAGAGAAAUCGAACUAAAACCACGGUGCGAAGAAACAAUGGAAGAGGAAAAAGUCAAGAGAAAGGAGUUUAAUAGAAUUGACAUGUUUUAGUAUUUUGACAAUAACUUAAACUACCAAAAUCAGAUUAAGCUGAUACUUAUACAUUUUUUAAGAUAAGAGUCACAUGAACAUUCCGUAUCAGUAUUGUAUAUAUACAUAUGCGCAUAAAGAGUUUAACUAAUUAGAUCGUUACUUUAAUUCUCUGCUUUUCUUCUGCAUGUGACGCAAUAAUAGCCAUUGUCUCUCGGUUGUUGUGAUAUAUAUUUCUUUAAGUUGUGAUAAUUUUUGAUACCUUACACUGAAAUAUAAAGGAUUCAACAUAACAUUGUAUUGGCUUUCAACAUUAAUUCACCGAUCAUAAACUUAUGAAAAGGCUCUUGAUAAAGGUUCAACCAUUGUCAGCUAAUCAGUCUUUAACAAGACAAUUUCAUCAAACUAUGAAGCAUUAGAAUUAGUCACUUUUGCACCUCUAAGCCACAAACUAUUUUGAGUUGUCAAUUGGAGUAACUUUUUUAGUGCAAUACAUUGAAUUUCAAAUAUUAUCUUACCAUGUGGGUAAUAGAAAAUCCAUACAACAAUAUAUCUCGAUAUGCUUAUUUAUAGACUAUUGUACGCAAAGAAUAAAUUUACAUCAUACAUCUUAUAAGGAGUGAAGGUAUUGGUAUUUUCGCAAUACAUCUUAGAAGGUAUCGAUGUUUUCGCAAUAAUAAGCCCAAGAUAUAACGAAUGAAGAUUUAUACAAAUAUGUGAAUAGUUUUCAGGUCGUAUUGGAAUUUUGCUAAAUUAAAUAGUUUCACAAACAAGCCUCAGAAAGAAAAAGGAAAAACCCAAACAAUAUAAAAUACUAGUUUGGAUAUAAAAUUUCUAGUUUGGAUAUAAAAUAUGCAAACUAUAUUCUUGCUUUGAAUGAUAAAGAAAAAAUUUUGACCAAGUAAGCCACUCCUAGAGGAGAGCCGCGAGCCUAUAGGUGACAAAGUGACUUGCAUGCUGGGUUACUACUGGUGAACGUUCAUUUCCUAGAGCGGUUAGGUUAGACAAACUGCUGCUUUCAAAUUUUGUUCAAAUGAUCUUGGAACGGUUAUAGUAAAUUUGUAAAAUUACUUUCUCUGUUAAAAAAAGAAAAAGAAAAAAAGAUAGUGACUUGGACAGAAUUUGUUCAACCUUUCAAAAUUAACUAGUAAAAAUAAACCAGUAUCUGCAACAUAAAAAAGCAUGGGAAUUAAAUGUCCCAAUUAACUUAUGUUAACUAACACAAACAAAUUUUUAGAACCUCAAGUUAGAAGGAGAUAUUAACAUGAAAUCAGUGGUCCCUAUACAUGAAAUUGAAAAAGAAGUGAAAGAUUCUAAGUGGUCCCUAUACAUGAAAUCAGUUCAACAUCUUUCUGUCAUAUAUAAUAUGUAACUACAAGGAUUGCCCUUUUCGAAAUGUUAAAAAACAUCUAUAGAAAUUGUUAAUUAAACACAAGAGCUUUAAGUAAUAAAUGGAGUAAAACGCAUUUUAUUAUGGGCUUGGGCAUAAUAAUAAGCGAUCUUUGGGCAUUAUUAAGACAAAAAUUUGAAGUCACUCUUAAAUACAUUCCUCAUGAAAUUUUUAUCUCAAAUAUAUUACAUCAUUAAAAAAAAAAGUUACUCCCUAUAAUUUGAAAAAGGUAUUUCGAUACCAUUUAAUUAUUGGAUAACAUAAUGUACAACGAGUUAAGAAAGUACAAGUUGAAAGCCAAGGAACCCAAAUAUUGUUAUCGUUUGUGGAAAAAAGAAAAAAGAAAAAAAAAAAGCCAAGGAACCCAAAAAUGGGAAUAUUUUGUAUUUGUGCUUGUAGUAACAAGUAUGCAUUUGUUAGAUGAAUAUUUGUAUGGAUAUACGUUAGACAUUUUUGUUAAGAUUUGGAAAUGUGACAAAUUUUCAAAUAGUUACCACAUUUGCAAGGCAAACGUUCAUGAAUUUGUCCAAAGAUAGUGCCUGGCCUAACAAUGUGUAGAGUAUACUAUUUAUGAAGUCAGGCAUACAACUUGCCAAUAGACGGCGGCUAAUUUAACAUCCUAACCUAGGAAGAAGUUAGUUAAGCUGCUCAUGGAAUCUGUGUAUAAAAACCUGAAACGUAGUCCACAUUCUUCAAGAUUAGAAUCAGCACCGGUUUCUCUAAUCAAUUAGGAGCCAUGGCCAGCCACAAGGCAUUGCUGCUUCAUCUGCUAGCACUCUUCUCCAUGCUGUCCAUGAGCGCCAAUGCUUGUAGGCUCUGUGGUAUUUCUCUGCCACUAGUACCAGACUUCCUCUGCCCACCAGAUCCCUGCAAACUACGACUCCGUCCGCCUCCACCACCACCUGGGAAGAGUCCACCUUCACGUCCACCUCCUCGAAGAGGGAUUCCAAUACUGCCCCCCCCCAUUUUGCAGUAAUUGUUCUCCUCUGGCACCUGAUUUGAGUGCACCACUACAUAUAUUACACACCCUAUGCUAAAUAAAGGAAAAAGAAAUGCAGAAUAUGAAUAAUAAUACCUGAAGAAUAGGUAUGGGCAGAGUUUCGAGCUCUGCAGCAAGAAGUUGUAUUAGGUACUGUAUUUACCUUAAAACCAGUUCCUUACUCCUGGGAAUUUAAGUGACAAGCACUAUGAUCUUGUUCUACGUUUAUCUAUUAUGUAUCGAAUAAGACUUGAUAUUCUGUAUUGAUCUUACGGACCCUCCCUUUUUCUUUUGGAUCUUACGGACUUAUUGGUACUUUUCAUGGCUUAGUACUUGCUCGUAGUUAUUAUCAGUAAAAUGCAACUAUGGCCACUGAAAAAAUUCGUUUGGCCCACUGACAUUUCUUGGGCGUUAAAUCACUAGUUAAACUUCUAAAUGCGCAGUGUUUUGAUCAUUUUGUUAAUUUGCUUCCAUUAUCUUUAGGGUAAAUUCCACUUUACCCCCCUGUGGUUUAGCGUUUUUUCACAUAACCCCCCUAUGGUUUCAAAAGCUAUACAUAACCCCCUCAUGGUUUGGAUUAAAGUGUCAAAGUAACAGAAAUAGUCACUCGUAACGGAACUUCUAAAAAUG